AAAAAAAAAAAAAACUUGCAGGCAUAGCCUUAAAAGAUAGAUCCCUUCAGAAAUUCAGAUCAUUGCUAAAUUGCAAAACCAUGGCUAUUCCUUUCUACUUAUAUAAGAUAUGCAUUUGAUGGAUUAGCUUCACCUACACAUAUCAAAUGUGACACUAGAGAUGGAAAAACUUCGGGAUAACAUUUAGCAAAAUGUAUAGUACUAUAUGAUCUUUUAUUUUCUUAAAUAAAAAUAUGACUUAUGUGUAACUUCGCAUUCUUGAUUCCUUUAGAUAUGCAGCCAAUUAGAAUAAGAUCAAAAGGUAAUGCAUGAACGUCAUAAUCCACAAAAACUACAUCUGCAUGUUUUGUUUUUAAAUGAAAUGAUUACCAUGUCUUGGAGUAGGAACAAAAUAUAUGAUCGUUUAAAUAAAUGGACCACUCUAACAAGGCUAAUUUGAGGUACUUUUGAUCCUCCUCAAAGUAGAUGAGACAACUUUGUUAGUGAGGCCCCAAUCAAUAAAAGGAAAAGGGAAAAGGGGAAAAAUAAUUUUGACCCAUAAUCGUGAUAACUUUGGAAAGAAAAAUAAAAUUGUUUACUAUAUAUAAUAUACAUGUAUAUAUAAAAAUGCAUUUAUUCAAAUACAUAUAAAUCAAAUGGAAACUCCAAAAAAUAAAUAAAUCUUUCUUUUGAAAUAUUGUACCCAAGAGAAAAAUGACUUUCCUUUAAUUCUACUAUUUUUUCCCUCUCAAUCAUCUCUAUCCAUAUGACAUAUGCUUGGUUGCUUUGGUCAUUUUCUUUUCACAAUUUGAUGCUUAGAGAUUCUCCAAGUUGUGGGUGUUGGGUAUGUUAUGUUUGGGGAAUAUGGAGAAAAAAACUUCAAGUUGAAGUAAGAGACCAUGCUUCGACAAAGAACACACAAGCAGUGAUCACCUGAUAUGUAUGUGCAUGUGAGGAAGAACAAUUUUAAUUCAUUCACAUCUCAGAUUCUCUCGCAUCACAAUUUUAUUUAUUUUCUCUUUUCAUUUAUAUUUUAAUUAUAUUUUUUUUUAUAAGUUAAAGAAUUAUAUUAAGCGAGCACAAGGGUGCUCGCACCCUUAAUACAAAAGGAUAGAAGAAAAGGAAAAAACAAAGCAUUACAUAUAAAAGGAACAUUAUAAAUUAUAUAGUGAUUUUUUAAAAUUAUAUUAUGAAUUUUUUUAUAAGCUACAUAUGCAUUAUAUCUCUUAUUUCUCUUAAUUCAAAUUUUAUCUCUAUUUGGGCGUGAGUAAAUUUGACGUGCGAAUGAAUUUUCAUCAUGAGGAAGAAUUUUGAAGAGGUUCUUUUCCUUUUGGCUCAAGGUGAGGAGUGUUAAAGGUUGGGUUUGAAGUUCAUGCCCAUCGAAUCAGAUAGCUAUUAUAAUACUUUUGAUUUAGAACGUGGAUGUAAUCAAGUAGGUUUCUUUGGUGAAUUCCUAUUUGUGAUAUAAAAUAAACAAAAGCUAAAGAAAGCCGCAGGCAAGGGCACUCAUGAUCAUGAGCAAGCUUACCCACACGAACCACCUUUGAAAACUACUUUUCAAACUUGAAAAGCAUCAUGCAUGGAUCAUAGACAUCCUUAUACUUUUGUUUGCCACACACUGUUUUCAUCUUGGCUGCCUCUUGUCAACAAAAAAUAUCAUUAACCCAAAUAGGAAUUAACAUUAAUCGGCAGAGCAUAUAUAUGUUGACAUGGGGAUAUAGAACUAUUUUAAUUUUUUUAAAAGCAAAAUUAAUUUAUGUGGAGUACAAAGUUUCCUAACCCAUUACAAUUUAGAAACAGAGCUGUGCAAGCAAAUCAGCAAGACAUAGGCAAUGAAAACCAAGCUAAAACAAAGAGCAACUUAAUUAAGGACAGAGCCAAGAAGUAAAAAGGAAUAAAAAGAUCUGAAGACCAUAGGCACUCCAAAUAGCAAAUACCAAUCAGCAACCCUUCAUUGCUUAUAAAAAAAAAAAAACCAAUCAGCAACCCGUAUCAGACCUCAUCAAUAAUCCACUUUCCUAACCAAACCCAACAGCCAAAAUAAUAAGUUCAUCCUUAGGCGCUCCAAAUAGCAAAUAUCAAUCAGCAACUCGUCAUAGUGUAUGUUUGGAUGAGACAAUUUUGAAAUUCAUGGGAUUUUAAAAGUGAGAGAAUUCAAUUGAAUUGCCUAGAAUUUAAAUUUUAUUGUUUGUUAAAUAUUUCUUUGGUCCCUCUAAAAUUAGAGUCUUUAAGUUUAGGCCCCUUUAAAUAUAUUUUUUGUACACACACCUAAAUGCAAAAUAAUACUGAUAUUUUAGCCCUUGUCAUAACUUUACAUCGUUUAGAGAGAUCUAAACCAAAGAACCAUGAUUUUAGAGGGACCUAAGACAUGAUAAAUAUGGAUUUUUAGGUCCCUCUAAAAUCAUGGCUCCUUGGUUAGGUCCCUCUAAAAUAUGUCACAUCAGCGUCCGUUAGGUAAAGGUAACGGCAGGGGCAUAUCCCUCCAUAUUAUUUUCAAAAUAAGGGUGUAUUAGAGGGACCAAAAACCCCUAAUUUUGUCAUAUGAUCUAAUUGAAAAGCCUUCAUCUAAUUAUUUUUUUAUUUUAAUAAAAUAAUGAUAACUUUUAUAACAUAAAAGAACAUUCCUUUUAAAACUUAAUUGAUAUCAUUUCAACAUGGCGCGUCGAUGCCAAUUCGAGCAUAUAGGCGCCAAGUUGGGUAGGAAAAAUGGGCAAGUUAGAUAUAGGGUUCAUGUCGGGUUUUGCACCAAUUGUAGGGUUCAUGUCGGGUUUUGCACCGAUUUUAGGGUUUAGGGUCGAUUUUAAUGUUCAAGGUGUGUCGAGUCGGGAAAUUAAAGUCGAUGUCGAUCUGGUCGACGUCAGGCCGAGCUGGUCGGCACGAAUUCAAGCGGGUUAGACAAUUUAUUUUAAGGUUUAGGUCGGAUUUAGGGGUUUUGGUAUAAUUUAGGGUUUAUGGUCGAUUUUAGGGUUUAAGGUGUGUCAGCCACGGCGGACGCCACGUCGAAAAGUUUAGAGUCGGUCUAUACGACCAAUGUAAUUGUAGAAUGACAACGUCAGUCAUCGGCCUAAACAACUAGCUUUGGCUUAGAGUCGGUUUGACUGAGAAUAAAAUUUUGCCUCAGCCAAUCUGCAGUCUCAACAAGUUAGCUUCGGCUCUUUUAAUGUCCACUUGGCGCUGACGUUAAGUCAAUGCUAAUUCGUCGGUAGCGUCGGUCUUUUGCUAACACUCAUAAGCGCUUUUCUUGUGGUGAGAGUGUUGACUCAGUCUCAAGAUAAUAAUAUUGGUAAGUUAAUGGUAAUGACAUGUGUAUUUAUCACAUAUAUCAAUGGUUUCAACAUAAUAAUAUGGUGAUUAAUGCCCAAACGAGAAGCAUCAAUAUUAACUAACACAUAGUGGUAGAUAAUUACCACUUCAUUUUAAGUGGUGUCUAUGAAAAAUGAUUUGUUGGAAGAGUCUUAAUCAUUUAAUGUAAUUUUUGAACUUCAACGAUAUUAAUCUCAGCACUGCUGAUUGUGGAAGUACUUUAUACGGAGUUAUUUAAUUUAAAGUUUUUCUUUUUCUUUAAUUAAUUUGAGCCACUAGUUUAGUUUGUAAUUAUUGUUUGGUAUGCACGGAGCCUCAAAGUUUUUUUUUUUUUUUUGAAAGUACGGAGCCUCAAAGUUAAGGGGAGAAAAACAACAUUUUUGUUGCAGGAGAUGCGUCAUGAUGUAUCUAAAAGCUUAUAUUCAGCAUCUUUUUAAAAAAUAAUUCACUAUUAUAAUUUUUUUUUUACAAGAGAUAUUAUAUGUUUAAAUCUUGACUACAUAUAACUUUCAGCUAAUAAUUUAUCUAACAUUCAUGUCAAAUAAAAUAUCUUGAGGUUCCACUUUCUUUUUGUGUAAUUAAAUAAAAAUGAUUUUUUUGGGAUGAGCUAGGAUUGUCCACUACCAAUGACAAUGGAUAAUUCUUCAUGAGAGAUGCUCAUAAAGUAGUAGAUAAUUAAUCACAAAAUGGGUUACACUUCAGAGAUAUAUGAUAUUCGAAUCUUUAACCUUACAAUUAAAGAAUGAGGUGAGUGAGCACUACGCCACAUCAUGUGAUUAUAAAAUUGAACUCAUCACAUGAUAUAUUUAUAUUUUCAGUCAUCAUAGGCAUAUAACUUUUCAACCUACAAUCGACAUAUAUAAUUUGUGGUGGUUUUUUACCGCGAACUACACUUGAAGUAAAAAAAAAGGUUAUAUAUAAUUUAAAACUGCCACAAAAUUCGUGAAGAUUUUUGUCAGGGGAGCCCAUGGGCUGAGGAGACACCAAGAAAUAUCGACACUACUAAAAACCUUAACGCAUUAAGUUUAUACGUUACAUCUCUUAAUCUUCUCUUCACUCAUACUUAAUUAAUAUGUGACUCGAACUCCCCAGUUGAAUUCUCAAAAUAUAUAUAUUUAUCCGGUCAUUCAAUGAAACUGGCCUAUGAGAUGACAACAAGUAUGAUUGAGGAUUUGGAUAUGAUCAAGUUUUGACUGGCUAAUUGAUGAACACAUUGAUUUGUCGGAUGAACGCUCUGGUUUUGGUGGGGUAAGUCUCAUUCUUUAAUGUUACACCCACGGCGGGGCCAUAUGUAUGCAUAGUGUUCAUGAUCAUCAUAUAUCUUUCUCAGAAACACAACAAGAAAAUCAAAAGAAUGAAACUUUCCUUUCAAAAAGACAACUUUCACCAGCUUCCGAGAAGGAUCGUAUCCUUAGAUUGAUGUUUACCUGAAACGAAGAAUAAAGAACUAAAGUUGAGGGAAAUAAACCGUGAACUUCGAUACCUGUUGUAUUGUAUGACAAAAGUGUCUUUUCUUUUGUGGUUUACGUAGGUAAUAUCACAAGUUAACUCCAACCUUUCCUCGUGAUCGUAGGCUAAAGUUGAGGACUAAUAAUAGUAGAUAUGUAUGUUGCUGUAUUAUUUUUAAAAGCCAAAGAAAUAAUUGCAUAUAAGAUAGCAAACAAGGACAAGCAGUGCUAUAACUCAUAUACAAAUAAUCCGUUAGCUAGUUUAUAUAUUGAUCCAAUCAAUUCAUGACAAACUUUAUCCAUAAGUGGAUGAUAACAAUCUAUAAUUUAAUUUAUUGGAUAUACAUAAUUUAUCCGGUGAACCAUCUUAAAAAAUUUGGGUGUAUUUGUUAUGCUUAUAAUCCUUAAAAAAAAAUGACAAAACCAUGAAAAAAACGAGGAUGAUGUUGUUGGGGUUGAUUGCAAUGUAAGUCCCGCAUCGCUAAAGAAUGAGGAAAAAGAUCAAAUUAUGCAUCUUGGAGAAGUCCCACAUCGCUUAGAUUAAUGAGGGUGGGAGGAUCCAAGACUAUAUAUAGGGAUUUCAGGCUCCUUGUUUCAACACACCAAAAACACUAAGUAGUAGCACCUGAAAAUACUUUAAGUUUAUAUUUGUGUUUUUUUUUUUUCUCUUAUGCUCUUGUUUUAGAGUAUUGUGAGAUGUAGUUCAAAUAUGUACUUUGGAGAGUGUGGGUGUACUGGGGUCAUGGGGUGGUUGAGAGUGAGGUCUAUGUGCUGUAACAAUUUUCACAUGGUGUUUAUUCUCUGGUUGUCGGUUUUGACAACAGUCGUGGUUUUUUCUCCGAUUUUGGAGUUUCCAUGUUAUAUUCUUGUGUAGUUGAUUGCGCUCCUGGUUUAUUUUACUUCUUCAGCUAUGUUAUUUCCUAACAGUGGGAUCAAAGCUUCCGGUUCGAUGAAUCUCACAUUGUGUGGUAUUGCGAAGGUGCUGAAGAAGUGUGACAUUGUGAAGUGCUGUUUUGGGAGGUUCUAGCUGGGAACCAACCUGGUGCACGGUUUACUAUGGUCUGCAACUGCGAUGUUGCUGUGAUGGAGGAGUUGAUGCAAUCAUGAUUACACAAGGUGUUAUGGGCAUAAAAUUGCCCAGGUGGCACACGGGCAUUGGUGGAUAUAGAUGCAAGGUGUGUGGUGAUAGCGUGCGGGCAUUGGUUGGCGUUGAUGCAAGGUACGUGGUUAUGUCGAUGACUGAUGAACUUCCGGAGAAAGUCAACAUGGAAGUUGCAACAUAAAUUUUCAGCAAGGUUUCGGCAUGUGAAAAUUCUUGGGAUGAUUUAGCUCCAAGUGAAGAAAAUUCUUGGAAUAGUUUAGCUCCAAGUGAAGAAAAUUAUUUGGAUGGUUUAGUUCCAAGUGUAGUGUACUCUUUAUGGUGGAGUAUGAUAAUUUAAUUUGUCGGUAUAUAGACAAUGCAAAUUAUGUUUGUCGGUAAAGACAAUGAUUGUCGGUGUAGACAAUGAAGACUGAAGACCAUUACAAUCAAGGUGGAGAUUGUUGGGGUUGAUUGCAAUGUAAGUUCUGCAUUGCUAAAGAAGGAGGAAAAAGAUCAAAUUAUGCAUCUUGGAGAAGUCACACAUCGCUUAGAUUAGUGAGGGGUGAGAGGGUCCAAGACUAUAUAUAAGGAUCUCAGGCUCCUUGUUUCAACACACCAAAAACACCAAGUAGUAGCACCUGGAAACACUUUAAGUUUAUAUUUGUGUUUUCUUUUCUCUUAUGUUCUUGUUUUAGAGUAUUGUGAGAUGUAGUUCAAAUAUUUAUUUUGGAGAGUGUGGGUGUACUGGGGUCAUGGGGUGGUUGAGAGUGAAGUCUAUGUGUUGUAACAAUUUUCACAUAGUGUUUAUUCUCUAUUUGUGGGUUUUGACAAUAGCCGUGGUUUUUUCUCCGAUUUUGGAGUUUCCAUGUUAUAUUUUUGUGUUGUUGAUUGCGCUCCUGAUUUAUUUUACUUCUUCAGCUGUGUAAUUUCAUAAUCUUCAUUGUCUAGAGUUCAAUGUCUAAAUGGAAUUAACAACUUGAAGCCAAACAAGGUGAUCAUUAGCAGGGAUGUUGUGUUUGACGAGAGGGCUUCUUGGAACUCAUAGGAAGAAAAAAAAUUAAGAAAACAAUCAUUGCAACUAUUUUACACCAGAAUUCAAUAGUUUGAUAUGAGCAACCAGCCCCAUGUACUGAUGUACAUCAAGCUCUUCAUUCUCUUCAAGAUCUCCAAGUUCACCAAGUUCGAGUUCAUCAUCUCUAAGCUCAACUCCAAUAAAAUUAAGAUAUUUGAGUGAUAUUUAUACAAGGUGGAAUUAUUGUGUUGUGGAACCAAAAUUAAUAGUCAAAGGUUGUGCACAGUAGGCCAAAAUUUACUACAGUCAGAUUUGCUCCAGUAACACAUUUGGACACCGUGAGAGUAAUCCUUGCAUUAGCAGCUCAAAAAGGUUGAAAUUUGUACCAACUCAAUGGAAAGUUUGCUUUCUUGAAUAGAGAAUUAAGAAAAGAGGUUUAUAUGCAAUACUUAAAGACUGGUUUCGUCUACCGAAACUGACACACGGUGCUGCAGUUUCAUUUUUCACCAAUGGAUAUAAUAUUUUUUAAUUCAAUGGCCAAGAUUAAUUAACAUUAAAAGAAUUUAUUUGUUAAAUAUAUAUUAAUUUACUAAAACACCCCUACUUCUUUCUAUUCACCCACACUAUUAUUUCCGGUGACAUGUUAACUCCGGCCACCACCAUUCAUGCGACCCACCACUUCUUCUUCCUCCACGGCUACCCUUUAUUCUCCUUCCCACUGCUCUUCAUGUUGAAUAUAUUUUGAUGCAAGAUCUGAAAAUUUUGAAUUUGGGAUUCAUCAUGUUGCAGCUAAAAAUUAAAAUCAACAAUUCCAAAUCUACUUUGCUCAUACCAAAAGGGAAUAGAAAUCUCUGUAAUCGUAAAUGGGUAUUUCCAAGUUCCAAAAUUGCAACCAAAAUGACAUCAAUUCCAGCAUGAUAGAGCAAUUUAGCUAAAUAGGGGUGCAACUGAUCCGUCAGUAACAAUCUGAACAAUCCUCUUGAACGCAAAUAUAUUGAACUUCCAACACUCCCAAAUCUGUUGAAAUUCCAACCACCGCCUCUCCCACCGAAACCGCCACCGCUGCUGAAAGGACCAUCUCCACCACCGCCACCGAAUAAAAACCCAACAUAAGCAAGAAUGAUGAAACAAUCAGAUAGAUCUUAUAUGCAUGUUGCUCCAAAGAGAGAAAACCAGAGAAGGGUUUUGAAGAAAGAAGAGAGCAAGGGUCGGAUCUGAUUUUGGACCCUUUCAUUUCGACCUCAAACAGAUCAGAGAUGUUGGCGGUGGCUCAGGUUUUGCAUAUCAGAGAUGAAGAAACCGUCUCGACGCCACCAUCCUCUCCGGUUUCGCCGCUACUGGUUCUGGAUCUGGGUAUCAUAGGUGUGCGAUCUUGAGUGGUGAAGGCGGAGGAGGGUGGCAGCACUGGCGGGUGGAGGUUGCGGCGGCGGAGGAGCUGGGGUGGAAAGGGAGGAACAACAAUAACAGUGUGUUGGUGAUGGUGGAAGGAGAAAGAUGGAAAAAUUUGAGCAAGGAAGGUUAUUUUUGUCUUAUCCCUCAAAUAGUAAAACUGAAGCACCGUGUGUCAGUUUCAAACUGACACACGGUAGGCGCAGCCUUAAAGACUUUAUGAAAAAGAGUAAGAAGGAAAAAGACUUUAUGAAAAAGAGUAAGAAGGAAAAAGUUUACAAGUUUAAGAAAGCUCUUUAGGUUGAAAGUUGAAACAGUACCCUAGAGCAAGGUGUAGUGAAAUGGAUAGUUACUUCAUUCAUCAAGGAUUUCAAAGAAGUUACAAUAAGCUUACCUUGUAGAGUUGUAGGUAAUGCAUUAAGGUAAGAAUGAUAUUUUUCUUGUCGCCCUCUUUGUGGAUGAUAUGGUAUUAUGGUAUAUAGGGGAACAACGAGAAAAUGAUUGAACAUUUUAAAAUAGAGAUGAUGAUAAAAUAUAAGAUGACUGAGCUUGGCUUGCUACAUCAUUUUCUUGGUAUUAAUCUUUGAUGCUUAUUAACUUUGGUCGUGUAUGUGCUGCAAUGUCAUCUUUAUGCAGUUGGUUCCCUUUUUUGCAUUAGGCUUUUGUGGUCUUUUUUGCUUUUGCUGGCCUAGUGUAUUUGUCUUUUGUAGGCUUGCUUUUUUUAUCCAUAAAAGGAUUGUUUUCAUGUUUCUAAUGAUUUCUAAUAAAUCUCUUUUGCUUAAAAAAAGUUUAUCAAAAUGAAAAUGAAGUUUUUAUUUGUCAAAAGAGGGCUGCGCCUAGCAUAGGUCAAUUUGAAACUGACCCACGGUGGUGCAGUUACUAUUACCCAUCUAAAUUACAAAAUUGUCCAUACUUAUUUUUCACUUUUCAUCAUUCUCCUUUUCUUCCACCACCUCUCCCCAUUUGUCUCCGGCAGCGGUGUUUUAAGCCACCGCUCCCCCACCACCGUGGUGCCGCAAGCAUCUCUACUGAUUGUUAUGUUUGAUGUUGCUGCUAUUUUUUUGGAAUUGAGGAUAAAACAAUUGGGGAUCUGCAACCCUAAACCCCAAAUCUGGAACCGCCAAACACAGCAACAGCGCCGUCGCCGACGAGUCCCACCACUUCUACUGUGUCUCCUCCGACGUUGUCAACCACCUCGCGAAUCACCGCAAAACGCUGCCUCCGCCGUCAAAUGAUAAGGAAAUUGGGGAUCUGGAGAUAAAAAACCCUAAAAACCCAAAUCCAGUACCACCACCAUCACCAACAUCCCUAAAACCCCAAAUCUACCACCACCAUCAUCACAUUAAACUCUCCUUGAACAAAAUCUGUCAUCUCCGCUACCGGCGAAGGAAAGCUGCAACCUUUGUUUGUGGGGUUUGAUGAGGGAGAGAGGAUGACGGGAAGAGGAUCUGCAACAUGAAGAGAGUGGAUCAUGAUGGUGAUCCGUGGGGAUGUGGGAUCAUAGUAUCAUGGUUGAUUCAUCAAGAUCUGCACAUCGUGUUUUAUCAGAUUUGAGAAAAUUGAUGUUGGUGGGUCAAAUCUGUUGAAAAAUUGCUGAAGAAGGAAGAGGGAGAGUUUGGGAGUGGUGGUUGAGGUUAAAGAGUGGUGGCUUCUGUCAUGGUGGUGGCGGCGGCACUGGCGGGUGGAGGUUGUGGCGGCAGCGGCGGAACUGAGGUGGAGAGGGAGGAAGAGCACAACAGAGCCAAACCAGUAAGGAAGGAUGCAGAGAAUAAUUCAGGGGGGCCAUUGCACCAUUUUUAUGUUUUGAAUCUAGAUCAGUGAAUAGUUUAAGAUUAUAUCCAACGGUCCUGAUUAAAAUGAUCCACCAUGGGUCAGUUCAAAACUGACCCACGGUAGGCAAAACCUCAAAAGAGGUAUGCUGAAAAUAUUUUUAAAAAGUUUGGCAUGUAUCCUGUUGAUAUCCGCUUGGUAGUGAAUGAAAAUAUAAAAAGCGAAUAUUGUUAAAGAUUGAUAGAUAUAAGCAUGUACAAAAGUUUAGUUGGAAGCUUAUUUUAUCUUACAGCUUCAAGACUCGAUUUGAUGUUUACUGAUACUAUACUCUCAGAAUUCAUGAGUAAACCAAGUCAUUAAAAUCUUGGGGCAGUAAAAAAAGUAAUAAGGUUUGUGUUGGGUAGGAAGUGUUGAUCAACCUUUGCUCGAGUGUGAUUUCUUGGUUCUCAAAGAAGUACAGAUACGAUGGCAACACAGCAAACACUUAGCUUGAUAAGAAUAUUAGAAGAUAUUGGAGAGAAGAAAAGAGAGAAGUCUUCAGUUUCAUGAUGAAAACAAAUCAAUCAUCGAAUCGUCAUGGCAAAGAAUAUGUUUUCAUAAUCAGGCCAGAUACAUUAACAUAAAGCAUGAGUACUUAAUUCAUUCGAAGUAUAAUUGAAGAUGUGCAAUUAGGUUUUUGCAGGUCACCAGAGCAACUAACAGAAAUGUGCCGAGCUAAUAUUUAGUGGAAUAUAAUUGUUAUUAGAGCAUCUCCAAUGCUAGUUUUUAUUUCUUAGUUCUUAGCACUAUUCAUGUGGGCCCGUAUUGUCACAUGUGCUUAAGCAACUCUCAAGCAAUUUUGCUCCAACCAUGAGUUCUUAGUUUUUACCACUAUUCAUUUGGUCCUACCAACCACAUUAUUUAUUUUUUAUUUUCAUAAAGUAAAAAAUAAAACUCAUAAAGUAAUAAAGUUAUAAAGUAAUUUGGAUGAGAGAAAUAAUUAAUAUUUUAAGUUAAGAACUCAAAAAGUAAAACUUCUUAUAUAAGAACUGAGUUCUUAUUUUUAAGAACUAAGAGCUUCAUGUCAGCACCUCCAAUGGUAAAGUUCUUAGUUCUUAACUCAAAAAUAAAAACUAAGAACCUUGCAUUAGAGAUGCUCUUAGUGACGAGCUAUAGUGGUUAAUGUUAGUGGAAACAUUUAGUUCUUAGUGAAUGAUUAAGUAGGUAUUAAGCAACUAGUGGUAACUCUUUAAUAAUUGUAACACUCAAUUAUCAUUUUAUAAGAUCAUGUGUAUGAGAUGCAAAAAAUAACAAGAUAAAUUGAAAGGCUAAAUUAAGCUUUUCAUCCCUAACAUUUUCGUCCCUAACAUUUUCCAUAAGACUACCACCUGUGUUAAUUAAAUGAUGUGGCAAUCACGUGGCAAGGACACAUGGGCUGGCGGAGCUCAGACGUUGACUCAAACGGCCGGAGGGACUAAAACCAAUUAUUUUGGCAAAAGAUAGGGAUCAAUACCACGUCUUGCUCCGGCGAGGGACGAAAAGCUUAAUUUAGCCAAAUUUAAAAGGAUUUAACCCCUAAAUACUUCCUCUUACUCGAUCAAAUUUUCUCUAAGUUAAUUAGUAAAUAUGAGCUUAUCAUGUACUGCCUUUAUUCUUUGUAUGUUAGUCUCUAUUUUGAGUAUUUUCAUCUCUAGAAUAUGACCGACACUAAAUUGCAAGCCAACAAGAAAAAACGCUCUUCUCCUAUAGUUAGUUAGUUUAUGCGUUUGCUUCUCCUUGUUUUGUUGCUCAAGGUUUCUAAUUAAAGUUUUGCAUAUCAUUCUCUUGCAAGAUACUGCAGGUGGUUCUGGCCUCUGAUAGAUCUUGAACGUCUAAACACAGAAAUCUGCAGAGAUCAUGUGAUCUUCUUGUCUCCCUCCUUAAAGAAUAUUGUCGGAAAAUCAAUUAUGGUAGUUCAGUCGGUGGGCCUAAUGGUCUUGACCUCCACAAAAUAUUGAUGGUGUUAAGGCUAUGGUUUGAAAUUAAAAGUGAUUUACAAUGCUGGAUUGCGCCCAAUAAAUUGGGUAUUUGAAAUCAUCAUCCAACUAACCUAAUUGUAGCUAAGUAAAAAUUUCUGAAUGUAGUGAAAUAAUCUACGAUUGUAGGAUCAAAGAUGUAAUAUAGUGAGGGGAUUGGAUAAGUUUGAUUGCUUAGACGUUUGGUUUUCCUCUAGAGGAAGGUUACUUAUAAUAACUGUCUUCCUUUGCUCCAUUACAAGUUUAUUUGUAUCUUCACGUUUUCUGUGGCUUUUUGAGUUGGAAAAAAAUGGCAAGAAACAAUCCACAGCGACCUGAUAAGAAUAUUCAAAGAAUCAUACCACAAAAGUUAAUUGUUCCCUCUAAAUUUCGGAGAUAGACUAAAGGGCGCUCAAGCUCUUACCUUAGAGCCCGUAAUUCGUAAUGAGUGAAGAAACUCCAUACGUUGAGUCAAAGUUUCCUUAUAAAAACUCACUACUUUGUCCCCUUGGCUUGCUGAGGAUUUCUAACGCUUUUAUAGUACAUUGAUGUGUUAUUCAAGCAUCAUCUUCAUUAUUGCUGAGCGAGGGGAUGCAGUUCAAGUUCAAAUCGGGUUUGGGGUCAAUAAACUCUAAGGAUGCACAAUCUCCAAGUCAACACUUGGUGGAUUUCAAGUGUGAGUGUGUGACUCAUCCAAGCUGGGUUUGGGGUAAUUAAACUCAGAGGAUACACUAACUAGUAUAGUUAGAGAGCUCAAAGCCUUAUAUAUAAAUCUCAAAUUAGGAUUUCAUACUUAAUUUUAAUAUUGGAUCAAAUUUUAUAUCUUGCAAUUAGAUCCUAACAUCCCACCAUGCUCCAUAACCUACGUGGGCUGGCUAGCUAACAUUACAACGUGGCGUCACAACUAGCGCCGCUUGUUUGCAUGUGAGAGACAUGGUGGUUGACAGCUACUGUUUCAGACUAAUUGACAGCUAUUUUGCGGCUAAGUAUACUGGAUGUAUGAUUACAGCACUUAAUUUGCUAGUGUAUGCUACAAUCCCCUUUAGAUAAAUAUAGAUUACAUGAACUAAUUAAAUCUUGUGCGAUUUGGCCCAUAUAUGAACUAUUUCCACCUGCCGGACAAAUAGAAUAAAGGCCGUAGUCUCAAGCUGACACUGUAAGUCCCACCCGACCUAAACUUGUCUGCAUAAUGAGAAUUUAGACAGGAUUACCCCCACACAUGCAGAAGACACAUAAACUAAGUACGUACUAACAUACGUAUGCAUAUGAUUGAGAUUUCUGAUUAAUAAAUAUAGGAGAAUAUACAUGUGUGAGAGCAUAGGGGAGAAAUUAAAGUACACAUGUCUACAACUACAUAACCCUACACAAACAUAGAAUCAUAAAUAGAGGGGCAAAAUAUGGGUAAGCAACACCAAAGUGGUGUCACUUGAUGCUACUCUCCUCUAGUUAAACCAAGGCCAUAAGUUCUUCAUUUCAUUAAGUUUCUCUUAGUUGGCAAAAAGGACAAUAUCACAGAAGUCAUCCAUGAGUGAACCAAUGUUGAUUUCUUUAGCACAUUAGUCAGCUAUCUAUUACCCAAUUAUUAAUGAGCCAAUUCUAUAUUUAGUAGUUUCCCCCAACUCAAUCCCCCACUCGGUUGCCCCAUUUGCAGCAAAAGCAUUUCAAUUGCCCUCAAAUAAUGGUGAUCAUGAAUCAUUAUUCAUCACUAUGCAUGUGAGUAGUUUAUUCUUCACCAUCCAGAGCUAUAUCGAAAUAUAAAAUAAAUAGUAUGCUCUAGGCUUAAAUAAGUUUAGUCCCUCUAAUAUACUUCAUUUUUUAAUUUCGUCCUUGUAAUUUUUUUAGUAUCUCCAAAUAAGUAAAUGGCAAUCCUCUUUUACAUACAAAUGAUACAAUCCGAGUCUUAAAAAAUAUAGUAAAUGAGAAACUAAUCGCUUACUGAUUUCAUUAUAUAUUAAUUAUUUACAUAUAUAUGCUUUAAGAUUUUACCUAGCCAUAUACAUUGUAUGUCGUCCAUUUCCAUAUAGUGCGGGUAGAUUUUUCUUUAGGAACUUGUUGUGUUGUUGUCAAAGGAUAAGGUUUGUCUUUCUUUCGACUUUAGCAAACUAAUCCAUAACAUAAAGACACAACUUAGCAAAAUAAAAUUCAUACAAAUCAGCAUUAAGAAAGUUCGAAUAUAAUAUUAAAUAAUUCAUGUAGCUCUUAUCCAAGCGCUUAAGCUUUUGAGGUAAUAUGUUAUUUGACAUGGUAUCGGAGCCUCUAUGACCAAGCGGUUUAGAGUUCGAUCCCUACCGCCCCAACUCUUAUAAUAAAAAGUUGAAUUAAAAAGCACAUGGUAAGUGGAUUUGUGCAUCGUCAACAUUUCAAGCCCAAAUGACUAUUGCGUGAGAGAACGUGUUAGAAUAUAAUAUAAAAUCAUUCAUGUAGUCUUUACCAAUAAAUUAAGCUUUGGGGAUAAUUGGUUGACAGCAAUGGGGCACGGGAGAGGCCGAGGAAGAGGGUGAUGGUGUCAUAUAUAUGGUGCCCGAGGGUGAAGGUGAGGGUGGCAGAGGAGGAAAAGGGGGACACAAUAGGCAGCUUCACUGGAGAAAGAGUGAGGAAUGUUGGAGGAUAAAGGGGCCAAGGGAGACGCUGAGGGUAAUAAAGGAAGAGAAGGAGGGAGGGGGCGGCUCAUAGCAUAAGAGGAGGGUGAGUAGAAAGAAGGUGAGGGGGUGAGGGAGAGGAGCGGCCAAGUAGGGAAGCAGGGAGAAGGACAUAGGAGCAAGAGAAGGGCGACAGAGCAGGGGCGGAGGAAUGUGUUAGGUAAAAUUAAUUUUUAAAUCAUUAAAUAGAUAAAUCCUAUAUGGAAUAAUUAUAUCUUCACACCUCAUUUUUAAGGUGUGGAGAGGUGGAAGAAGAGACUUCCGCCUGCAUAAAAGUUAAGUGUUAUUUUACACCUUGUUCGACUUGUAGUGGGAAGUGGACUUACAACAUAUCUAGAGGCUUGACAUGAUAAGCAGUUACGUUCCUGCAUCUGUACUGUGGAUUAUCCCUCCUAUUUGUGUUUGGAAUCUGUUAACUACUGAUUAGGGGGUUUUGUGUAGUUUCUUUUUUCUUUCUUUUUUCUCUUUGUUAUUUUGUCGCUAGUUUUCUUAAGCUUAAAAAAAAUGAAGUUUUAGUCAUUUAUUUAACCAACGACCUGCUGAAAUAUCAUUCUCUCUAAUUGGAACAAAUGUGUGAAGAACCGCAUGAUUCUCCCCCAAAGUAAAAAGGACGAGAGCUUGUACCUUGACCAAAAGUAGUUGGCUUAUGUAUGUGAUGUUUUUCAUGUCAUCCUUUAGGGAAAGCCAGCAUUUCUGCAUUUGUACUGCAUAUUAUGUGAGAAAGAAAUUCUGGUGCACAAAGUAUCUCUCUCCCAAGGCACACCUUAACUUUUUCUUUAAAGUUUGAUAGCUCCAUGCGGGUCCUCAAUUUCCUAACAUUUUUAGCACCAAACCCAUGCCUAGCUUUUACUCCUCAACUCAUCAGAACUCUUCAUGUUAUUCCUCACUUGGUCAGUGUUCUGUCUGAGUGAUCUUCAGAUAGCCCAUAAUGAGCAUUCAAAUCUUACAAUUCGUUAGGUAAGUUAGGAGUAUUUAUCAGCAGGAGUACACUAGGGAGUUCUUUCUUCCUCUUCCCAAUAUUCUGAAUAAAGUGACAAUAUUGUUCUUUUGGUUGAUUUUUUGGAUAACUUACAUUGAUAAUUUGACAUCUCUGAAGUUACAAAUCUGCAUAUUUGAGAGAAAAGCAUACAAGUAUGGAUUUGGCUCCAAUUUAACUGUAAAAUAAGUCAUCACCGGACCCUAGAAGUAUAUACACAUGUGAAAACAUAAGUGGAUUGAACAACACAUCUUUAAUCUAAACCUUAAGACAAUGAUUAUGCAGAAACGAAAUAUGUGUACUGAUGGAUGUACCAUGCCUUUUUUAUUCCCAGCAUAUGUGCUUUAUACAAGGACCUGUUCCUUUUAGUAAGAAAAAGAGAUUGCCAUGCUAGAUACGAUGACAGAGAAAUAAGUAACAAAGGUACAAACUUUGCUUCAUUUUUCUUUUACUUUAUCACUUGCUCCGUAACUGAAGGUGUCUUUAACUCCCUCUUUCUCAUACCCUAUCAAUAGAUUUUUAAGCACCAAUCAAGACCUCUCCUUUUUCUCCCCAAAAAAGUAGAUUUAACAGCUUUAACAUAGUCCCAAAUAAAUGAGUUCCACAUUAAGCCUAUGAAGAUAUUUAAGUUUUGUUGACAUAGUAAUCCCAAAGUCAUUAAAACUGACAUUGUAUCCUGCUUGGAAAUCAUACAUGAUGGGCUGGUAAAUUAUUAUGUUGUUUCAAUCAGCAUCUAGACAACCCAUGUGGGUUGGCGUCGUGAUUUAACAUUUUGUUUCUUAAGUAAGUGAUUGAGAGUUUGAUCAUCAACUUUUAUAAAUGGAAAAAAAAAAUUCAUUAAUCAGUUUCCUACCGCUUAGUGCGUUGAUAGUGGAGCGAAGAAUUAAUCUCACAAUUAUCAGUUGGGAAAGCUUGGCUAACAUUGAAAAAUCAGCAUAUCCUUGCUGACAUGAAGUGAUUAUAUAUCAGUGGGGAUGUCUGUUGUCUAGGGAAUUUAUGAGGCACCUUUAAUGACAAUCAUAAAUGCAAAUUUAGGAAAUUGGGUGAUUUCUUGCCUGAAUUGGCUUGGCAAUGGGGAAUUGGGGUGUGAUACUCCAUUGCACUUGGGCAUACAUAGAUUUCUGGUGUACUAACAACAACAAGGGCAUGCAUGCACAUGGACCAUGGUCUAAAUAUACAAUCUGUGCAUGUGAGCCCCGUGUGUCACGUGCAUGGUGGAUAUUGUGACUGGAAAGUCAUUCAUUCAUUGGGAACAAUUUCAUUUUUUCUUAAAGAUGUUAAUCAUCACUGGCUGUGGUUGUGGGGUUAUUCCCUUUGUUGGUGAUAGAAAACAUGUGUCCCCACUCUGAUGUGGUGUCAGAGGCUUGUGUGAUGUGAGCCGUAAUAAUAUCUUGAAUGGAAUGGGCUUGCAUUUGCAUUGCAACCCUUUGAUUGCAUCCAUAGAAGCUCUAGCUAUUGAGGUUUGUUGUGGUUCAGCUACAGCCAACAAUUAGUUGCGUAUUAAUUUUAGGGAAAUGAUUUUUAGACCCCGGUACAUUGUAGUCAUAUAUACGCUGGACAUCCAUAUUUUGUGGAGGUCAAAUUUCGGAAUCGAACGCAAAUAGCGAAUUCAUGCAGAUUAUCCAACGUGAUUGGUAUUCUAACGACUAUUUUGUGGCAAUUUGAACAAUCAUAAUGUGAAAUAGAAAGAAUGCGUGUGAGUUAUCCUUUACCAUUUUCUUGCACACUUUAAAACAAAAUUCUCCGGUGCAAAUUUUUCUUUAACAUUUUGUAGCUUAGGAAAAUUUGUAAGAAAAUUGGAGGUAAAUUUGAAAGUAAUCAUUUAACCUAUAUGGAAUCAGGACCAUUUGCAGAGUAUAUUUUUAUCAUGUAUUUGGCUAGACCCAAACGUAGGUGGGCUUAAGUAAUACAAUGUCAACAGUCUGUACUAUUGUAUAAAUAAUUGGGCCUGGGGUCCUUGUUUGAAUUGGGCCUUUAAUUAAUAUUUUGUGUGAAGUCUAUCCAUAAAAACAACUGCAUAUCGACCAAAAAUAUAACUGCAUGUGUGACAUUUUUUGUACAUCGGGAAAAUAAAUUGCACCCACCUGAGAUUGAUCUAUGGACCUCCCUCACCUUACCCAUAUUUCUUCUAACUCUUACCACUUGAGCUAUCAUUCAUUUAUCCACUGUGAGAGCAAAUAAUUAUGGUGCAUUUGCUUCUCAUUAAUAGUCAGUUUGUUCUGCAGAGGUGCACUAGAAAUAGAUUUUUCUCACAUGGACCACAGUAUCAUUCGUUUGUCCACUGUGAGAGCGGCUCGUUGGAUGUUAUUAAACUUCUUACACUAGAAAGUUCUUCACGGAUAGAUGUUAAUAUGAGGGAGAUGAAAAAGAACAUCACAAUUUUCGUGCAGACUUAGCGUGUGACUUUCAAGCAUGUUGGAAUGGAAGCUAAUUCUUGUGCUGAUCGUCUAAUUUCUUUAGGUCAAGCUUCAUCCAAAAGACAACCUCAAGCUUUGGUCCCUGCCUCCUGAGGAUGAAUUGUUCCACUCCUAGCUUCAUUUAGGUGCUGUUGUUUUUAGUUUUGUUUUGCUUUGUUUUGUUUUUCUUCUCUUGUCUUUAUUUCAUCAUCGCCAAAAAAAAUUUACUCUCUGAUCAAGAAUAGCUCAUAAACACACAGGCCCAAUAAUGUUGAGGUUGACCGGAACAUAAACUAAGGCCGAAAUAGGAUGUAUGCGCUUUUUUGACACACAAUCCAACAUUAAGGGCAAAAAAGUUCACCCCACAUUGCCUAACCCAAUACCAUUUUCAACUUUCAAUUAUCUCAUUUCCUGUUAGUCAUCAAGAAAAAAAUGACACUUUUUUUGUCUGCUAAUAUGAGAGGAAAAUGGAUAAAGUUUCAUUCAAACUCUCUUUAGUGAAAAUGAGAUGUUGAAAAGAUAUAAAUAGGAAGAAAAUAGAGAAAAAUAAAAAAUGUGAUUGGUGAUAUGAUUAAAAGAGAAGAGAGGUAGAUUGAAAGUGGACUCGAAAGUAAAAUAAAUGUAUAAAUGACCGUUCGAGGAAAAUUUAGCAACAAAACGCAUUCUAACUUGAGGAUAACUAAUUGCAUCUUUUCAUACAAGGGAUAUUGAUUGUUAUAUAAGUAUUUGAGGUGUUAAAGCAUCCUUUCAAAUAUGGACCAUUAACGGUCAACAUAUUAUGUGAUUUCGAAUGAAAUUGCAAAUGGUUCAUUCUAUGAUCAGCAAUAGCCAUGCAUUAAUCUUCCAAAUCAUUCAAAGUCAACAACCAAUUUGAUCCUUCAUCAGUCAAAGGAGUCAUGGGAAGCGCAGCAAUGAUGAAAUGUCACAUAAAAGAAUUCAACAAAUGAAAAAAGAAAGACAUCAAUUCUUCAGAUGUAGAAUGGGUAAAAUAAUAAUAUAUAAGCUCAAAACCAAUAUUAAGGACUUGUACAUAUCACAAACUGAUCAUACCCUUCAUAAAGCUAAUUACUAUUUUACAAUAUAGCAAGCACCAUUUUAAUCAAAAAGCAUAUAUAGUAUAGUAAUAAAAACAACCCCUUAAAUUCAUUAUAAACAUAUAGCCAUGAUCCAUCAUAAGACAAAACAUGACUACUACCCUCAAGUGACAAAUUCCAACACCAUUUCUUCCAAUUCACUGCAUCAUAAAUACCACAAGAGAAGCCAACAUGGAACAGCACAGAACCACCCCAGAAACAGGCAAAGCAAACCCAGCUCCAGCCUCCAACUGUGCUGUAGGAGCAAUCUCUGAAUCCAGAGCCAGAGUGUUGGUCAUGCAAACCAAGACUACAACCAUCACUGACAUCAAAAACUUAGCUGCAUAGCCUCCAAAUGUUGCCAUUUCCACUGGAUUUCUUAUGUUACUGGAAUAAAAUUAACAAGGAGGGUGAAAAGAUUGUAUUUUUUGAGGACCAAAUUGUUCAAUGACAGAGUCAAGAGUUGGGUUUAUAUAGAACUUGUUAGGGGUGUGUUCAAAGGUCAUCCUUGUCAGGUUGGUAAAGGGUACAUUAAACAUUAACCAUUCUUAAUGUUACUAUGGCUUUUGGAUUAAGGCUUGAGAUCCCCACAAGACCAAUCAAACCUAGUCGGUGAAAGGUGAGAUUAUGAUAUCAAAGAGCUUCCUACGUUACAGUCAGAGGAUCAAUAUUUUUUUUUGUUACAGUAGGAAAGCUGUUAGAGGAUCAAUUUGGUACGUCACUUUUGAAUUUUGAUUGUUGAAAAUACAAUAUAAAACCAUUCACUUGUUUUAAUCAAAUAUUGAGUUUUUGGAAUAGUUUGGUUUUAUAACAUGGAAUGAGAGCUUAUAUGACUAAGUCAUGUUUGAAUGUACUAUGAAAAUUUGCAGUGAAGGUAAAAUCACGAUGAACAACUUCAAAAGCUAGGGAGAGUUGGUCUAUUGUGACUUUAGCUCAUGAUAAAUUUCUAUUACGUAUCUAAACAUACAUUAAGUGACCUAGAACUUGAUUCAUGUUGCCCAUAUUUAGAAUGCUUUAGGGUAAACAACUUAAUUAAGUGUUUAUCGUAUAAACGUUCAUUUAUAAGUUAAUCUGACAACUUAUAGGUAUGUCAUACGUUAUUUACAUAAGCUUUUACGAGCACUUGCAUAAGUGAUUAUACUAUAGAAUAAGGUCAAGUAAUUAAGGUCUUCCAAACGGGACAAUUUUAAUAAAAAAUUAAAUUUUAGCACGAGGUAAGUAAUGAGCUCUUGCGUGAGGGGUGUCUUAGAAAUUCAAUAUAAAAUCUGAAAUAGUUUUUGGGAUAGUUGAUUCAAUGCAAAAUUUGAGUUUAUUACAUGGCUUAAAUUGGGUUCUUAAACUUCUUUUCCUCAUCAUUGUCACUUGUCAGUUACUGAGCGUAAUAGAAAAGUGAAAGGCAUUACUUGGCAGGCUAUCCUUUCUUAAUUCAUUGCAGCUGGUGGAUAAUCACUUUCAGGCCAGCUGAAGAUCCAUUGACAUAUCAACGGUGCCAAAACUUUCAGAGAGGCCAAGUCUAUGGAGCAAACAUCAUGUCUCUGUUGCUUCUUAAGGUCAGGAAUCUAAAAUUCUAGCUUAAUUUGGCACUUGAGCAUGAUAGAAUAGAAUGAUUGAUAAGUAUCCUACCUAACAGAAAAAAAAUAAAAAGUUACUGACUAUUGAAUACUAGAUGUUUCUAUUUUAAGGAUUAAUGUAACAAGUUUAAGUUUAGACCAAUUUGAACUAUGUAAGUCAAAAAUCACAAUUUGGUCUGGUGAUAAGUGAAUUCAAUUGUUUAUUGAAGGUAAUUUGUUUUGAGAACUGCAUAACCAAAUAGAGUAACCAAAGAGAACAUGGUUUUGAUGUUUAAGUGUGUUUUCUUCUUUUUCACUCUUCAAUUUUGUCACAGCGUUGAAGUUAAAAAGUCUGGUCUUUAAGUUUUUUUUAUAUACCUUAUCAAUAAUUAGCAUCACAAUAAAGAUUGAAUUGAUAUCCGGCCACUCCAAGAGAAGCCAAUUGUUGAGCUUUUUCAACUUUUACCAGGCUAAUUUAUUUAAUGUAACCGUAUUCAAAACAAGCCUCAGUGCAUUUAUGUCAAUGUUGCUGUUACAAAAACAGUAACCAAAAUCACAAAAUGUUUUCUGAUAGCACAAAAGGAAGUGCAGGGGAGAAUCGAUCAUCUCUCUCAUUUCUAAUGGAGGAUCCUUAACGUGUGCAUAAAGAAAAAUAUCAAAAUAAGCUCUAUCACUCUUUUUACCUACACCUUUGUCUAUACUAUCACCUGUUCCAUUAAACAAGGAUUAAUAGCCAAAACAGUCAAAAGAAAUACAAAUAUGUAAUAUAUCCAAUCUUUAAGUAUCUAGAAAAAAAACUCUUAAAAUGCUAACCUUGAGAAUUUUCAUGUAUAUCCAGGCUUUGAUCACAACAAUUCAAACAUGUCAUCGGAAAGGGCUUUUGUCAUUAAUCAUAGAAUAUGCAAUUUGAUUCUCCGAGCUCCGGUGCUCGCUCGAAGCCGAUUUCCCUUAAUUUUUAUUUUUAUCCUCACAGAUAAGCAGCACAUAUUCUAAUGUAGUUUGAAUAUGUUUUUAGCCGAUUCAUGUCUCUUAUAAGUUAUAACACUGAAAUGGAUUUAGUUUUGGUCAAUUCAUGUCUCUUAUAAUGAAUUUUAAUAUUAUAUAAAUGCAUCUUGUUAUGUCUGUUUAAAUUUCUUCAAUAUUAUAUAAAUCUUAUAUAAUUCAGUUUUUGUUUGCCAGAAAAUUGAUACCGCAUUGAAAUUGCUUUUUGGCAAUUUCCAGAAUGAUUAUGCUAUAUAUUGGAGCAAAUUGUCAUUUCUUUCAACCUACUUCUAUGACUUACAAGAUCUUAUUUUAGGCAGUUGAAGAUUUCAUUGUUUACACUUUGUUACCCUCCUGUCUGUCACAACCUUUUUUUUAUACAAAGAGCAUUUGUAAUUUUUGUUGAAACCAGUUUUGACCUUUUACUACUUAUAUUGUAGCACACAUUUUUGUUAUUACACAAUACAACAACAAAUACCUAAAUUGUUCAACUUAAUUUGUGUACUGCUAUAUAUUUUUCAAGAUACAAAUUGUCGUGUAACACACCGGUACAAAAUCUAGUUAAUUGUACCACUACAACAAACAGUGCAUUUUGCGGCGGUUGCAGAAGCCCUUUUGCGGCGGUUUUAACCGCCGCUAAAUGCAUCUUGCGGCGGUUUCCAAACCGCCUGGUUUACAGCCGUCGCUACGCUUUCUGCGGCGGUUAGUUACAACCGCCGCAAAACACUCAUUUGAAUUUUGCGGCGGUUGGAACCACGCUGGUAACGAGUUCAAGGUAAAAAAAAUAGUGUCACUCUGCGGCGGUUUCAACCGCCGCAAAUAUUAAAUUUAAAUAAAAAAAUAAAAGUGAAAAUUUUAAGUUGUUUGGAUUUUGAUCAAAUAGUAAGUUAAAGACAAAUGUACAUCUCACAAAAAUAUGUUAAUUACAAAUCAACUAUAGUUUCAGGAUAAUGCAUACUUCAAAAGAAAGACAACCAUAUAAGUAAACUUGGUGGUAAGGCUGGAUAUCCAAGUCAGUCUAAUACACAAUCUCUUCAAAUUUAGAGCACACAAUCUAAAAUGGUGAAGGGGUGAAGAAACCAGAAUAGAUGAAGAUCGAAGACUGUGGCAUGAAUUCAAAUGAUAUCAUAUCCCUUCAUUCUACUAUGUAUGGAAAGUUCUAGAAAAUAAAAGAACAAAGACAAAAAUAAGGAAGCCUUACCCCAACUUUCACUUAACAAGGUGGUCUUACAACUUCAUUUGAUAUAACUCUUGAAGCCACCUUUCAAAUUAUUGAAGAUGAUGCCCUCACCUACAGAAUAAAGAAAACAAACAACAAUAAUUUCCAGUUUUUUCUCCAUGCACUGAGAAAGAGUAUGAAGAAUAAGUGCUUGAAUAGGUGCUUUUGCCAAAUGCCAUGCAAUGACGCAAAUUUCUCCCUACUGUAGUACCCAUGGAAGUUUACUAACUUCAAGCUGAAUUAAGUAGGUGAAGUUGAUCACAAUUAGGUAAAUUCUUAAAUGUGGAAUACUCGAAUGGUACCUGGUCUCAUAUCUCUGUUCCCAUGUACUGUGCCAUUUCCUAACAUGUAACAACAUAGCAAAGAAGAUGAGAAUUCGAGAACUAAUGCAUGCCAUCAUAUCACACGACUUAAAUAUAUAAAAAAGAAAAUAAAAGCCAACAAGGAUAGAACAAACCAGAUUGUAAUAAAAAACUGGUCAUGAAAGACUAGAAGUAUGCUUAGUGUUUCAAAGGAAAGAUAUUACUAGAUAAGAGAGAAAGAUAUGGUGGUUGCGAGAAUUUACCGGCUAGCUUGCAGUGCUUUGUCUUCACUGCCUACUAUUAGAAGAGAUAUAAUCAUAUAAUGCAACUUGUAACAAGGAUUUAUGUAAGCAAAUGGAAGUCACAACUUAGAUUAUUCCUGUAAGAAAAUGAGAAACAUGUUAAAUUAAACUAGUUUGUGUUCAAAAAGUAAAAGGGAGGACGAAAAAACUAGUGGAAAAUCCAACUCGUUAAACAAAACAGUGGCUGGGCAAAAUGAUGUUGAACCAUAUUAUGAUACUUUACAUUAGUACUCUCUUUUAAAAGGUCUAAUUUUUUUCUUGUUUUCUUGCAUAUGGACAUAUCACAACUUAGAUGAAGACAAAUUAUAACACAAUGAAGUUUAACAUAGUUUGUACAGAGAAUAAAGUACUAAGUACUAAUCAAGAAUCUCCAUGUGGUCAUACCCAAAAGAGUCAUGCCACAUACAGUAGGUGCCUUCACCUGAUGCUGUGUUUUUUUGCCAUUUUAGGUUAUCACUGAAGAGUAAGUUGAGAAGAAGAAAAUGCCAUAACCAUCAUAAUAAAAGUAAAGUAAUGAUCCUUCUAUAUCAUACACUAACCUGUCAGCCAUUUGUUUUGCAUAUGUAAUAUCAUCUUGCCAAUCAUAAGUAUCCCCUGCACAUGUAAUAGAUAGAUAAAUAAAGAAUAAAAGAGAGAUAUAAACCAUCAAAAAUGUAGUUUUGAUCAUUUUAAAUGAUUGGAUUCAACUAUUUUCUUCCACUUUCUCUCUUUCAUUGGAUUGCUAAAACGUCUAAAUGUAUGAUUAACAUAAGAAUUUUCAAUUGGAUAUCAUGAUUGCUCUUUGUUUUUCCUAUACAAAUGGUACUUAAUAAGAAUACACAUAACAAUAGCAAUUGAAUCCAAAUAUGACACAUACAACACACAAGCAUAGCAAAAGCAAUAAGAGCUCGUUUGGAUGCAAAUUAAAGAGAACUUAUUAAAGUUUAUGUAGCGCUUCUUUUAGUGAAAAAGCUCCAAUAAGUGCUCUUUGGUGCAUAUCCAAGCGGGAUCUAGGACAAUAAGCAACCAAAAUAGGUGAGGGUGAUUAGAAGAGUGACUCACAACAUUCCUCCUCUGCUCAACAAUAACAAUGAGACGAAGCCAUAAGUAAAUAUCCAUCAGUUAAAUCUAAGUAUCUAUAUCCACACAAAAUGAAACCAAAUGAUAAAUAAAACCACGGAGAGAAUCAUUAGAUUAAGCGUUGAGAUCAAAUGCAUGAUAAAUUAAACCACAGAUAGACUUAUAUGUCCAAAAUGAAGGUAAUGUAAAUAUACUAAAGAUGGAACUAUUAGAAAUGCUUUUAUCACCAGAGCGAGGCAAAGGAGAAGGUUAAGAGUGGGUGCCAAAACCUUGCCAUGAAAAAAGAAACCCUAAAAGGAUGGAUUCUUGGGAAAAUGCAGAAAGAAACUAUAUCAUCUACAAGCAUGGGAAAAAGCAGAAAGAAACUAUACUAUAUUUUCAUAUCAGCAGCAAGCAUGAGAAUGAUUGCACAAAGGAGAAAAAAGGGAAAGCAUAAAUUAGGGAAUCAAGACAAAUGGAAUUUACCAAGAACAUAACUUGACAGCACAAGUGAAAUAUCAUAAUACCAGACCAAUUAAUUUACCAAGAAUAGAUCUUGACAGAAAAAUUCACAAGCAAUGCAGUCCAAACAGAAAAAAGCCAUGAAAUCAGAGAAGAGAGGGAUGUACCUGGCUUCCAAACAACGAUUGUUGAGUGCAAGAGGGCAAAACCCAAAUCAAAGAAGGAAAGGGAAGGGAAAAGAAGAGAAGAGAAGAGGAAGAGCAAGAGAAAGAGAGGGAUGAACCUGAACCUGGCCGAGGAAGCGAAGAUCUGUGCGAGAGGGAUACAAACACCAACACCAAAUCUGAAAGAGCAAAACCCAAAUCAAAGAAGAGAAGAGAAAGAUAAGGACCAACCUGAGCCUGGCCGAGGAAAAAUGACUGUGCGAGAGGGAUACCAACACUGAAGAGAAGGGAAGAGGAGAGAAAAAGAUGGACGAACCUAAGCCAGGAUGAGUGAAUGGGGAUGAAGAAACUGUGAGUGAGUUCAGAGGCGGCAGAAAUAAGGGCUUUGAGGUUUUUGGGGAUUCAAUUAAGACUAAGAGGGAAACGAAAACGAGUUAGAGGGAAAGAAAAACGAGCGAGAGGGAAAGUGAAUUGCGAGUGGGAAGCCAAAAUUAGGGCAAGCUGCGGCGGUUGCUUCCUUAAACCGCCGCAAACUACACAAAAUAAAAUAAAACAAAAUAAAACACUCCUAAACCGCCGCUGAACGUUUAAAAACCGCCACAAAAUCUAUAUAACAGCGACGGCUACCUAAACCGCCACAUCAACCGCCGCAGAUGGUAAUAUUGCAGCGGUUGCAGGAAAACCGCCGCAAAACGACCGCCGCAAAGUACCAGUUUUCUUGUAGUGUACAAAGCUGGAAUAUUUACCCUAAAUGGAAUUCUGAGUUAUAGGGUAAAUGUAGGCGAUCCAUGUCACUUCCCAGCAUAUUAACCACCCUAAUCAUGGAAGGUCUUUCAUGAGCCUUCCACAAUAUACCCAAGAAGAGCAAUAACAUUCUUGUGGUUGGUGUUACUUAUCCUCAUUACUUCAUUUCUGAAAUCUUCAUCAUCUUCAUUAGAAGCUCUUAAAAUCUUUAUAGCCACCUCACAAUCACAGGGCAAGAUUCCCUUGUACACAUUGCUAAAAGUACCAUCUCCUAGCUUAUUGCUAAUCAAAUUAUCGACGCCUACUGAUGUACACUCUUUAGCUUGUUAUGAUUUGAUCCAAUAUCUACAGCACAUUGGUUACACUUUUCAAGCAACUCAUAAUCUCCUUCACGUGUUAACUUGGGUCUAAAACAGCUAAUCACAAAACAUGUCGCGAAUGAUAUAAAUGCUACAUCUGCAACACCUGUAAGCAUAUAUAAUUAUAGAAUUAGUGAACAUUUAAUGUACAUUAAUUUUCAUGAAAUAAUGUGUGUUAUUACACUCUAAAUAUGAAAAACAAUUCUGUUAUUGCGAUCUCUAGUUAAAGUUUUUUUUUAACGUCUAGUUGAGGUUGAAAUUCAAUGAAUUCAUCUUUUUUUCGUUGGAAAGAUAUAUGAAGUAAUGAUUGGUUUCACAUGGAUGUCAGAAGGAGGAAAGUAAGUGAAAAAAAAAAUCUAUCACACUAAAUAAAACAAAAUUAGAAAUGAAGAUACUUACUUCGGAAUGGAUAUAUAUAUAUAAAUAUAUACAAAGUAGUACUAUACUAAAACGUAAAUAAUAAAAUAGAGAGAAAUAGAAAAUUAUUUCAAGUUAAAUAUCAUAUCAUACAGAAAUACAUUAGAAAAUCAACAUUUUAAGAUAUAUAAAGAUUAAAAAAUUAAAAUGAUAAUAUAAUAAGAAAAUCUGAUUUGUUUAAUUUUUCUAAAAAUGUAUAUAUGUUUUGCUUGCCAUAAUUAACAAGAUUAUUCGCACGGUGAUUGAUGACUUUCUGCUAUCCAUUUGUUAUGCUUUUAUUUUUUCCUUCUAUUGUGAUCACUCUCGUUGUCGGUUGUCCUCUACUUUAAAAUUUCAGAGCUAUGUUCGUUACAAAUUAUUUUCUACUUAAGUUAUGAAUUAAAGUAAAAAUUGAAUAAUUUUGAGGUUUAAUCACAUCCAACACCUAAAUUUUCGAAUAAGUGGCAUUUUAAAAUUAUAUAUAGUAAGGGGAGGUGAUUUAUAAUAUGGUUAUUUUGUUGAACUGGAUCAUUUUUACUACUGUUUUACCUCACAUGCAUAAUUACAUACUAACCACAAGCAAUGAAGCAACAUUCAAUUAUCUACAAGAAGUUUUUCAUAUCAAUCUCCAAUAACAUCCCUUAAUUGCAUAACUUUAUUCAAUGAUAGAUUGCUUAGGAAUCUUCUAAAUUUUAUAAUUUUCUCUAAUUUAUCAUUAAUUACUUUAUUGCUUAAUUCUGGAUUAUGACAAAAUUAUUGCUAUUUUCUCUUCAUUGUAAAAAAUACUUCAUGAAAGAUACAAUUAAAACAAAAAGAUAUUCGCAUUAAGCAAAUAUUGUUUUUAUUGUUAUCUUACUAUUGUGUUAUAAAAUUGUUACGAUUCAUGAUCAACAAAUGACCUACAGAAAACCUAAGGGUUGAGAUUAAUACUAGAAUCAUGUGCAAACAAUUAUUUGAAUAAGGAGGUAAAAGUGAAAUGGUAGAGAUAAAUGAAAAACUGGAACCAUAAUCAAAAUGAAAAAUAUGAAAAGUCAAAUCUCUCAAAUGAAUGACAGGCCGAGAGAUAGAGGACAUGAGUAAGUAGGAAAUAGAUGAAUAAGAAUUUAACAUGCAUGUUUCAUAAACUGUAAACAAUUAUCAGAUUUUUAUAAUUGUACAUUAAAUAGACGAGUAAACGGUGAAAGAGGUAAUAUAAAAGGGAAUUUGGUUUAUUACCUAUAAUAAGAAUAACAAUAAUCUUCCUGAUCUUCCGACUCCAUUCAUUUCCUGGAACAACACAUUUUGAAAGAAAAGUUAGAGAUAGUAUAUUUUAUAAUUUAUUUUAACAAAUCGCAAACAAUGAUUGAUGCAAGGCAAGUAAAAAAGAAUAUAUACACACCUAUAUUAGGAUCAGAUUGCUCGGUCGGGUCUUUGUUGCACGUAAAUGCAUUAAUUGUUGAAUUGUGUCUGCAUUUUUUGCUCAACAUUAUGCAAUUGUGGCAUAUGUCUUUGUCCAGAUUAUGUUCAGCCUCAUGCCCUUUCCGUAAAACAGAAUCCACAACCAUUUUGUUUUGGAAGCGUGAUUCUCUGUUUGCAUCCCAUAUUAUUGAAGUUUGCCGCAUUUAUUGUUGACACUAAGCGUCCAUGGUACUGAACACCAUCUCGGACACAUUUAAAAGGUAUAUGUGGGAUUGUAUUUAGGGGUGAGUAGUUCGGAUCGGGGUGCAAUUGUAAGAAUUCCGGAGUCCUGAUUAAUAUCAAGGACAAAUGUAAUAAAGAAAUUUGAGUGAAACGAAAACGAACUAUGACCGAAGCCAAUUGUCUAAUACUUCCUCCGUUUCUUAUUAACUGUCCACUUUGAAGAGAAAAAAUUGUUCCUAUAUAUCUGUCCACUUAGAGUUUCAAGAGAGCAUUAAAUGAUGUUUUUCCAAGAAAUGCCCUUGUAGGAACAAUAAAUGAGGAAGAUAAUAUGCAUUUUAAAGGGUGAAAUAGGAAAUCAAAUAAUACUUUUAUGAAAAGUAACAAAAUUAAUUGCACUCCUUAAUAUGUGUGUUUCUUCUCUUCCUGGACAGUUAAAUGGGAACAGAGAGAGUAAGUAAUUAUAAUAACUAAGAAUGGUCUAACUCAUAAAAGUAAAAUGCAUACAGCAGAAACAUCCCAAUUUAUAGUGCAUUUGAAUGGUUUUAAUCAGACUAAUCACAACCUAUCUAAGCAUAGUAAGAGGUUUACAAACCACAUACCACACAAAAUAAAUGAAUCAAACCCUCAAAAUCUGCAAAACCAUACACUUGAACCUUUUUUUUUUUGAAACCAUACACUUGGGCAUACUCAUAAAAGUAAAACACAUAUAAUAGUCCGAAUUCAUAGCGCAUUUGAACAGUUCUAGUUAGACUAAUAUUACAAAUCUAAGCAUAACAAGAGUUUGACAAACCACAUAUCACGCAAAACCAAUGAAUCAAACCCUGAAAAUAUUCAAAACCAUACACUUGGACCAUUUCACAACCAAAAGAAGUGGAGUUUUCCAAAACUAACUCAAAUCCAUGUCCUAUAAAUCCCAUGCAAAUGCCCCCAUUGUACCUCAGACCUGCAACAAAGUAAGAAAAAACAAACAAAAAAAAACACAUUUGUUUUCUCAGCACACACUUGCGGGUCUCCAAUAAACAAGUCACAUUUUCAUUCAUCAUGGACAUGAAGAAGGUCACUUUCGCCGUUCUCAUUGUCGCUGCUUCCAUGAGCGCGACAUUGGCUGCCACCGAGGUUCCUGCUCCUGCCCCUGGCCCUGAUGCCGCCAGCGGUGCCUCAGCUACUGUUGUUGGCUCCUUGGUUGGUGCCUCUGUCUUGUCUUUCUUUGCCUUGUUCCACUAAAUGUGACCUUGCCACAUGGAGGAGGAAGAGCAAGAAUAAAAAUUAUGUAUUAAAGGGUUUAAAAGAGUAUUUAUGAUGUAGAUGGAUAUGUGACUUUUUAGACGUGACUAGAAUUUUGUUUAAGAACUCAAAUUACUAGACAUAACCCGAGCUACACCGGGUUCUUUGUAAUUUCAAUAGAUGAUUUGUUGUUGACCUAUACGAGUAUAAGACAAUAGUUUCAUCUUUGAUUAUCCCCACAUUUGAUAAAACUUCCUUUAGUCAUAUGGCUUGAUUUGUUACUGGAAACAAGUGAAUUUAACCGUAGCAAAAUCCCUAUCAAAUUUUAACAUUUCCUGCGAAAUCUGUAGCGAAAAUUUUCCUACAAGUCUCAGUCGAUAAUAAAUUCGCAGCAAGUACACAGAUCUAACUAUGAAUAAUGUCCGUCGGUAAGUUUGCAAGAAAUUUUAUGAUUACCUGCGAAUAUUUCUUCAUACGAUGUAUUUGCAGAAAAAAAACACCCAAAACGCAGUAAAAUUCGCAGGGAAUGCCUGUGAAAAGAAAUGGACAAAAAAUGCAUAGGUAAUAAGCACAUUUCUAGUAGUGGCUACUAAUUAAAAUAUGUUGAGUCUCAAAAUAUUUAAUAUCUUGACUUGUCAUAAAGUUUUGAUGAUAACAUAGCAAUAAGUUAGAUUUUUAGGCGGUGUAUAAGGUGCGCAAAAGAAUUAAAAAUUUUAAAUAGUUGAAGCAUUUUUAGACGCAAUCUAACAAUGUGUUAGUACUCAUAUGCUUCAUAUGAGUAUUUGAUGCCCAUUUCCUAAGAUGUAUCUAACAACUCCAUUAAAGAUCCAAAUAUUUAAAUGCUACAAUAAUGUCUAUUCAAAAUAAGAAGCCUAUGACGAAAGAGCUCUCAAUAAUUUGAACAUUCUCAAAUACUACUAUAGUUCUCACUUGUAUUUACUAUUGUGUGUCUCAUACAGUUUAGAUGAAUGUUCAACUGUAUUUACUUGUAUGAAUCUCUUUCAAAAUUCAAUUUGAUAUUUGUUAAUUAACUCUCAUCAUUUAAGGUAGUUGUUUGGGUGCUUUGAUAAGUAACAUAGAUGAAAAAUGGAAUUUAGAUGAAUGGGCAUCGCAACAUUGUCAGGAAGAGCAUAAUAAAUUUACAGUUGAAGUUCUUUCCAUCAAACUAGCACUUUCAUCCGCAAGAGAAUGAAGAAGUCACUCUCGUCCAAGUCAAAGAAGUUACUAACGAAUUAUAUAUCAAAGGCUUGUAUUAUUUGUUUAUUAUUGGCCGAGAAAAUUGUCAGUAAAUUACCUACGGAUAUAGGAUCAUCGAUAAUUUAGUGGUCAAAAUCGGCGAUAAUAAUUACGGGCGAGGUUUUACCAACCGAUUUCCAACCCUAUCAAACAGUUUAAAUAAACUUUUGAAAAACCAACAAAGAUUGAGUUAGAGGAAUGUGACUAAAAAAGUCAUUGUUGAAAGGACCUCCUGGCUGGGAACAAGCUAAAAAAGUUAUUAUCACAACAAUAUUCGGGUUGAUUUUUUUUUAUAUUAAAAUCACUGAAAAAUUAUCAAAUAAAGUAGUUACUCUUUAAUAUAUUUUUUUAUUUCAAGUAUUUUUGUUGAAUAAUUUUAGCUUUUCUUCUUUUUUUUUUUGAAAGUAAUUUUAGCUUUUCUUCAAACACUAAAAAUUGUGUUUCAUUUUUUAUUAGAAGUUUCGUACUAUAUUUUUUAAUAGAUUAAAUUAAUCUGUUGGUUCACAUAGUUUCAUUCAGUUUUUAAUUAAAUUCGAUCGUGACAUUGCUACAUUCCAAAACAUAUUUAACUGUAGAAUACUAUAUCUUUAGAAGCCAAAUGGACAGUUUAUCAAAAGAAAAAAAAUUAAGAAUGGACAAACUCUUAAAAGUAAAUACAUGCAAAAACAAUCCCAAUUUGUAGCACAUUUGAAUGGUUCUAGUUAGACUAAUAACAACUUAUCUAAGCAUAGCAAAAUCAAUGAAUCAAACCCCGAAACUCUGCAAAACCAUACAUUUGGACCAUUUCACAACAAAAAUAAGUGGAGUUUUCCAAAACUAACUCAAAGCCAGGUCCUAUAAAUCCCAUGCAAAUGCCCCCAUUAUAUCUCAGACCUGCAACAGAGUAAGAAAAAACAAAAAUACACACUUGUUUUCUCAACACACACCUGCAGGUCUCCAAUAAACAAGUCACAUUUCAUUCAUCAUGGACAUGAAGAAGGUCACCUGCGUCGUUCUCAUCGUCGCUGCCUCCAUGAGCGCGGCUUUGGCUACCAACGAGGUUCCUGCUCCUGCCCCUGGCCCCGCCAGCGGUGCCUCAGCUACCGUUGUUGGCUCCUUGGUUGGUGCCUCCGUCUUGUCUUUCUUUGCCCUGUUCCACUAAACGUGAAAAUCAUCACCACAGGGAAGAGGAAGAAGAGAAGACAUCUUUAUGUAAUAAAGGGUUGAAAAGAGUAAUUUAUGAUAAGGAUGGAUAUGUGAUAUUAUGAUCACUGUUGAAUGAAAUAUUGAACUUCUUUUCAUAUGCCUGUGUACAAGUGUUUUCCUUUCUCAUCUCACAUACACAUAUGGUUCUAAAUUGCGAUCCUCAUUGACAGAAUGACAGUAUUUAUCUGCAAUAUUAAGAAUCUCGAGUGAAAUAUAUAAUGUAACAAGAAUCUCACAAUAACUAAUCGAUUUACAUGAUUCACCGGCACACAGAAUUUCUCCAAACAUGCUGUUAGUAAAUGGUACUAUGUAGUUACCAUAGAUAAUUAUAGAAAGAAAAGGGCUAGCUGCAUGAAUUUCUGUUGAACUCAACAUGGAUCCACGUUGAAUUUGAUGUAGCAAAAUCUUGCUUCUUCGAUUCACAUUAAAUUCAACAUGUCAAAUUCUAGCUUCUCCAAUAAUACUAUAAGAUAAGUGAAAUCACGUUUGCAUUUUCAUCAGCACCAAACCAAACACACUGAAUAUCCAAUAUAGCAAAAAUAAUUUAAUUGAUUUACUAUAUAACCAUUUACUAGGAAAGAAUAGGAGGCAUGCUAAUUUCCAGUCUCCAAUCCUCAACCAAGCAACAAGCUCAAAGGAACAAACUCAUGUGACAUUUGAAGACACAUUUCUUACAACAAUGUAUAAACUAAUGAUGAGAACCUCUCAUAGACUAGGUUUCAGAAUUAAACUUUUGGGCAGACAUGAGGCUCUUUGUCAGCCAUAUUGCUGUUUCUCUGGAUGAGACAGCUUCUUUUCCAAAUGGUUUUAGCACACCGGCAAGCUCUUCUAGUUUAUCUUGCUUAAGUAGCUGAGCACACAACUCAAGCAGAGAUUCUAGAGCGUCAGCUCUUUGCUGGCAGGGACUAUCCCUCAUUGUUUCAUCACCAUCAUCCAUUGUAGUGUCACUUGGUGUCUGAUCAACACCAACUAAAUUUUCAUCUUUUUGUGUGGUGCAAAUGAUGUUCUCCUUCGCCGUUUCGUUAUCCUUAACUGGAAGUUUACUGCUAGAAUCAGAUGACAAACAGUUCAUAUGUGAGCCUUCUGUAAACGCAACCGGGUUUUCACUUUUCUUCAAGGAGUUUCUAGAUUCAGUUUCAUGCUCAACCUUAACAGGAAUCACAAUUAGUGAUGACCUUUCCUCAUUAAUGGAUUUAUCUUUAUCAGUGCAGCUACUGCUUGCAUUGGAUGUUGUUGAUUUCCUGGAUUCCUCAAAUUUGGCAUCUUCCCUCGGUGCUUCAGCAAAAUUGAAACCUUCUUUGGAAAAAGCAUCUUCAACUUCUGAGAUCCCCGUGUUUAAGUCAACCAAUUCUAAUUUCUGAAAAAGUUCUGCAGCUAAUGCUUGCUCUUCAUGCACAGAAUCUUGUCUACAUUUUGAAGUGAUCCCAUUCCCAUGGUUACCUUUUUCCUGUGCAGGUCUACUUUUAAAAUCCUCCUUGCACAUACUGCAAACAGAUGAUUCAGAAGUUGUUGACCCGUCUUUUGAGCCGCUGAUACUAGUAGAAGAUUCCCCUAUGUAGCUAGUAAAAUCAACCAUCUUGUUCUCAAGGUUGUCUCCUGUUCUGGUUGAUACGGUCACCUCACCAUUGUUAGGAGGAUUGCUUGUAUGUACAUCUCCAUUUCCCUCAAUUGGAUGAACGCGCUCCAGAUGAUAUGCUAAUCCUGCUUCUUUGUCCCUAUGGUCCUUGCCACCACUAGUUUUAUAAGAUUUUUUUGUUUUAUCCUUUGAGUUAACUAUGGGAUAUAUUGGAAGAAAAUUAGAUGAUGCAUUCUGACAGCGGAGAACAUAAGGUUGUAAAUGUGGAUGCCUUAACAAUUCAGCUGCCUGUCAACAAAGAGAAGCAACAUUAGAAUAAACUUUUCAAUGUAGAUUAAUCACACGAAACGGGAUCAGUUGAACUCACUGUUGGCCUGUGUUCAGGGUUUUUCCUCAGCAUGCUUUUGAUGAUUUGUUUACUGUUACAAGUACAUCAUUUCUCAGUUCUAUCAAUAUAAUGAAUUACAUAAAGGGGAAAGAAAGGGGGGGGGGGGGGGGGGAUUAUGUAAUUGUACGAGAAAAAUGUUUUUGUAUUCACUUUGAGGGAAAAUAGUUGAAUCAUUGACUAAAAGGCUCAGAUUUUUUACAGCAGUGUGACUGGCAAUGUUUAGAAGAAGAUACUUACAGUGUGGAAGAAUAAACAAUUGGCAGUGGAGAAAUGGAGGAUCUGUUUAUUUUGUUGAUAAGCCCUGCCAUGUCCUGUUUUAUUCAUUCACUCAUUUGAUAAAUUAUCUUGUUAGUUGAAGUUAUAUUGAACAAUAGACACUGCAUUUGCAUUAAUAAAACUAAAUUUCUGCAGAUGGUUCAAAUUCUUACUGGAGCACGAAAUGCUGGUUGAUGAGCAGCAAUCUCAAACAUGCAGCAACCUUUACAUACAAAGAUAUAUCAUUCUUACGAAAGGUCAGAUAUCAAAUGGCUUUAGUCAAUUAGAAUAAGACAUUCAUGAUACUUACCAAGAGACCACAUAUCAGAUUUAUAACCAUACGGUAUAUCAGCGAGAAUCUCAGGACACAUGUAAUUUGGAGUUCCAACAACCUAGACAACAUAUAUAAAGGGUGCAUAUAAUAAACAGGUAUCACUGUCUGAAUCUAGUUAAGUACCAUAAACAUUAGUAAUAAGAAGUUCAAAGAAGAAUACAGGACAAAAACAUGUAUAGCUAGCAAAAGUAUCAGCUAAUCUAUUGUAAGCUGAAAAGCAUCAAUUACUUAGCGUGGCACUCCAUUACUAGGGAAAUAUUCUUCAAGAACAAAUAAGAAAAACGCUGAAAUAUUAAACAUAUCAACAUACCGAGGAAGUAAGGUCUUCUGCAUUGAGUCGCUUUGCAAGACCAAAGUCACCUGUAUGGUCCAUGUAAUAAUAUAUUUCUUUAGGUAACAACACGUGAAAGUUAAAAGUUUUGAGCGUUGAAGGGAUAAUGCUUCGUACCAAGCCGGAUAUUGUUGUCUUUGGUGAGGAAUAUGUUGGAGCACUGAAAUUACAUGGGGUUGCAGUAAUGUAAAUAUCACAGAAAGGAUUUCCUUAUCGGGAUAAGGGAGUAUGUGAUACCUUUAGAUCUCUAUGGAUUACACGAUUAGAAUGCAAGUAGUCCACAGCUAUCAACAACUGAGUCAGCCAUUUGCAGACUUUCUGUAAUAGGAGAAAUUGGAGUGGGUAAGAAAUACGGAUUAAACUAUUAAGGAAAAGGAGAUUAAACCUAUUACUUACCUCCUCAGGAAAGAAUGAUCCUCGAGCUUUCUUUAUGUUCUCAGCCCUGCUCCACAAAGAAUGGAGGGUUCAAUUAUUAGAAUCACAUGCCACUGUUUAUAUUUCUCCAAUAAUUUCAUCUUCUAUUUUUUAUAAACAAAUGAAACACACAAAAUCCCAAAUUCCCGUACCUAAGUGUAGUUCGUCUCAAAAUUAGAAUGUGAUUAAGAUCACUACUGUUAUGAAAUGAGCAAAUAUAUAUAUAUCUCUCUAUCAAGCUACAAUAUGGAGAGGAUAGCACAGGUAUUGGAAAAAAAUUCAACAUAAAUCAACAAUUACACCUUCCACAUUCUCCAUAAUGUAAUCAGAAAACAUGUUUAUGCCAGAGUUUCAAGAAAGGUUUAGCGUUUUUUUAAAACCUUAACCUUUUAGCCAAGAUCUCUUUAACAUGGUUGCCACCCCCAGUAUAAUAAUCAAAAAUCAAUGUAACACUUUUGUCCCAUAGGGAAAAAAAAUCAGCAUAAGCUCUGUGUAGUUUCAAUCCAAGAUAGCAAUUUGCAUAAUGUUUACAUUUCAAAUUUGCCCAUUACGAGUCCAGCAAGUGUUCACCUGAAAAGCCAUGUGUUACGCUUUAUGAAAACCAUUAGUUGAUCUGUACUUAAUAGCUUAACCUUAUAUGUGACAUUUUUUAUUGAAAACAAAUAAGCUUGGAUCUUUUACUAAUGCAAGAAAAAGCUGAUGUUACAGAGAGUAAUUUACUUACAUGUCACCUCCUUCACAAUAGCCAGUUACAAUGCAUAUACGGUCCUCCUAAAAAACAUAAAACAUCAGAAACAUGCCUAUGAAGAGUGAUAAAUAUCAGAGUAAGUAGACAUAUCUACAAAUAAUCAAACUCAGUCUCUCACCUUCUCCACCCAAGCAUCUUUGUAAUCCACAAUAUAAGGAUUAUUUAGUUUUGCAAUCAGGUUCAUCUGUAACAGGAAGAGGGACUGUCAUUUUAAUUCAAGUAGACAGAAAGUAAUCAUUCAAAAUUAGCUUCCCAUAACCUCUUAGGACUGAAGCUCGUGAAAUCAAUAUUGAGAUUUGAGAACACAGCCAUGAAUCAUGAUUAUAUUUAUAUAAAACCUAUAUGACAUGGCACUUGGCUCAAAAUGGAAAUGAAGAGCCACAUGGUGCUCACUGCAUUUUGUGAACACUAUAAUAUUCACAAAACAAAUAUACUCUUCUCUACAAGUUUGUUCAGCACUUUAUACAACAUCAAUGAGCAGGAUAUCAUCUACCAGAUUUUAUCAAUGAAAUUAGUUGAGUUUACUAAAGUACUGUCCAUGGAUUUGCAGUGGGGAUACUGCUUCUUGAAUUAACAACAUAUUCAGAUGACUAGUUUAUUUGUAGUAAGAAAGGCAUUGCCAGUGGUAGCAUGUCCAUUAAAGACAAAUAAAGAUACUAAGAAGUGCAAACAAAUAGUUAAAUUAGGCUGAUUCAUGCAAGCAACACGUAUGUCCCAAAAGAUGGUAGGAAGCAGAUCAACCGUUGCUACUUAGUGCAUGUUUGGUUGCACGUUGAAAUCCAUGUUAGAUCUCAAAAUCACAUUAUACACAAUCAUAAGCUACAGUAUGGAGCUUCUCUGCUAAUGUGCUUUAGAGUAUGUGUCUAACACACAUCCAAACAUGUCAUACUUGAAAUCAUAACAGAUUAAGAACCAAAAAUACUAAAAAAAGAAAAAGAGUACAAAAAUAAGACAGUAAAGCAAUUUGGUGCAAGACAACUGCUGGUUGAAUAAUUAAAUGAUGGAAGCUGAGUAUUUAUUUGCAUCAGGUGGAAGGUUUUGUUACACCAACCUCUUGGUGUGCUGUACGUUUGAACUUCUCUGUCUGCUUAGCCAAACGAAUCUUUUUCAGCACAUACCUACCAGGGUGAAAUCAUGGAAAUGAAUAAAAAUUGAGGUUACAACCUAACUGUAUUCAAUUGGUUGGGUUUUCAAUUCCAACAAUUAAACACAAAAACCUCAAAGUAAAAAUGGAAAUAUAUAACAAAAUUGAAACUUUCUUUGUUGGGUUGUCCUUAAUUUAGCUGAAAAAACCAAUCUCCAAUCCAACUAGCCAUGUUCCAUGGAAUAGGAAAAUAACUGAAGUUGAAAAAGCUAACUGCUAUCGAACUUUACAGGCUUCAACUCCAACAAUUAAACACAAAAAACUGAAAAAGAUUGAAUUUUUCUUCAUGGGGUUGUAAGUUUUCAAACUGAAAAACAAAAAAUUGGAUCUUCAUUCUUCAAUUGUUUGUGUUGCAUGGUUUAAGCAAUUAAGGGGAAAAAAAGCUUAACAGUGUAAUUCAAUGACUUACCUUUUCUUCUCAGACUUGUGAAGAACAAGAAAAGCAGAGCCAAAUGCUCCUCUUCCAAUUUGCUCUAUAACUUCAUAGUCUUCCAUCUUCUUAGACCUCAUGUCACUGUUUUCUGUCUCCAUGGAAAACUCCAGAAGCUAGAAGACAAACAGUGAAGCACAGAAGCAGUAGAUCCUGAUUUGCUACAAACCCAAUUCACAAAAGAAGAAAGGGAAUAGAAAAAAUGAAUCUUUAUGGCAAAGUAUCUAAGAGUGUGAAAUGAUGAAUUCUACCACCAACCCUUUCUACCCUUUUUUUUCAUCCAAAUGGUGUAAUUCAAGACAACCGUUAUAGAAUGAAGGGCAUUAAUUAGGGAAAAUAAAUGUAUCCUAUGAGAAUUAUGUUGGGGGCUAUAUUCAAUGGGUUGCAGCAAGCAACCAUGAAGGGUUUCACAAGAAAGAUGAGUAAAGCUACAUUCCACAAUUAUGACAGUAGCUACCACCUGAGAGGACUAAAGUGGAGAGAGAGAGAGGGGGGGAAGAAAAAAAAAAGGUGGAGUUGGGUAAAGCAGAAUAUAUCACCACCAAGGAAAUUGAAAGGUUUAUGACUUACCCAAUAGAAAAUGCAGAGAGGAGGAAGAAUGAAGGGAGACAAAGUCAAGUGAAAGCUAUAUACCAAACUAAAGACAUAGUGUGACAUUUAUAUAAUAUACUAAUACUUUAUAUUUUUUUUUUGAUAAGCAUACUAAUACUUUAUAUUAUUGAUAGAUGUGUAGUGGUGAGCUUAUCAUAGCUAUAACCCCACUAAGUAAUGAUGCUUAAGAUAAUUGUACUUCUUAUUUUUUACUAUAUCUCUCUUUUUUUAACAUGGCUCAUUUCUAGUCAUAUCUUCUGUCUCACUCAAAUUAUUGACCCUUGAUUUUUGCAUUAACUGGUUCAGAUUGAUUCAUAAAAGUUUAAAUUGGUUAAAGUUGUAUACACUUGUCAUUUUACUGCUACAUAGGCUACAUGCGCAACAAAGGAUUCAAAUUCCUCUUUUUUAUCACAUUUCUCAUAGUAUCACGUUUAUUAUUUCUCUCUUUUCUCUUCUUUUUUCUCACUUCGGGUAUCUAUUGGAUGUCUGUACUAUGCAAAUAUCUACGGAAUAUAUUUUCCAACCCUACUCAAUGGAUCAAAAGAGGAUGAGGUUGGGGGAGAGAGCAUGCAAGGUAUAUCUUAAUGGUGAUGACAGGUAUGUGGAAGACUCAAGAAAAAGGAAAAGGCCUUGCUUGCGUUUACAGGUUCACAGGAGAUCAUGCACAACAAGGAAUGUUCCUAGCACGCAGCUGUGAUGUCACAGUCCUUGUACCUUAUUAAACAAAAUCAUCAAAUUUAGACAUGAGCCAAUAGGUCAUAUUCUACUCAAAAUAAGAAAGUAAAGUGGGUUUGUGCUCAUGUGAUGCGCUGGCCUACUACAACUACUGGUCCAGGGGAAUGAUUCUGGUUUAAUUUUAACACCUCCAACUCCAACAUUCUUAGAGAUGAAGAGUUUCUUUUUUACAUUUUAUCGAUUUGUUUUAUGUUUUUUAUGUAUUGAUAUGAUGAACUUUGAGUUAAAUGCAAAUUUGAAUAUAAUUAAGCAUGUUAAUUAGGUUAUGCUAACGAUAUGGGUCAACAACCAGAUUGUUGUAAUCUCUGAAGCAUGGGUACGUGAUGUUGGGCUGCGUACCCGUACCGGGUACGUACCCGGUACGAAUACGCUACGGGUACGCGUACGGUACGUACCCGGUACGUACCCGUUUCACAAAACCUUGCCGUCAAUGGUUAAAUCUUCAUUUUCAAUCUCCAAUCCAAUCUAAAACAGAUAACUCCAUUGCUUGGAGAGCUUGGAGGUUAUAUGUGUGGACAAAAGAGAACGACGAGGGUGGCUCCUCUUGACUGCGGCGCAUCAACCAUCCUGCGAUGGCGGUGCUGAGAAUCAGAUCGAGAGGGGAAGCUCGCGGUAAGGGAGGCCGGAGCGGUGGCACAACCGUGAUGGUUCCGGCGGCGAGGUUCGGACAACGUAGUGGUUCGGUGCGACGCAAUUCAGACAGUAGGAACGAUGGUCAAGCUGCAUAUCUCCUUUCUAAUUGAUAAACUCUUUGAAGUUACAGAUCUUAGUGGGGAAGUGGGAAAGGUAGACGUGGGGGGUGGAAAGAGAACAGGGAAGGGUUAGGAAAAUUACCAAGGGGCACAUACUUCUAAUGCUUUGAAAAAAGAGAGUGGGUAUUUUUGUCCUAAAUAAAAGGUGUUGAGUGCUAACUUACUCCUUUUAAAAAAUAAGUGGGAGUAAGUUAGCAUUUCCCUUAUUUUAAUUAGUUAUAUAUUUUUUUUUUUGCAUAAUUUAUUUAUAUUUAAAUAUUAUGUAUAAAAAAAUAUAUAUAUAUCUAACGUACCCGUACCCCCAUUUUUUCAAAAAUCGCGUACCGCGUACCCAAUACCGUACCCGUACCCGUGCAACACAGGUUAUAAUCAUAUCAUAUAUUUGCCAUUUUGAUGUUAAUAGGGUUAAUUUAGCUGUAAGUAAUGUAGUAAUCAUCUCUAAUCAUGCGCUCAACAAGUGAAAUUUGAUGUUAAUUUAGUGAUUAUGGUGUCAAAUCAAGAACUUAAUUAAGUUGUUUAAACAACCAGUAAUAGAAUUAAUUGCAAUGUCAUUAUACUGCAUGUUUGUAUAAGCAGUAGAAAACUAUACGGUGAAGGAAAAAUAACAGUCUCACUGUGUUUUUUUGAACAACAGAUAUCGGUUUUUGCAACAUUUGAUUUGAUCACAAGGAACUCAAUAACAAGAUCAAGGGAAAAUAAAACAGCAAGAUUGUUAUUUCUUUAUGCCUAAAUGAAAUUCAUACAAUCUUUUAGGCCAAAAUUUUAGCUGCCAGCAAGGACAAAUAAGUAACACUGUUGACCCUCACCUGGAUAUAUUGGCUUCUCAUCCUCCUUUGCUUCAAAUAGUUGCCUUUUUCCCCAUUCCUAGCUUUUACUUUCCCCCACAUGGCCACAUGCAAGCAUGUCAUUGUUAGAGCGGUGAAUGUUUAGUUCAUGAUUUGCGCAUAAUCCAAGAUAUUUUUUCAUGCAUGUUUGGAUACACGGUAGAUGUUCAUGUUGAAGGGAGAAACUACUCCUAAUGGCUUUUGUGAUAGCAAAACUAAUUCUGAAAGAUUUGAUCGUGAAUCCAAACAUCCUAACCGUGGAAUCAAACAUUCUAGCAAUUAGUUUUGGUCAUUGUGAGACAGUAAGAAGUUAAUAAAGUUGGUAGGAGAGUCUUCAGUUAUUCAAGCGAGUUAGGCAGUUACCUCUAAAGCAUUUAUCUGUUCUGUACAACCAUUGCUAUCUCCUGUGCAGCCCCCAACUAUUACAAUAAUCAUUGUCUCCCCAAAAGCAACCAUGUACUGUCUGAUGUAAUCAUUCCAUGUCUUGAGUUAUUCAAGGUUUUUUUGUUUGAUUGUCAAGAUACUUACCACAUAAUGGGGAUAGGUGAUAUAAAAACAAUAGUGUGCUAUAAUAUAUAAACUAGGCGUAGACAAUGACUAAACACUGAAUAUAGUAACAUUCUAAAUCAUGUUUGGCUAAUAUAGUUUUAAACACCGUCUUCACAGCUAAAAAGUACAGAGAAUAAUUAUUUGGUUAAACAAAAUGUGGUAGAUCAUUGAUAUGAUGCAGAACAAACGCUUGUUUGUCGCAUACAGCAAAUUUUGAUAAACAAAUAAAUCAAAGAGCAAAAAUGGGGAAAGGUUAUGAUGAACUCACAGAAAAUGCUACUGGUUUAUUGAAGAAAACAGAGACUCAAUCCUCAAGUACUGAGGUUGAAUUCUCAGGAAUUACACAGGAGAAUCAAGAACACUAACAAGAACCCUAGCCUCUGGAAUUCGAGAUCCAGAAUCUCCCAAAUCCUAACCAACUGAAUAACUACCUGUAACUUCCCCCUUUCCCUUAUUUAUACUAUUCAGUAGCUCUAACAGAAUCACAACUAUUAACAGAAUUAGCCAGCUGUACUCUAACAGAAACAACUAACCAUGCCAGCUGUUUAUUAACAGAUCAACUAACAAUAACAGUCACACUAAGUUGUGACUUUCCUCUUGUUUCUUCUCUCAUACACCUUCUUAAUUGAAGGUCUAUGCUCAUCAAUACCCCCCCCUAAAUGUUUCACCUUGUCCUCAAGGGGAAAAUCAGGAAAAGCUUCAUGGAGCUGGGCAGCAGAUUCCCAACUGUUCUCACAAGCAGGUAAAGAGUGCCACUGAAUUAGCACCUCAAUCUGGCCCAUUGUGGUUUCCCUAACAGCCAGCACUGAUUCAGGUUCCACCAAGAGCUCAUGAUCUUCAUUCAAGGCUGCUGGGAGAGGUUGAGGCUGAAAAUUAGUCCCCACAGCCGUCUUGAGGAGAGAGACAUGAAAGACAGGAUGCACUCUACUGUGAGCUGGUAGCUCAAGUCGAUAAGCCACAGCCCCAAUCUUUGCUACAAUAGGAUAGGGUCCAUAAUACCUAGGACUCAAUUUUUCAUUCAUUUUCUUGGCCAAAGACCUCCUUCUAUAAGGUUGUAACUUGAGAAAAACCUCAUCACCAAUUUGAUAAUCCACAUCCCUCCUCUUCUUAUUUGCAUAUGCCCUCAUCAUGUCCUGAGAUUUUAAAAGAUUAGCUCUCAGAUCUGAUAGCAAUUCAUCCCUCCCCACCUGCAAAUCAUUUACUGCAGCUAUCUUGGAAGGAAUUGUAGUCCCUUGAAGAAGCACAGGUGGUUCCCUACCAUAAAGAGCUUGAAAAGGAGACAUUUUGGCAGAUCGGUUGUAAUUGCUGUUGAACCAAAACUCUGCCCAAGGAAGACAAGUAACCCAUUUCCUUGGCCUGGAUCCAGUAAGGCAUCUCAGAUAAACUUCAAGGCAUCUAUUGACCACCUCAGUCUGGCCAUCAGUUUGAGGAUGGUAAGCUGAGCUAAACUUAAGUUGUGUGCCUGACACGCGGAACAGUUCCUUCCAAAAACUACUGAGAAAUAAAGAGUCUCGAUCUGAGACUAUGGUUGUUGGGAACCCAUGAAGUCUCACUACCUCAUGAAGAAAUAAAGCUGCCACUUCAGGAGCUGUAAAAGGGUGCCUUAAGGGAAUAAAAUGAGCAUAUUUUGUCAGCCUAUCCACCACCACUAAGAUUGUAUCCUUGCCAUUAGAUUUAGGCAAACCACCAAUAAAGUCCAUGGACACAUCUGUCCAAACCUGAGUAGGCACAGGUAAUGGCUGAAGCAGCCCUGCAGGGGAGAGAUUGUCAAAUUUGUUUCUUUGACAUGUGUCACAUUCUGCCACAAAAUCUCUUAUGUCACUCUUCAUCCCUUCCCAAUACACCACUGCAGCCAACCUUCUAUAGGUUCUAAAGAACCCUGAAUGUCCUCCCAACAAAGAAGCAUGAAACUCUUUGCAAAGAAUUGGAAUCCUAGAAGAUUGCUUGGACAGAACCAACUUUCCUUUAUAAAACAACCUGUGAUCCUUCAAAGUAUACCCUUUAUGAGCCUCAGGAUCCACAAUCAGAUCGUGUACAAUGGCCUGUAGCUUGGGAUCUUGCAACAUCUCAGUUUGCCACUCCUCAAAGUCAUUCACCUUAAGAACUGACAAUGCACAAUAUGAGCUUCUCCUGGACAUGGCAUCAGCAGCUGAAUUGUCCUUCCCUGGCUUAUAUUGUAUCUCAAAGUCAUAACCUGAGAGUUUGGAAAUCCAUUUGAACUGCCCCUCUCCCACAACCUGUUGCUCAGUAAGGAACUUCAAACUCUUUUGAUCUGUUCUAAUUAUGAAAUGCCUUCCUAAGAGAUAAUGCCGCCACCUUUGGACAGCUCUGACCACUGCCAUUAACUCUCUUUCAUAAACUGAUUUAGCUUGACUUCUAUCUGAGAGUGUAGCACUCCAGAAAGCCAGAGGCUUCCCUUCCUGAGUCAAAACUGCUCCUAGACCCGUACCUGAAGCAUCUGUUUCCAGAACAAAGACCUUGGAAAAAUCUGGAACAGCCAAAGUAGGUAUCUCUGUCAAAGUGUGCUUAAGAGCUUCAAAAGCCUGUUGGGGACUAGGUCCCCACUGAAAACUAUCUUUUUUCAGUAGCUGUGUCAAAGGCCUAGCUAUCUUGCCAUAAUCCUUGACAAACCUUCUAUAGUAUCCAGUAAGACCUAGAAAUCCCCUUAAGCUCUUCAAGUCUUUAGGGACUGGCCACAACCACAUAGCUUCCAAUUUCUUUGGAUCAGCUGCCACAGUUCCAGCAGAUAACACAUGUCCUAGAUAUUCAAUCUGGCCCCUUCCAAACACACUCUUCUUACCAUUGAUUUUAAGAUCAUGUUGGUCCAUCAAUUGCAGAACUUGUGUCAAGUGAACAACAUGUUCCUCCAUCGUCAAACUGUAAAUCAAAAUAUCAUCAAAAAAAACUAGAGCACACUUUCUCAAAACUGGUCUCAGCACCUCAUUCAUCAGAGACUGAAAAGUGGAAGGAGCAUUGGUGAGGCCAAAGGGCAUCACCAAAAACUCAUAGUGGCCCUCAUGGGUCCUGAAUGCUGUCUUUUCCACAUCCUCUGCCUUCAUCAUAAUUUGAUGAUAUCCUGAUUUCAGAUCAAUUUUGGAAAACACUCUAGCUGGACCAAUCUCAUCUAAGAGUUCAUCAAUGACUGGAAUAGGAAAUUUAUUAGGGACUGUGAUUUUGUUCAAAGCCCUAUAGUCUACACAAAAUCUCCAGCUACCAUCUUUCUUCCUAACCAAAAUCACUGGACUUGAAUAUGGACUAAUACUAGGUCUAAUGAUUCCAGCAUUGAGCAUUUCAGCCACUAACUUUUCUAUUUCAUUUUUUUGGUAAUGGGGAUACCUGUAAGGCCGAAUGUUGGGAAUGGAUGCACCUUCUUUCAGAUGAAUGGCAUGGUCAUGUCUUCUCUGAGGGGGCAAUUCAGUAGGUGCUGCAAACAGUGCUGGAAAAUCUGACAAAACUGCCUUCAACAACUCUGGAGUUUCCUCUGCUUUAGCCACCUCUUUUUCUAACAUUUGAUAUUGAAGCACAUAUCCCUCUCCCUGCUGUUGAAUGGCUUUAACCAAUGCAUUCAUGGAAGCUCUCUUCUUCAGCAAUUCAGGCUCCCCUUUGAGGACUACCUUUUUAUUUCCCAGUUUGAACUUCAAGGUCAGCUCUUCAAAAUUGGCUUUGAUGUCCCCCAAUCCUGCUAGCCAUUCUAGACCAAGCACAACAUCCACUCCUCUUAAUCCAAACAAAAAGAAAUCUUGAGUUACCACAAAUCCUUGAAUCUGCACACUGAGAUUCUUACACACCCCCUUGCUUUUCACUACAUGUCCAUCCCCUACUUCUACUGUGUAAGCUGGAGUUUCUGUAAUCUGUAACUCCAUCUCUCUUGCCAAGGACUGAGAAAUGAAAUUAUGUGUUGCUCCACAAUCUACCAGCACCACUAUGGCAGUUCCUUUCAAUUUUCCCCAAACCUUGAGAGAUUUCCUUGAAGAAAUUCCCUGUAUACUGUUUAGUGACAAGUGCUUUAACUCCAUAGCUUCCUCAAUUUCUUCAGUGAGAGGCUCUAGUGUCUCAAUCUCUUCUUCCUCACCAUCAUCCCUCAGCAACAUUACCCUGAAUUGCUUAUUCUUACAGAUAUGGUUUGGUCCAAACUUUUCAUCACAUCUGAAACACUCCCCCUUUCUCAACUUUUCCUUCAUCUCUUCCCCAGUGAGUUUUCUGUAAACUCCUCCCCUGGCUGGCUUACCUCCUACUCUCUCAUUAACACUACCACUAGAUGAUUGCACUGUGCCCUGAGUUACACUACCACUACCACUUUUCUGUCCAGUAUCAAUUUGCACAGAUUUCUGAAAAGUUGUGGAUCUAAAAGGUGGUUUGAAAGAGGAAUUAUACCUGCUAGUACUGCCAAUUCCAGCCUUGCUCACAGCCAGGUUCUUCUGUUCCACCAUCAAGGCUUUCUUGACCAUGAUUGUUAGGGAUUUGGGCUCAUAGAGCUUGAUUUCUGCUGCAAUUUCCUCCUUGAGUCCAUUAACAAAAAUAUCCAUGUAAUGCUCUUCAUCAAUUCCCUUGAGCAUUCCUGCAAAUCUCUCAAAUUGUCCUACAAACUCUUCAACACUACCUUCUUGCUUCAAGGCCAGCAAAGCCGCAAAUGGACUAGAAUUCGAGGUGAGUUGAAAUCGUUCCAGCAUGGCUUCCUUGAACUUGGUCCAAGUAGUCACCUGGUUGCAGGUUUCCCACCAUUGGUACCAGCUCAAUGCCUUUCCAUCCAAGGCCACCAUAAUCGCUUGUACCUUCUCUUCCUCAGUCGCUCCCUUCAGUCGGAAGUAGCGUUCCAAUUUCUGAAUCCAACUGUACGCAUCUUCUUCACCCUGGAAAACUGGAAUGUCAAGCUUCCUCCAACGCUCUGUUUGUGCAUUUGCAGUGCGCUGAAGAUUCUCUCGCGCAUCAGCUUCGUCUCUUACGCUUCCCGGUUGUCCUCCGUUCACGGUGCGCUCCUCCUCCAUUCGUCGGCGUUCUUGCUCGCCGUCGCUGUCGCCGUGCUCGCCGGCUCGCCGGCGCGUCAUCGUCGCGACAAUCGCUUCCAGAUUGCGAAACCUCUGCUCCACGCGUUCAUGCUCGAUCGCACGCUCUCUCCGUUCUUCGUCGCGAAUCCUCCUGUCUUCUUCGCGAUUCCUGCGUUCUUCCUCGCGAUCGCGAUUCAUAACCUCAAUGAAUCUCUCAAUCGCUUCCACUCUGGCUUCCAUUCUGCUCGCUACCAUAGACAAAUCGAUACCACAGCUCCUGGAUGGAGCUCUGAUACCAAUUGAUGAACUCACAGAAAAUGCUACUGGUUUAUUGAAGAAAACAGAGACUCAAUCCUCAAGUACUGAGGUUGAAUUCUCAGGAAUUACACAGGAGAAUCAAGAACACUAACAAGAACCCUAGCCUCUAGAAUUCGAGAUCCAGAAUCUCCCAAAUCCUAACCAACUGAAUAACUACCUGUAACUUCCCCCUUUCCCUUAUUUAUACUAUUCAGUAGCUCUAACAGAAUCACAACUAUUAACAGAAUUAGCCAGCUGUACUCUAACAGAAACAACUAACCAUGCCAGCUGUUUAUUAACAGAUCAACUAACAAUAACAGUCACACUAAGUUGUGACUUUCCUCUUGUUUCUUCUCUCAUACACCUUCUUAAUUGAAGGUCUAUGCUCAUCAGGUUAUAACUUAUAAGAAAAUGAACAUGAAAAUGAAUUGAAUCUGCGCUUCAUUGAAAAUAGGUUGAGUCACAUACUCAAGUUUUUCUGGAUAGCCUUUUGUAACUUAGGUGUUUUCAGAGAAUUCCGAGUAAAAUGUGAACAUCUUUAUGACAAGUAUCCUAACUAUUAUUUAUAGACUAAGUAAUCUCCUAAACAUUUGCAAAUAUACUUCAGAAGGGCUUUCUAACCUUAGGCAAAGCCAGCCAUCUAUGCCUUCUAUGAAAUUUAUCAAGGCCAUAAACCAGUAUUUGUCAGUAGCUGUUAUCAAGCCAAAACUUGCUGUGUGCUUUGAAGACUUAGCACAUGUCACAGAUCUUACAUCUAAAUCUAAUUGUGAGAAUAGCAAGAUUGGUGCUGAAACUUCGUCGACAAUAAUAAAUAUCCAUACCAUAUUGAUAACAAAAGGGACCAUCACUCUCUGUCACAAGUAAAAGUUGUGUUCCAGUUUUGAAAAUAACAAGCCACAUUACCUUACACAGUAAAAAGCACAAGCUAGUAGUUCAGCGCAGAAAAAAAAACAUUAAUGAUUGACAACAGAAACAAAUGUUAGCUCACAGAAACAAGUUUACUGUACACAAUUCUAUCAUUUUUACUUCCGCUUUGAUUGCUUUGCUUUUUUGGAGGAUCUUCCACUCCCCAGCUUCAUUUGUGCAGCUUGGAAUUCCUCUUCAGAAGGUUCUUGCAUAUCACCUCCACCAUAUUUCGAAGCUAGAGUUGAAAACAUUGAAUCAAACUGGCCUUUCCUCUCGUUUCGGCGUUGUGCUAUGAUUGCAUGCAGGUCUGUUUCAGACUGCUUACUUGACCUGUAGAAAACACAGUAUCAUUUCAGAAUUGCAGCAGUAUAAAUGAAAAAAGAGCAUAAGCAAAACCCUGUUUGAUAAACUUACUUAUUCCCCCUCCUUAAAGGAUUUGUAGGUGGUUUGGUUUCAGAUACUUCUUUAGCCCAUUUCUCAUAUGCUUUUGUUGCCUUUAGUUCUCCUGCAGAAUACGGAGAAGAGAAAAGAAAAUAUAACAACCCGAUAUAUAUAAAAUGGACUAUGCCAUGACUUCUUAAAAUAACAUGCUGAUUCUUAGUGCUUAAGCUUAAAAGUAAAAUAACUGCAUGGCCUUUCAUUGUCUUAUUGACUUGAAUUCCAGGUCUCACAAAUCAGAAUCAAUAUAUAUCUUCCACAGCAGAGAAACUUAGACCUAGAGCAAAUGUCUGACCGAAAUCUCAGCCAACAAAAUCAAGUUAAUAUUCUUAGUUUCUUACCAGCAGCUAUAGCCUCAUCGAGAAUAUCCUUGAAUCGGUGUGAGUCAAGUUUAGAAUCUGAACAAAGCAUCGAACAGAAAAGCCUGCAAGGGGAAGUUAUUUGAGAGUUCAAACUCAAAGCAUUUUCACAAAUGGGUCAUGCACAUCAACAGAUUCCUUAUGCUUUCUUACUUGUUCAUUUUACCCUUGCACUCCUUGUAUAGGUCAAUCAAAUCUUUUUUCUCCGAGUCAGAUCCCCUAUAAUUAGCUUCAAACUCCUCAAUAUCAGCCUCAGUGACCUGCGGCUCACAUCACAAAACCACACAAAUGAAAACAGGUACACAACAAUGCAUCAGCAAAUAGCAUAUCAUAUCAUAUAUCAAUACAAUACCUUCUUGUACAUUGUUCUGAAAAAGUCAUGAAGAUUCUGAACAACAUCUCCAGCAAGAUCCUGAUUUACAGAAAACAUAAAAGAGUUGUAAAUUUCAAGCACUUCACUAAUGUUCCUAAAUGCUAAUCUCUGGGAUUUAGUUUAUUAGGAAGUAGGAACCCAAAAUAUUCAAAACCAUUCAUUAAUUUCAUUUCUUGAGUAACUAGAAGCACCUAGUAGAGAAAACUAAAAGCUCAUUAACUAGUGUCCAUAAGAAACUCGUUUUCAAAACUCGAAUCAUUAUACAAGGAUAGUAUCAGUUGAGUCCAACUCCUCUAAAGUGAGGGAUUCACUUAAGAAAGUAAAGUAAGUCAUCACAAUUAUUGAUUGAGUUGCUUCAUCUACUUUCCAAAGUAAGUAAUCAUUAUUAAUGGUUGCGAUGACUUACUUUACCCUUUAAAGCGACUCUCAGUUCUCAGAGGAGCUAAAUGCAUAUCAGUUAACCCUGCCCAGUUAGUUAGGUGGAAUAAUUACCUAAUUACUAAGAGAUUGAGAGAUAAAAAAAAGGUCAAAUAGGGAUGGAGAGUUCAUGUCUCCUGAAUAUCAAGAACUAUGGGGUUAGUGCAUCUGCAUUAUCUUAGUACCUUCAUUCUAAUUUCUGAUCAAAAGGAAAAAAAGAAUAAAAAAUCCUUGACAAUAUAUACUGUUUUCGUUCAACAUACCGAUCCUUUCAUUUUAUAUUACUCUAUUAGAUUGUUACUUCCAAUAACAAUUAACAGACCAUAAGCUCGGAAGGAACUAGCCACUACGUACUAUAAAACGGGGCACUCAACAAAAUUUUCAUUCAAAAAGUACUUGCCCCUUUUGAAAAAAAAAAUGAUCCUACCUCAUUCAAUUAGCCAUUGUUAAUUUUGUUUGAUGAGUCAAAUUUUCACCCCUUUACCUAUUUGUUUCAGGUUCCAUCCCUAGUUCAUAAGGACUUACUUUAUAUCUAGACAAUUUCAAUCACAAAUUCAAUAUAUUAAGCUUCACUAAUCAGCAGCAGCAGAAAAAUGAAAAAAUGAAAGACUCACAGCAUCAUCAACACAGCCAGUUUGAUCAUACACGGCCCGUUUCUCUUCAUCCCCGAGAAUCGAGAUAACUUUCUGCAGCUGCUGGAAUUUCUCUUUAGCUUCCUGUAUAAUAUGAACACAAGGAGAUCAAUUUCAACUAACUAAUUUCCAUUCAAACCUAAUUUUUUCAAAUUGGAAAAAAAAAAAUCAACCUGAUCAUCAGGGUUCUUAUCAGGAUGAAGACGCAAAGCUAACUUGUGGUACGCCUUCUUGAUUUCCUGCUGAGUCGCUGUUCUCUCCACACCAAGAACCUACAAAACCACUCACACACUCAGUUUCCAACAAACCUUCCAUUUUUUUACAGGAAAAUGAAGAAGAAAGCGUGAAAUCACUCAAAUUAGGGUACCUGGUAGAGGCUUGUUUCAUUUUGAGCCUCGAUUUCUUCUUCGUCGUCGGAAAACCUAGCUUUGUUCUUCUUCGCCAUUUUCGAUUUGAAACUUAGAAUUUUGUGAUUUCACAGAAUAUAUAUAUAUAUAUAUUUGAAGCGAAAAAGGAAAAUUUUCCCGCUAUGCGAUUCUGGUUUUGUUCCAUUUUCCCGCUGUUUUGUUCUUAUGCGGUUGGAUAACGUGACCUAUAUGAAAACGUAACCUCUGCCGCGGUAAAAUAAUAAAGUGUUUAACUAGAGAUAAAACACCAUCCAAGGGUUUCGUGGUGUAGUUGGUUAUCACGUCAGUCUAACACACUGAAGGUCUCCGGUUCGAACCCGGGCGAAGCCAUUUCUUUUCAGUUUUUACUUUUUACAUUUUUGGUCAAACAUGCUAAGCGGGUGGACCAAGAAAUGUACUGUUCAUUUCAGUCUAACUUUGCAACCCAACCUUUAUGCUUAAGGCCCAAAUUAUAUUUGGCCUCAUCUUCUUUAUGCAAAUGUUUACAGGUAGUAUUAAUGUAAUCUAAAUUUUAAUUACGUUGCUCUCUCCUGUCAUAAGAAACUACUCACUUUCCCCUCUACAACAAAAUGCAGCAAUUAAAAAUCAUGACUCAUGAGACAAGAGAGAAAACUUCAAAAAUAAAACAUAGAUGAAUUAAAGUAUAACUAAUCUAAAUUGCUUUAACACCCAUUAUCCAUUUUAUAAUCUUCCCAUUUUAAUUUGGUAUUUUUAAAUAAUUUUAGGGUUAAGCGUUAUAUUGGUCUCUGUCUUUGUCUCGCCGUCUGACGUAGGUCCCUCAUCGGAAAAAUUUUUUGCAUUUCGUCCUCGUCUUUGAAAUUUUUUUGGAGCGGAUCCUCGCCGGAGGGCAGAGCUCCGGCGAAUGCUGAAUGGGCUUGCUGACUGGGAUUUUUUAAGUGAUGUGGAAAUAAAAAAUUAAAUAAAAAAAAAUUACAAAUAAGCAAAAUUAGAAAAACUAAAACAUAAUUAAAGCCCAAAACUUUUCAUAACUCACAAAUUAACCCCCAAAUCAAAGAAACCCUAAAUCCCAAAAUUCACAAAUUCCUAAAUCAGAAAAUUCAAACCCAGCAACAACAAAUCAGAUUUCUCACAACACCAACACAAAUCUAACAAAUCAAACCCAGCAACAAUAAUUGGGGCUUUCGCACAAAGAAAAGUCAGCAAUAUCUGGGAGUUGGGUUUGGGGCCUCCCCUAUGGGGCUGCGCGCCCCACCCUUUUUUUUUAAACCCAAAAGUGCCCUACGGAAAGGUACUUUCCGUAUUCAAUUUAACUGAAUACGGAAAGGUACUUUCCGUAUUAUAUUUUGAUGAAUACGGAAAGGUAUUUUCCGUAUUUAACUCUGACAGGAUUCCCCCUUUUUCCACCAUUACUCCUCCCUCACCAACUUUCACCAACCCCUCACCAGCCCCCCUGAACCUCCUCAAUGCCUCCAGACCACCCUCUCUCUCACCCUCUCCUACCUCACUUUCAUUCCCAAGCUCUCCACCACCAUCCACUCCUUCAUUUCCCAAGCUCUCCACCACUACAACAAGUGUUGUAGUAGAGGUAAGUCUAUGUGUUUAUUUGUUGUUAUUUUGUAGGAUUAAGUAGUGGAAGUAGUUAGAUUAAGUAGUUUAAGUAGUUAGAUUAAGUAGUUUAAGUAGUUAGAAGGAUGGGUUUUUGAAUUCUGAGUCGUGAUAUAAUACGGAUUGUUAUCUUCCGUAUUGAAUAUGGAAAGGUACUUUCCGUAUUCAGUAUGGAAAGUAACAAUCCGUAUUCGGUAUGGAAAGUAUAUUUCCGUAUUGAGUAUGGAAUGUAACUUUCCGUAUUCUCUUCCAGGGAUGACAGAUUCAUUUUUCUUUGGUGAGUCACAAUUGAUUGAAGCUGGAUUUCACAAUGGUCAACCUGAAGAGGCCACUACAGAGGUGCCACCACCAGCAUUUGUGCCCCCGUGUAUAAGUAUAGAUGUCUCGCAUUUAUUUGCAACUGAUCAGGUAUUCUUUGAACAUAUUUUUGCAUUGUUUUGAGAGUGUAAUAUAUCAAUUCUUAUUAUGUCUUGAUCACCCUUGUAAUCAAUUCUUAUUAUUAUAACAGAUUUUCCCUACCCGUGAUGAUCUUAUCAAUUGGGUUCAUGGAAUUGCGAUUGAAAAUGGAUAUGUUACGUUGAUCACAAAGUCAGAUUAUGGUGGGAAUGGAAGCAGAAAAGCUUAUGUCAUGUUGGGGUGCGAGAAGCAUGGUAAAUAUGUUCCUUAUAGAGACCCUGACCUUGUUGAAGGGACGAGAUCACAAAAGACAGGUUGUCCUUUUAGACUAAAAGGACGACCUAGGAAAAAUGGCAUAGAUAGAGAUUGGCGGCUAAAGGUGAUGGAAGGUAUACACAACCAUGAACCAGCUAGGUCACUACUUGGGCACAAUUUUGUUGGUCGUCUAAAACCCGGAGAGAAGGAGCAAGUGGGAAAAAUGACAAGGAGUUGGGUUCCACCGAGAAAGAUGUUGUUGACUUUGAAGGAAAACAAUCCUUCAAACUUGACUACCAUAUCUCAGAUUUAUGGUGUUUGCAAGAGGUUAAGAAAAUCCUUCCGCGGGGGAUUGACAGAAAUGCAACACUUGUUGAAGAAGUUGGACGGUGACAAGUAUGUCCACUUUGAAAGACAUGAGCCUGGAUCGGAAGUCAUUAGGGAUGUAUUUUGGGCUCAUCCAAAUGCUAUCAAACUGUUCAACACAUUUCCAUAUGUAGUGAUUAUGGAUUGCACAUACAAGACAAACAAAUAUGCAAUUCCCUUGCUUGAGAUUGUUGGACUGACUUCCACAGAUAAGACAUACUCCAUAGCCUUUUGCUACAUUGUUAAUGAGGGCACAGAUGACUACGUUUGGGCACUGGAGUGUAUGAAGUCUCUAUUAGCUGAUCAAGCCAUGUUGCCUAAGGUGAUUGUUACUGACAGGGAUCUUGCCUUAUUGAGUGCUGCUAAGCAAAGCCUUUCUAACACUACACAUUUAUUAUGCUUGUGGCACAUCAACAAGUGUGUUUUGGCAAAGUGCAAACUCUAUGUUGGCACAGAUGAUUUUGCUGAGUUGGUUAUGAUGAAGUGGGCAGAGGUGGUGGAUGCUGCAACAGUUGAAGAAUUUGAAGUGAAAUGGAUGCAAUUGUUUAAUAUGUGCAAGGCAAAAUACAGCAACUUUACCUCCUAUUGUUCUACUACAUGGUUGGUUCACAAGGAGAAAUUCGCCAAGGCAUGAACAAAUCAUGUGAUGCACUUUGGAACAACAACAAGUAACAGGUAAAAAAAUUACAUGAGCUUAAUUUAUGCGUUGUUUGUUCAUUUGAUAGAUUGUUGUUAAUAAGAUAUCUAUUUGUUGUUUGCAGGGCUGAGGGUGCACAUGCCAGUUUGAAGAAGAUGUUACGGGAUUGCAAGGGUGACCUGGCCACUUCAUGGGAUGCGUCGCAUAGUUUGACAUGUAAUCGACAUACUGAAAUAUUAGCAUCGUUUGAGCGCAGUAUUCACAGAAUUGAUCACAUUUUCAUGUUCCCAUUUUACACAAAUAUUAGAGGAUUUGUGUCAAACAAAUGCCUGCAGCUCAUCGACGAUGAACAUAUAAGAAUGAAGUCCUACGGCGGAUGCGAUUGCUUGUUGAGAGAGACUCAUGGACUACCUUGCGGUUGUGAACUUGCAGGUCACCGGUCAACCACUCUCUUGUCAAUUAGUUCUAUUUGUUAUUGAAAGUGACACUUUUGUGAACUUGCAGGUUAUGAAAGAAUUCCAUAUGAGUCAAUUCAUCCAUUCUGGAAGAGACUGAGUUGGGAGCAUGUAUCUGAACCUGUUGCAGAUACUACCAGCAACCAUAUUUGCGGCAUGAACCAUGGAGAUAUGCAACCAGAAGUUGAGGCAUUGACACAUUAUUUCAGUUCUUUGGAUACUGGAGGGCAGAGUAUGGUAAGGAGGAAGCUUCAAGCGAUCUAUUGUCCUGAAAGCAGUUCACUUUGUACUCCUGCGGUUAAGAUAAGGUCCAAGCGCACUCUUAAGGCGAAUGAGAAAAUACCACCUGAGAAUAAAGCAAUAGGAUCCUUGACUCGUGAUCUUUCAGGUUUUGAACAUGUUGAUAGGGAGAUCAGAGAGGCAAAGAAGGUUUCACAACCACCAAAGAAGAAGAAGCGUGUGAAGAAGUCUGAUACAAGCUAUUUCAUGGGUCAUUUUCCAGCCUUUUUCCACCCAUAUAUACAAACAGUUCAGAAUGUUGAGGAUGAUGGUAACUGUGGCUAUAGAGCCGUUGCUGCAUUACUCGGACUACCAUCAGGUGAGGAAAGUUGGUCAUGGGUUAGGGCAGCGUUGAUAGAAGAACUUGAACGACACAGAGGGUUGUAUGAUGAAAUGUGGUCCAGACAUGUGGUUAAUGCCUUACAUUCCCGACUCACUCUUCCUCCUGGUGAUCCGGCUACCGAGGAUAAAUGGAUGCAACUGCCAGAGAUGGGAUACCUUGUAGCAACCAGGUUCCAAGUGGUUUUCAUAUCCAUCUCCUCUACGGGUUGUUGGUCAUACCUUCCACUGAGAGGAGAAGGUCCACCGGAUGUACAUCCUGUUAUAGCUGUUGGUCAUGUGAUUAAUCACUUUGUACAGGUAUUUUUUGAUUGAGUACACUAAUAUCCAAUUGGUGAAUUGAUUUGUUGUAUUUGCAAGUUAUCUAAUUUUAUUGUUAUUCUCUAUAAUGUAGCUCCAUCUAACUCCUGGACAUUCUAUGCCGCCAAUUGCUCUCCAGUGGGAACGGUAUGUUGAUCCUACAUCAGUAAGCUGGUGCGCCCCAUAUGGUACACGUUUAGGAAGAUUCACAUCAGAAUAUGAAGCUUGGCUUGUUACUUUUGGUGUUCCUCUUAUUCACCAAAGCUAUGUAGACAUCACCUCAGAUUGACACCACACUUUUGUGUGAUAUUCAUUUGUAAACGCUCUGUAAUAUUAAUCUGAUGGGCCUUGCCUUUAUGAUGUUCAUUUGUUGCUUUUAAUAAUAUUAAUUUGAUGGUCAUUGUUAUAUUGAUGGGCCUUAUUAUUUUGAAUCAGCAUCAGGGAUAAUUAACAUAGACAACCACUCUGUCAUUAGAGUCCUGUCAUUUUCAUCCACCCCAUCAUCAGAGUCCUGUCAUUUACAACCACCCUACGGAUAAUGACGCGGUCAGAAAGGUACUCGUAGACCCAUCCUAGCAGGAGCGAGGUAAAACCUCCCAUCUGGGCUGUCCCCCUCCUGGACGCUUGACUAAGCUGGUCGUAUAGCGUAGCGAGCGCAAUCGCGCCCCACGCGUACUCGCACACUCGACCAAGAUCCUCCAACAUCCCUAUCCAGUAGACGGUCGUAUGGUAGCCUCCGCUCUUGCUAGCAAAGAGCGUGGCGCCUAGCUGGUUCACCAGCCAAAUCCGUGCAGCGUCCUCAUAUCGGUGCUCUACAAUGAAGUGAAUUAAGUUAAUAGUUUAUAACAAUACAAUAAUAAUAGAUACAAAGACAAUACAAUAAUAAUUAAGACAUACCCGCCAACGCAGCCUCAUACCGGGUCUGCAAGACCCCAAAGCGAAUAGUCUGGGACCUAUUCGUAUCAAACUCAGCCUCAUAAAUACCAACAGAUCCUCCCAUCAACUGAGCACAGAGCGCUGCACACUCGUCCCUCUCCCCCCUCCCAGGCGUAUAGAACCUCGACCCCAUGGGGAGAUGGAGAAGAGCCGACACGUCGUCCAAGGUGAUAGUCAUCUCCCCGAACGGCAUGUGGAAGCUACUAGUCUCCUCAUGCCAUCGCUCCACAAGGGCCAAAAUAAGGCCUGCAUCUGUCACCGGGUAGCUGCAAUAUGGUAGCUGAUGAAGACCCGUCUGCUCAAUCAACUCUCGAACCCGCCUGUGACUGUCUGAAUCACCAUCAUAAGCAAGGUUCCAAACCUUCCCCCCAGCUGUGGCCACCUUCAACUGUCGACGGUCCACAUACCGCUCGUCUGUGCGUAGGAGUGCAUGCCACGCCCAGGGAGCCUUGUGAUCAGCAUAAUAGGUGAGGAGCGAUAGCUCAACAGGCCCCCCCGGAAACGGCGGCAACCUCUGGAUCAGGUCCUCCUCGCCACCCUGUGCCCCCUGCUCCCCCUGCUCUGGCGGCAGGACAUCAUCAUCAACAGUAGGCGGAGGAAUACUAUCCUCGUCAGAUCCUCCCAUGCCGGAUGAGGCCUCGCCUGAUGACUCCUCGCCGGAAGACUCCUCGCCUGAGGACUCCUCGCCUGAGGACUCCUCGCCUGAGGACUCCUCGCCUGAUGACUCAACCAUGGGAGAGGGCGGAGAAACAACUGUAGGUAUCUCAACCGUGGGAGACGGCGGAUAAUCAACCAGAGGAACCUCAAUCAUGGGAGACGGCGGAGAAACAACUGGAGCUGAAGCCUCCACCGCCUGAGAGGUUGCAGCAUGAUCGCCGCGCCGGCUAGAAGCAUGUAACCGCCGGUGUCUAUCCUCAGUAGCCCCGACAUCCUCACUAGAAGCAUGAGACCUCUUUCUGUUCUUCAUUCUCACUAUAUAUUCAGAGCAAACAUUCACUAUAUAUACCAUUUCAGCCAUAGACAGAAACAUGAUGCAAGCAAAUGGAAAAUUCCUAGAAUUUUAUAAGUACAUAGAUGAUAAUCGGAUCUUCUGUGGAUUAUGCAUGCUUGGAUCAACUUUUAUUUUCCUAAUAAUCAAUUAUGGCAUCUAGAAACUACUCACAAAUGCUUUGGAAACCUUCUAUAAUUGAUUCUGAACCCAGAAUCAAUUAUAAGUGUUGGGUUUGGUUCUGAGAUGAAUACGGAAAACGUUUUUCCGUAUUCAAUACGGAAAACCAUGUUCCAUACUGAAUACGGAAAACCAUUUUCCAUAUUCAAUACGGAAACCUGUGAUCCGUAUUUACCCAGAAACGCCAUUAACGACAAUGAGCUAUCGGCCCUAAACCCAAACCACAUUCAAGACAUUUCAGCCAACAAUACCUCUACACAAGCAACAAUCAACUACCCUAGGGUUCAAUGAUUAACAUAAUUUCAAGUUAAAUGGGGAAAAUCCAAAAAUCCUUACCUCUAGGUUUCAAUUCUGAGAAUGGGGUUGUGAAGAGCUUUGAUGGAGAUGAUGGAACCUUUCAAGUACACGGUUCAAGCAAGGGGAGCGACAGAGAUCGAAGGUUGAAGAGGGGAGAAGAGCUUGGCAAAAUACGGAAAUGGGUUUGAAUAAACCCUUGCCGGUUUACAUACUAAUAUAAUACGGAUAUUAAACUUCCGUAUUCAAUACGGAAAUGUGUCUUCCGUAUUCUAUUAAAGGGGGGCGUUCCAGUAAUUUACCCACUUUAAGUGGAGCGGGGAGCCCCAUAGGGGGGCCCCAAACCCAACUCCCGCAAUAUCUCCAUUGUGAAUCUCAUUUAUCAUAAGUUUAUUAUUCCCUUCUCUACCAAGUUCCAAACGUUUAGAUUGAUUAAGUCUAACAAAACCCAGUUCGGAUCUUGCAGUGGCUACCAAAACCCAAGCGACUAUAGUGUGUGGGAAAGCAACAAAAGAAGGAGGAAAAGAGAGACAACAGGGCAGGGUAAAGAGAUGAUGAUGGGGAAGAGAAGAGAGAUGGAUCUACUGUGAACAUAUCUGCAUUUUUCAGAAAAAAGAAUGAGAAAUCAAAGCAUUGUUCCUAGUCUCCACAAAAUCUCAAACCCAGCAACUCCACACCACUCUUUCCAGUCUCCGCUGAUUCCCCACUCAAGCCCACCACCUCCACGGCCACAACAUCUUCUCUUCUCUUCUCCCACCCUCACCCAUAUUCAACCAAAGCCCCCAAACACCACCAAUCUGGAACCCUAACCUGCAAACCCAAAGGAAGAGAGAGAUGACAGAGCAACUCCAAAGUCCCCAAAUACCCUAACCUAGUGCGAAUCGAAGGGAAAAGGGGGUAGAUUCGGUGCAAAUCGACGUCCUCGUCCUCGUCCGCGCCACCGGCUCUCCUCCCUGCUUCCUUGGCCGCGCCGCCUCCGGCUCUUCUCCCUGCUUAUAUCUCUAUCGAUCUCUCUUUCUCUCUUUCUCUUUUUAAUGAUGGGUAUCGAAAUGAUAGGAAAUGGUUGUUGGGUUGUUGGGCUCGAAGGAGGCGGGGGUGGGUUUCUGGGUGGUGGUGGCUCGGUGGCUGGGUUUGGGUGGUGGUGCCUCGGUGGCUGGGGUUCAUGGUGGUCAGUGGUUGGGUUUGUUGAAGGUGAAGAAUAUGAACGAUUGAUUUGUGAUGAAGAUGAAAGAUUGAUUAAUUUAGGGUUGUAUUUGUUAAUUGGAUUUAAUUUUGUUAAUUGGAUUUAAUUUUCUGACUUGUAUUUUCUUUUCUCUUUUUUAUUCAUUUUUUAAAUCCACGUAAGCAUUUUUAUCCUAGUCAGCAUGCCCUUUCAGCACUCGCCGGAGAUCCGCUCCAAAAAAAAAUUCAAAAAUGAGGAUCAAAUGCAAAAAAAUUUCCGGGCAGGGACCUACAUCAGACGGCGAGACAAAGACAGGGACCAAUAUAACGCUUAACCCAUAAUUUUAAGUUCGAUUAAAUAACUAAAUUUAUAAUAAUUUUUUGUCUUUGACGAAUGUCAUCACUCAAGAAAUGUGUACAUGUCUCUUCCAACAAAUAUAUUUCUCGAAAUUUAAAUUUAUAAUAUUUUAAUUAUUAAUAUUGUUAUUUUUAACUCUUCAAAUAAAACAUAUCACGUAAAAUUGUAUCCAAAUUAAUAAAAAUCAUAAAUCAUAUAAAUGUUUAAGCUAAUAGAUGCGAGUGUAAAUCUUAAGUGAGUGAGAAUAAAAAUUAGAGUUUCUUUCAAAAAAAUAAAAAAUAGAGUUAAAUAUAUUUUUAGUCAGUGAAUUAUACACUCGAAUCUAAAGAGGUCAUUAAAAAAAUCUUUUUUUAUUCCUAUAAAUUUUGAUUUAAAAUAAUAAUUAUGACGUUAUAAAGCCUAUAUAUGUGUAGUAAAGUUUUUACUCAGACACUACUCACCAUGUGAAGUUUUCACAUUUGUUUUAGUCCCUAAAAUAUUUAUAAAUAAAAAAAAUAGUAUUUCCCCUCUUUCUCCCUCCUCCAUGAAUGAAAUCACUCUCUUUCUCCACCAUGCCAAACCACCCCCACCACCAAGCCUCUAUAAAUUAUGCUUGGUGGUGGUUGGCGUGGAGGGACAGAGGGACAUUAGAGAAUAACUAAGUUUGAUUAAAGAAAUUUUUAAGGGAUAUAACAGAUGUGAAAAGUUCAUGUGGAAAUUUAUGUGGGCUAGUGAUUGGAUAAAAAAUUGUCAUAUAAAUUUUAUGACCUCAUAAAUAUUUUUUAGUGCAUCAGAAAACUAAACAAACAAGCAAAAACUACACCCUAAAGCAUCUUGAAGAUUAACGGGACAACCCCGAUCAAGAGAAUCAUCAAGAAUAGUGAGCACACUGAGAAGUAGCACCCAUCUCCGCCAGGCAAUCAACAGGACCAUUUGCUUCUCGAGUGAUAUGUCUACGGAGAACUCUCAAUUGGCGAACACCCGCAAACUCACGAGCAUGAACAUGUUGCUCGUACCGAUCAUCCCUAAGAGCCUCCACACACUUCAAACAGACUAUCUCGCAAAGAACCUUCCAAGCAUCCAUGUUCCAAAGAAACUCGAGUCAAACUUAAGUGCACGAACCUCAGCACAAAUAUAAUAAGCUCUCCUCUAUUCUGACCAGCAUAGAAACCCCAACGCCAAGCUCCAUUUGAGUCACGAACCAUACCCCAUCCCCAUUAGAUAAAGAUUAUGCUUGAAAAGGCCAUCAACUGAGAGAUACAAAACCCGUGAAGGGUCCAAGACCUCCUCGAACCAGCUACAUCAUCAUCAUGGGACUUAUCCAUGGCCAACCAACACAAGUGAUAAGUUAGAAACUAAAAGAUAUAUAACCCAUAAAAAUACUUAAAAUAUUAUUCAUAUCAAGAUGAGAUGAGCAAAAAAAUUGAAAAUAUGGUAAAAUUGAGGGGCCAAUUGGUAAAAGAAAAAACAACCGACUUAUGCUGAAUAUAAAGUUCAAACAAACAGAGCAAGAGAGAAAGAAAGACAGAGAGAGAGAGAGUCACAGAAAGCAUUGUCCAACACGAUACGACCGAUUCAAACCCCUCUCUCUCUCUCUAACCUCUCCCUCUGCUCCUCCUCCGUUUAAUCUCGUACCUUGUUCGAGUUAUAUACACUGUUCUCUCUUUGAUUUGAGGUCAGGAUUAUGUCUUGUUUUGUGUCUAUCAUUUUUUUCAUUUUUUUUCGAAAUUUUAUUGCCCUUUUACCUCUAUCACCUUUAACACCGUCUUCUUCUUCUUGUUGUUGCAGGGAACAGUAUACAACUUUCACGAUCGGUGAACCUAACCACCAAGGUGAGGGUUUCCAUUUCACGUUUCUGUUGUGUUUUUUUUUUUGUUCAAUUUUUCUACAGCAACGGGUUUUUAUUGGAACUUCUAAUUGCUUUCUGAUUGCUCCCAAUUCUUAAAUUUGUAUAAAAAAAUUGUUUUUUUGGUGUCAAAAUUCGAUUUUUUUGGUGGGGUUUUGGGUAGCUUGUGGUAUGUGUUCAUGUGUUGUGUGAAUCAGUUGAUGGGGGUGUUCAAACUUGUGUUUUUCUUGCUUCCCUUGUCCAUUUUCAACUUGGUUGAUCUUAGUUGUGCAUUGGAAGUGGAACUGUUCUGUGUGAGUUUGGUGAUGCUAUGAUUGUUUAGUUGGGCUUUGUUUGCAUGCUUGAAUCACUGAUGACUAUUGAUUGUGUUGAUGCAUUUGUUGGGAUUUAGUUUCUGUAUGUGCUAUUGUGCUUGUCCUGUGUCCAUUUAGAGGGUUUUGGAGCUUGGUGUUCUUUGUUUUUUCAUAUGAUAUGAUAGCACUAUAUUGGAAGAUAGUGUCUGAGGGAGAAGAUUUUCUGUCAGUUAUUUGUUAAUCAUUCUAAACAUUGAGGUGCCUGUUAUGAUGUCUAAAAGGCUUGGUAAACCAAGGUUUUAAAUUGCGGUCGACGCAACAGUCGCGUCAGGUUGCUUUGCGGUCAUUUGUAUUGAGGAAAUUAUGAAUACACAUGGUUGUUGUGGCUGAAAUCACGGUCUGGUUUCAGUCCAAAACCUUUGCAGACCUUCAUUUAAAACCAUGGCAUUCACUGAUGUUUUUUCAUGGAGUUUCUGUGGUGUUAAGCUGCUAGUCCUUAAGAACCGGCAACAACAAUCCUUAAUUUUUGCAAGUAUUUGAGAUGUUUGUAGUUUGUCAUGUUUUUCUUUUCAGAAUGGUUUUUUCUUUGUGUCUGGGUAUAUUUUUCAGGGUCCUAGGAGUUAUGGGUAGAGGGAGACCUGGAAAAACUAUUGAAUUACCAAAUCAUGAAGAGGGGGGUUUAGAGGGAAAUCUAUCUAUGAACUUAAUAAACAUGAUAGAGCAUUGUGGCAUAGUCUGAUCCUUGAAUUCAAUGACACCUAGGUGGAAAAAGGAUGAUGAAAAAAAUGUGAAGAUAUUUUUCUUAGAUCAUGUGGUGCCUUGCUUGCAGGUGGUCAAGAGUAAUGGAAUCUCAUGAUGAGACAGGAUGCCAGGCUCCAGAGCGUCCUAUUCUCUGCGUCAAUAAUUGUGGUUUCUUUGGAAGGGCGGCUACCAUGAACAUGUGUUCCAAGUGUUACAAGGACAUGCUAUUGAAGCAGGAGCAGGACAAGCUUGCAGCAACAUCGGUUGAAAAUAUUGUGAACAGCUGUUCCAAUGGCAAUGGAAAGCAGGCCAUCACUGCAGAUGCUGUUAAUGUACGAGUUGAACCUGUGGAGGUCAAGGCAGUCACUGCUCAGAUUUCUGCGGAUUCAUCCUCCGGUGAGAGCUUGGAGGUGAAAGCCAAGACUGGUCCCAGCAGAUGUGGCACUUGCCGGAAACGUGUUGGGUUAACUGGUUUCAGCUGCAAAUGUGGCAAUGUCUUCUGCGCAAUGCAUCGCUAUUCGGAUAAACAUGAUUGCCCUUUUGAUUAUAGGGCUGUUGGUCAGGAGGCCAUAGCGAAAGCCAACCCGGUCAUUAAGGCAGAUAAGCUUGAUAAAAUCUAGGCAUACACUAGACUGAAGGUUAAUGUAUGAAUCUGAUGCUUACUGCCUGGGUUUUUAGGUGUCCUUUAGCUAUCAAAAAUGGGAUAUUUUCAUGAUUCCAAGGACAUCUUUAGGGGAAAUCAUUCCUGUGUUUGUGAUGGUCUGAUGGACUUUGGCUCAUUCUGUAAUUUGAUUUCCUGCUUGGUCUGCAUUUCUUUUUACCUCUCAUUGCUUGGAAGUUAUUUCCUAGAUUGUCUUGUGUGAGACCUUGCUUUUAAAUUGUUCAUGUUUAUAUAGAUUUUUCAUGCACAAAAUAUGUGCAGUAAGUUUGAAGUUGCUAGCGGGACUUUUGAUUAUUUAUAUAAUUCCAAGGGUAUUAUGACUGCGCAAUAAAGCGAUAUGAACAAGAGAAGUAGAGAACAGUUGUGUGGAUCAAUCAGAUUGCAUACAAAUUUUUGCAAGAAUUUGGUGUGAUACUGCAUUGAUCCAAAGGCCAGAGGUAAACAAGGUCUGUUGGUUAAAGCAUACAUCACUUGAUAUGUCUGAUGUUAAACUCAAAGUGGAUUUGCUUUAAUUAUUCUUUGGUUGUUAGGUGGCUUUGCUUACUUUCCUUUUAGUAUCAUUAUCUUUGUCAUUUAGGUCUAUUGGUGAGUCGCAUGAUUGUUCUAAUCAGUUCAUGUUAAUGGUGUGGCAAGUGGAAAAAUAAACAUUAGGUGGAUGUAUUAUAGCACAAUUACCAAAGGGUUUUACGCAAUUGCGGGUGUAAGUGAAUAAAUCUACUCAGGUAAUUUAGAGGGUGCAUGCCUGAAGAUUCCUUCCCGUGUAGUUACAUUUGGUGGUUCUAGUGUCUAAUAUGGUGAAAUGAUUAUCAGAUUAAGGCGUUUCUACCUUUGCUUCUCCUGCUUGGGACUUGCUUGUAGAGAGGGAUUUAGGCUGUAUUAAAUAUUUGAUAGUGAGAGUUUUGUCGUCAGUUUUUCAUAAUCAAUGGUUUAAAAUCAGUUAACCUUAUUGAACCAAGAACUGAUCAAUUUUGGUGGGAAAAUAGUGUAUAUAUGCAAUGUGAGUGAUACAGAUCGUUCAAUCUAUUACAAGGUCAUAUACAUAGGUAAAAUAUUCCCAUCAUUUUUUGUCUUCUUUCCAGUAUGUUCUUCUAUUUGGCUUUGCGGAUGCACCAAACCGUUCCAAACUUGCAAUGUAGACUAGCAAUGUCACCUUUUCCGAAUGUCGUUUUGAUAUUUGCCCUCUCGUUCUUCCUCACAAGCCAUUUGCAAACAAUGUGUUCUAGCCCUCUAUUAGUAUUUGCUGAGCUGUGUACCAUGUUUUGUUUACAUGUAUGUGUUAUUUAUUUUUCUAUCUCAAACACUCAUGUGAAAUUAAAACCAAUAGUGCUAUGGCUGUCUCCAUGAAUGGGCUUUCCUUCACGGGCUCCUCCUCUCAUGAUCUAGUGCAACGCUAAUCCCGACUCUAGGGUCCAAAGGGUAAGGGUCCAAAGGGUAAGCUCAAUCGACGGAGACCAACGGGUCCGGAUCCUUUCCCGUGAAUCUACAAUUUUUCUACAGUAGACAUUUGUAGCGGUUUAUAACCACCAAAAAAAUGUUGCCAGCUCCCACAAAAUGUUGCUGCAAAAAAAUUGACAACAUUUGUGGCGGCUGAGACCACCACAAAUGUCCACUGGAGAAAAAUUGAGAGAAGUCCACUAGAGAGGAUGUCAGCCCGAGACCAACACAUUUAGGAAGCUUUGCGAAUCACUAACCCUAGAUUUCUCGUAGACUGUGUUUGGAUGAGAAAAUUCAAAAAAUAAAAGAAUUCUAAAUAUAUUUACAAUUUUCAUAAUUUAAAAUUAUAAAAGUUGUCACUUUUAAAACAAAUGUUGUACAGUAAAGUAUCAAGUUCAUACUAUUCCUCCUUUUUUUAUUAUAGACAAAUGUUAGUUGUUAGAAAUGUUAGUAAAUUAAUCCCUCCUCCGGGUUUGAAUCUGGGACCUUUCACCCUUCAUCCCACCCAACCCUUAUGUCUCUAACUUUUACCACUUGAGCUAUCCUUCGGGGACAGAACUCCUCCUAAUUUGGAAGAAUUUAGGUCUAUGAUGGUCGAGACAAUAGUAUAAAUUUUGAAGUCUAUAAGUAAAAAAUAGUUCGGUGUGUUUGGUUGAGAGGAAAGGAUGACAUGGAUUUUAAUGGAGGUUGCGAGAGGGAAAGGGAAGACGGAAGAGAUUUUAAUGUUAUCGUGUUCGAUUAAGAGGAGGGAAGGAGAGACAACUCUUUUUUUGAGGGGGCUAAGAUUUUAAAGCAUAUUUACUUUUAUUGCCCUCACAAACCCUAUUUUGUUUGCUCAUAUAGCCCCAUGUGAUGUCUUCUUCUGUCCACCACUAGUGUUUUAGACCGAGAAGUAGAGAGGGGAUGAAAAUUUGAGAAGGCAUAGGCCAAGGAAAAUGGUGCAAAUCAGAAGGCAUAAGCCAAGGAAAUUCCACGGCCAAGGAUAUUCGUAGGAGGGAGAGAUUGAUUGCAAAGGGAGACACAUUUUUUUCUCCAACAAAAUGUUUAUACAUCUUCAACCCUAACAAAACACGAUAUAUUUGUGCAAGUCAAUCUUGAUUUUGGAAGUUACUGAAAAAAAAACAUUAAAUAUGUACACAAUUUGUUUUUGUUACAAAGAUUCCUUUGUUAAUAGCAAUCAUAGACUGUAAACAUAACUGGAUAGUAAAGAGUAGUCCAUAAGACUAUUUAAAAACAAAAUAUGACAUUCAUUCGCAUAAAACCUUGUGAUUGCAUAACCUCACUGAAAAGAAAGAGUUUAAUACAUCAAAAUCCUACUACAAACCAACUAGUCCUGCUUACUACUAGCAGCUCUUGCACGAUGUCUUAGUUCGGCUCGUUUCCAUUUAACAAUCAAGUAACAUAAGGAGAAGAGUGUGUUUACCUGCAAAAAGAGGCAAGAUACUAUAAGUCAAUAUUCAAUAUGAAAAUACCAGCACAAAAAUGGUUGUGACAGAAAAUACUGACCAAGAUUAUCAUAGCAAUGACAAGAAGUGGUCCAGACCAAAGAACUGACAUGAAUAAUCCACUUGGAUCAAAAUAGUUUUGAGCAGCGAAGCUUUUCCAGUUUUUUCCCAUGACACUAUUAAGCCUCUCGGCAAGAUACACACCAAUCACUGCACCAAAAGUAUUACGAGGUAAGACAAGCUACAUUAAUAGCAUCUGCAAAUUGAAUGAUAUUCGUACGAAAUAGAAAAUCAGGAGUGACAAAACUUCAGAAAAAGUGGAUAUUAGUGAUAAUGCUGAACUGAGAAACAAAAUGCACAGAAAAAUGUACCAGAUUUCAUCAAAGUUCAACAACUCUACAUAGUCUUCAUGAAUUGUCAACAAUUGCCAUAUAACUGGAAGUAAAGUUUUUACCUUGGAUUUAUAGCUUGUGCAAUUAAAUUCUAAUUCAAGAGAAUGUCCACCCCUAAUUUUAUCUCAAUAUUUUACAUUUUAAGCUCAAAUAUCUAUCUAUAAUUGUAAUUCCAUACCUAAUUAAGGACAGCUACUUGCUGUAGAAUUUUAUAGCAUGCACCCAUGCGAUUAUUUAAUAGAGAUGGAUCAGACAUAGGGAGAACAACCUUUGUUGUAGAAAAAGUCCCCCUGACCAAUAUCAGUGCGAUACAAGUUCUGAUACCAAGAAUGUAUAAUGGAAAUGUAUCUCUUCUGUACACCAAGGUAUUCAGAGAUUUGGAUUCCCACUCCAAAAUCCCAGACCCUCUUCUAUACGUUUCUUCUUCAUAUUAUUAUACCCUGUCAUUUCUCACUUCCUAACAAUAACCGCCCACCCACCGGCGCCCCAAAACCUUAUCCUCAAGAUGAAGGUUUUGUAAAAAUAAGGACCAAUACAUUGGCCUUCAGUGAUUCCCAAAUCAAACAGCAAACAACAAUCAACAAAGGUUAUAGACUAGUACUAAACUAAGGCCCCGUUUGGAAGAGCUUAUCUUAAGGCAUAAGCAUUUAUGCAAGUGUUUGGAGAGCUUACCUAUAAGUUGUUUUGAGUUUAUUUUCAUAAGUCGCUCCGAUUACCUAAUGAAUAAGAGCUUAUAUUUACAUGUGACUUAUUUUAAGCUUAUUUCAAUAAUUUCUCAAAUUAGCUCAUGAAUAAGCGCUAGUUGCCAUCAUAGUAGUCAAUCCCAGAUCGCGGCGCGUAGCGGCCGACCCCAAAAGUGGGAUAGCGGGAUAGCGGAUAGCAGGAUGACCGCUAUUUUGAUUUUUCACAUAUAAUAUUAUAUAAUUAAUAUAUACAUAUAAUUACUAAAAAGUGAUAAAUAUAACUUCAAAAUUCAAAUUCAUAACAUGAUGAAGUGAUAGAGAAGAGAGGACUACUAGAGGAGAAGAACUGGAGAAGUAUUUUUGAGAACAGAAUAAUAAAUAAGAAGGAAAAGAAAGCAAAGAAAAAUAGAGGAAUAGAAGAUAAAAAACAGAGCAACUCAGAACAGAACAAAGGCCCAAGAGAAACAGGGGUGGUGGUCGCCGGAGCCUGGACGGUGCUUGUCAGAUUGCGUCGUGGCCGGUUCUGGACUUCUGGUCGAAGGGGCUGAGCUGAAGGAACGACACCGGAGAUUGCAGAGGAAACGCGUAUGAAGAAGAAGAAACGCGCUGAAGAAGAAGAAGAAGAAACGCGUUGAAGAAGAUGAGUGAAACGCACCGUUUCACUUAUUAAGAGCGAAAUCCCAAAAGUACCCUCAAAUUUUAACCUAAUUUUAAAAUUUUGAGGGCAAUUUGGGGAUUUUCAUUGGACCCGACCCAUCUUCAACCUGGAGCACCGCGAUUUGCUGCGAUUGGACGCAAUUUGGCCGCGAUUCGCGGCGCGACAGCCGCGACGGCGUUCCGCAACGCGAUCGAUUCAGAAUCGCGGGGAAGGGCCGCGACGCGCCGCGACGGCGCGAUAGCGCCGCUAUUUGCCGCGAUUGACUACUAUGGUUGCCAUAGGUGCUUAAUUAAGUUGUUUACCUGAACAGGGGGCUUGAGUAAGGAGAGGGCCAAGGGGGACAGAGAGAGGCAAAAAAGGGAAUCAAUAAACUGAGCACAUUACUACCUACGUUCCAGCAUCCUGAAUGUUCUGAGCUUGAAUUUUCAAUUUGUGGAUUAAAAGGGCAUUUCUAUCUCAGUUGCCUGAUCACUGGUUAAGAUCAUGACAUGAACAUUCUCAUUCCAAAGAAGCCUUAACAUAAAUGAUAUGAAGAAUUUUGCAGUAAUCAAAAUAUAUCACUAUGCAAAAGAAUAUUUAGUUCCAAUGAAUGAGCCAAUAUGACUGGACUUUCACCCUCUUAUGACAAUUUUAGGUAUCUUUUCAAUCAUAAAUGCAUGACCAGAUAAAAGGACUAGCAUGUGUGAAGCUUAAAGCCAAACAGAGUAGAAUGCAGAAUUUCUCUCAAUUUCACAUUAUCUCAAAGCAGCAUUAGAAUUUUGCAGUCAUCAAAGUUUUUCAUUAUACAAAAGGAUAUAGUUUCCAUGAGCUAACAUGACUGGAUUUUCACUCUUUUAUGACAAUUUUAGGAAUCUUUUCAAUCAUAAAUUCUUGACAAGAUAAAGGGCUGGCACGAGUGAAGCUUUUAGCCAAACAGAAUAGAGAGCAGAAUUUCUCUCAAUUUCACAUUAUCUCAAUGCAGCAUUUCAUUCUAGGAAGAAAAACAAAAGCAAGGCUACUAAGUUUAUUAUAAAGGAGGAUAGCAACAACUUCAAACAUGAAUGAAGUAUGUCAAAAGUAUUAGAGAAGACUAUUCAAGCAAUAUAGUUAUUUAAAAAAAAAAAAACACUUCAUAACAUAUAGAAGGAAUGCUACAUACAUGUUAAAAGGAACAGGCACAUUUGGAAGUUGGUAUUCUUCCUAGAUAUGACAGUCACAAGCAGCAAAACAGCAUGGAAUGUUAACAAUCCUAUUAGAAAAGGUUCCUGAAACAAAAAAUCAAGGCAAUAUUAGUAACUCCAAAGGAUGCAAAUAAUAAGAAAGUUCAGAAAAGGACAAAAUGAUCAAGAUUGAAAAAUAUAUGAACAGAAAACACCAGAAGCAAUAUGAUUCAGAAAAACAUAAUAUUUAUCCAUAAGUAUAUAGUACACCAAAAAACAUAGCAUAUAAAUGGAAAGUUGAAGAGGAUAAUAUUCAUGUCAAAAACCUAAGUUCUCUUCCUGUGAUCCUAUUCCAUUAUAUUGACAAGAAAAAUCGCAUCAUAUUGUUAUAACCUUUGAUACCCCUACUAGAUCCACAGGUUUCCUGUGCACAACAUUGUCAAGGACCAAAUGCUUAAAACAAUCAGCACCCUCAUGGAAAGAAAGUCUUCAAACACCAAAUUGCAAACCAACCAAUAACUCAUCCAAGCAUUUUCUAUUCACCACAUGCAAAGGAAACAACAAAUUUGAACUUCCUUAUCCAUAAAAGAUCAUCACCAAUGCUCAUUCCACUAUUCGAACAUCACCGAAAAACAAAAUCUAAAAUUACAUUUCAUAUGAUUAUAUCACCCUUCAACUGAGACCUUUCUGCUCCAAUCCCCAACAUCAAAUCCAACAAAAUGGCGUUACACACAGAACAAACAACAACUGAACAUCCCACAAGUCACAAAUUUCAACAACAGGAAAACACAAAGGUUAAAAAUAACACCACAUUUUGCACUUCAAGUUGGUUUCCACUUGAUUUCUCCAUCACCCAAAUAGAACCAAAAAAAAGGAAAAUUGAAAACAACCCAUUAUUCAAGGACCCAAAAAAAGAAAUGGGUCAAGGAAAAAAAAAGCAGAAGGGGUACCUUCCAAUCAAUGGCAUGGAAAAACCCAAUGAAGUUAUCGUAAGCGGGACGAAGACCAGAACGAAGCUCUGAAGAUAACUUCUGAACAAGAUCUGCCAUGAGAUCCAUGUGCUCAUCCAAUGCUGAUUUCAACUCGUCCAUGGUGAUUGACACGAAAUGCACGAGAUUCAAAUCAACUGAGUCGACUCGUCUUGAAGAAUCUUCUGCAACACUCUUAUCAGUUUUCUUCAGACUUCAACCUUCUUAUUCCGGUUCGUUUGAUCCGACCGGGUUUAAUUUUUUGAACCGGUAUUUAUGCGUUGUUAGUUUUGGUUGGGCGAAGCCCAUCCAUUGAUUACAAAAUGGGUACCGAAGCCCAUUAAAAUGAAACUAUAAUAUUGGCCAAUCUUCAUGAUUAUUGUCAAUUGUGAACGUGACGCGAAGCAUUAGAGAAUUACUCACUCAAUUCCAAAAUUAUUGUUGUUUAAGGUUAUACACAUAAUUUAAUAAUUGAUGUUAUAGUUUGACCGAAAUGUCUGUUUUUAAUGUUGAGUUGUAUUAAAGAGAGAGAAUGAUAACUAUUGGUUAACUUAUUGGUAAUAAUUGUGAUAGGUAAAAAUAUGAGGUGAUAGUUUAAAGAUUUUUUUAAAUAAAGGCAUGAAUGGAAGAAAAUGAGAUUCAAAUGCUUUGAAAUCGUAAAACAACAAUAGUUUUAGAAUAAAACAUAAAAGUUUAAACAACAAUAGUUUUGGAACGGAGAGGGUACCAAAUCAGAAGUGAGACAUUAAUAUGUAAGAAAACGAUUUGAUGCUCAUUUAUUAGAUUAUUAUGUGUAGGGGUGCCAAUUUGAGAUAGUUUUGUACUCUACCUAAGUUAGAUUUGUUUCUGGCCUAACAUCUUGAUCUCCUUGGGUCACUCUAGCUAUGAUAAAGUGUGAACAAAUUUGUUCCUGCUACAAAUACAAAUCCUAAUUUUACAAAUAAACAUAAUUUUGUUUAGUUUUGGUGUCCAUGAAAACCAUGGUUUCAAAGUGCAUGCAUAGGUUUGAUGGCUGUUUGAUGCCUUUGAGUAGGGGUGAACAUGGGCCGGGUAAAUCCAAUGAACCCGCCCAACCCAAUCCGAUCCAAUAGAAAAAAUGCGGGUUGGAUCGGACAAUCGGGUUAGUCGUAUGGAUUUUACUACAAACCAACCAAAUUCGGAUCGGAUUUCGGAUUCAGUUCAAAUUCAUCCAACCCAACCCAGAAUCCAUACAUAUAAUAAUAAUUUUUAUAAUUUUACUCAUACUUGGAGUGCUAGUGUCGGAGUGAUGACUUUUUGAAACUUUGAGACUUAAGUAUUUGUAGUUAUUUGUCAUAUUUGAACUUAGAGUAUUUGUUCGUAGUUAAUUGUUACAUGUUUAUACAUAGUUAUUUGGCAUGUUGGAGAAAUCUAAGUUCUAAGUGUCAUGACAUGACAUUUAGUGUUGUUUUUCACUUUUUAGAUACUAUUUAUUAGAUUGUUUCAUGUCAUUUGGUAAUGAAGUUUUAUAUUUUCAUGAUAUUUGGCUAUAUGUCAUUUAUGUGGUAUUAUUUCUAUAACUUUUUGUGUCUUUUUCAUGCUAUUUAGUAUUAUAACAUAUUUAGUAUUUUUUAUAACUUUUUUCUGAAUUUAUAAUAAUUUUUACAAUAUUUUUUAAUAUUUCAGAUAUAUUAUUAUUUUAAUAUAGUGACCCAAUAAAUCCAUCCAAUCCAAUCCAAACUUCGUUGGGUUGGUUCGGAUCGGGUCCGAAGAAGAAAUUUGUCAAAUCCAACUCAACCCAACCCAGACAAUUUUGAUCUGUUCAAAUUUUAUUUUGACCAAAAUCCAUCCAACUCAGCCCAUGUGCACCUCAACCUUUACCUUUGUCUGCCAAUGCCAUGAUCGAUGCUCUCAUUUCACACCUAAAGAAAUAUACAUUUCUCUUUACUCUCUUUCAAUUAUUCUUCAGCAAUCUUCAUAAGUACUACAAUAGAUAUUUGUAUUAAUAUAUGAUUGACUUUAUCAACAAUAAUCAAACAUUAUGAUUGUUUGUAGGAUGAAAGAGUAAAAAGAGGGCCUCACUUUCUUGUAUUUCUUUUCGGGCCCUGAUCAUGUCACAUUGAAAUUGAUCAUUUUUGUAGUAUUAGGUAAAUAAUUUCGUGGUGACAUGGCCUAAUUAGCUAGGGGUUGGUGCCAUGCAAAGUCAAAAGGAGUUGAUUGGACACUGCAACCUAAUUAUCAAUGCCAAAAAGAGUGUAACUCUUUCAUUUGUCUUUUUCUCCCCCACCCUUGUUUCCUUUUUUCCUUUCUUCAUAUUCCUUUUUCUUGAGAUUCUACAGAGUGCUCCAGUAUUAUACUCUAACAAGAAGAAUCUAUAGGAUUUCUGUUGCAGCUGGACGCUUUCACUGGUAAUUUUAUUUUGGCCCUAAGGGGAAGCUGGUCCUCACUCUUCAAUUAGAUUUUUCUUCUUUCCCUUUCCACCCUUUUAUCCCCUUUUCAGAAUAUUGCUGCAAUGUUUAGCAGUAAUGGUUGUUGUCCUUCACCUCAGACGCCUGAACACUUUUACAGCAUAAGCUCAAAUAGCGGUACUAUAUAUUACAAAUGUACAUAUUUUUAAAUUUUCUUUAAACUCAAUUAAUUUAACAUUUGAGUUAACAUGAUAAAAUUUUACUUAUUCAAUUGUGAUGCAUCAAAAUAUGUGUUUUCUAGUUUGUCUUGAUGCAAACAGUAAUAAAAACUAAAGACAACUAAGAAGAAAUCCCUUUUUUGAUGAAUAAAAGUUUGAGUUGGUUCACUCUGAUUAUCAUCACAAAGUACUAUCACUGACUAAGACCAUCUACAAUGGUUUGUUUAGUUUACCUCAUCUUAACACCACUUUUUCUCUUCCCAACACUCCACAUCAUCUUCACUCUCCAAUUCAACAAACUCUCAACAAUUACCACCUCUAAUGGUUUUCAUUCAACUCCCUACCCCACCACUCACCCUAACCCACCACUUUUUUAUUUCAUAUUUUUAUUUAAUUAUAUUUUUAUUAUUUACAUAAAAUUAUAAUUAUUAUUUUAAAUUAAAUUAAAGCAAUAAACACUUAACAAUUUAAUUUUUUUUUCUGUGUCAAAAUCAAACGAAUCAAGUCUCUAUUUAUAGAGAAAAAAAAUCAUGAAUUUUGGUAUAAAUUUUUUUUUCAGAAAAUUUUUUUAUUGAUGAAAUAAUUGAGUUCAAAAGAUAAGGGUAAAAUAAAUCCGGCGACCCAAUCAGAUCCUAACACGUGGCAGUCCAAGGAAAUCCGUCAAAUUCUCUCUCCUUAUCCCAGGCGCGUCACGCGCCUUGUCCCCGCGUGCAGGUCAUGCGCCUGUCGGUGCCCAACCGGAGCGCGCCACGUGGCGUCCGGCAGGCCUCUCAACAUUGUUGAGCUUCCUCAACAUUUCUCCCCUCCCUCUCUCCUCCACAUCACCAUCAACAUUCUUCAACAACCACUACAAGGUUUAAACAAUCAUCAACACAAAUUUUCAACAAACAUUCAACAACCAUUGUAAGUGGUCUAAGGCAUGUUCUUGAAAUCAUAAGUAGUACGGGAAAACAACAUUCUGAAUGAAGUGGUGAAGAAAUCCCUAAUCGAAUCUACAUCGGUACCGUUUUAAGCGAAAGUAUAUAUAUAUAUAUAUAUAUAUAUAUAUAUAUAUAUAUUUUUUUUUUUCUUUGUACAUCAGAAAAAUAAAUUACAAUCGUCAGGAAUCGAUUCCUGAAUCUCCCUCUACCCAACCCAUAUAUCCCCUAACUCCUACCACUUGAGCUAUUUUACGGGGACAAUGCGAAAGUAUAUACUUGGUUAACUAAAUAAGGUGCCCACUAGGGUGGACAAGUUUCAAACUGGUCCACCGGUGGACCAUUAUCAUAUGCCGUUAGAUUUGAGAAUCUUAGAAUAUUCUUUUAUUAGAUGGUUAGGAUUUAAUGGAUGAUAAAAGAGCAAUAGGGUAAAUAGACCCCUCUUCUUCCCCCUUUCUCACUGGUCUGCUCUCCGUCACAACCACCACCUUUCGCCGGAGCCUCAGCCCAUACUCCACCUCCUCCCCCGCAAGCCCGACCCCGAUGUGGCCGCCUCCGCCUCCGGGCGCCUCCGAUGGCUUCAUAGUUGCAGAUCAGAAAACAACGAGCAACACAAACACUAACAACAGUGGAUCUGCAAUGAGGCUUCAAUAGUUAGCAGCAAUUUUGGCUGGGUUUCUCAACAGAGUGGUGUUCUGGUUCAAUUUGGGUUUGUGGUCAAGAAGCUUCGUUCGUGGUAGCAUGGGGGGUUCCAGAGGUGGAACGAGGUUCAUGUUUGCUUCAGGGCAGUUUGGGAUUGCAAUGGGGCUAUUAGGGAUUUGUGGUGUUUUUGGUUUUCUUGCUGUUGUUUUUCGGAGAAUUUGAAGUUAUUGUCCAGAUUCAGAAGUUCCAGGUUCUCUAGCUUGAAUAUAGAGCCUGGGAUUUCACCUCUAAGAUUAUUCCCUUGAAGGUCCAAGUAAGCUAAAUUGGUAAGGUUCCAAGAUGGAAAUUGAGUUUCAUUUGCUACCCAGAUAUUAAUUUUUGUUGUAAUUCUCAGAAUUGGACUAAAGUUUGUUUCUUUAUGUUGAAUUGAUUUGUUUUCCUCAUUUUCUUACUCACCCUGUUGAAAAGUGCCGAACUUGAAAAAGGGUUUUGGUUCACUGAAUGCCAGUAUUAUUAGUUUAGAUGCUAAUUUUUAGGUUUGGAACAGUUUAAUUUGUCAAUAUUAUCUGCAUAUUCUUGUGUGUCUAUGAUUGAAAAUUCCUUUAGUUCUGAAUUUCUUAGAGUUGAUGCUGUUUGUAGAAUAUAGAGAAUGCAAGAAGCUAAGAAUAAAUUAUGAGUCUGUCACGCAAAGAUAUAGGUAACUGUGGGGAUGGUAGUAGCAUCAAUGAAUCUCGUGCAGCUGGAGAAGGGACAAGUGAUCUUGAUCAUGAAAUUGCACAGUUGAUAAAAUUUGGGUCAAGUCAUCAUGAGCAUUUGGGUCCUGUUGGUACUGGUAGGAUGAAGCUACCUGAUGAAUUUCUUAACCCUCUCUCCAGUUGUGUGAGCUUUGUCAAAGAUGCAGAGAUGUCUUCUCUAAAAUUGUUGUAUCUAAGGUAUGUGUGAGAUUUUCAAGUGAAGAAGGAAUAGACCCAGAAAAAUUGCAACUUGAAACUGAUAGCCAUUUUGGUUAUUAGGGUCUAUGGUUCAGGUUGAGAUGGAGUUGUGGGUUGGAGUUGGGGGAAACAGAGGUGUUGAGGUGGGGAGGGGUUUGAGGUGGUGGCCUCUGCUUAGGGAAGCUGAAAGAGUUAGGAUUGAGAAGAGAGGUUUUUUUUUAUAAUUUAUUCUUUUUAUAUAUUUUUAUUUGUAAAUUACUAUUAUGACCCUUGGUCCACCGGUGAACCAAUUUGAAACUUGUCCACCCUAAUGGGCAUCCCUAAAUAAAUUAGGGAUCAAAUUAAAAUGACAUUACUACUAAAGUAACUAAACAAUAGCUGUUAGUUUUUUACUUUCAAAAAAAAAUUGCUAUUAGCUCAAGAAUUGAUUAUGUUUGGUUAAAAUGACAUUACUACCAAACGUACUUUUGAUAAUGUUUGGUUAAAAACUGAAAAGUGGUGAUUACUGAUUACAGACUAAAUUUAGAUACUUUUUUAUGGCGAGUUUUGAAUCAAGAAAAAGAGAAACUAAUUAACCUCGUGGUUUGUUAUGUUGGAAAUAAUGCAAAAGUUAAGAAUCUUUUCCAUAGCUAGCCCACACUUUUAUAUUAACUUUUUGGAUUUUAUCUCCAGUUGUCAGUAAAGUAGACCUUUAAUUAUGUCUUUUUCCCUUUUUAAAAUAAAAUACAUCAUGGACGGCUUGGAGUACUGUUAAUCUUAUCAGUGAUAUAGGUUAGAGUAAUAUUUAUGAUUAUACAUUUUCGUGCAUCAUCCUAUUUGUUAUACCCUUUUUAAUUAAUUUAUUCAACAUACUCAAACUGAAUUUUUCCAAAAUAAAAAAGUAUGAUUAAUAUGCAAAUAAGAUAACAUCUUUACUAAAUAAGCUCAUAAUUUACAUAACUACAUCCAUUUUAAAAACACAUAACUAUAUCAACUUUUAUGUAUCCGCACAAACUUAUAAACUUUAAUCAAUUUGUUCUCAAGUCUCAACUUUUAUCUUCUUCAAAUUUUAGAAAGCUAUAUAAUUAGGGAUUACAAUAAGUGUUUGACUCAUUAGCACCGACAACAAAUAUUUGUUUUAGGUAGGUAAAAACAUACUAGAUGCGUAUAGGUUAGUUAGGUAUGAGUAAAUUGUUAGAAAUUUCAAGUGUGCGUGAUUAGAUCUCACAUUGGUAAAUAAUUGAUCAAUUAAAAACAUAUAAGUGUGAAGAUGUGAUAUCAGAUCGUUAUUUUGAUCUUAUUUCUUAAGGAAAUUAUCAUGUUCUACCCUCUUCGUGGUGAUUGGGGUUUGCUAGCCAAUUAUCGAGUUUUACCUUCUUGUCAUGAGCUAAUAAAUUAUAACUUCUUAGCUUCUCUUGCUACUCUUAUCUUUGUAUUGAGUUGAAGUACCUCUUGUACUUCUUUUCCAUAUAUUGCUUUGUUUAUCAAAAAAAAUUAUAACUUGUGUAUAAUUAAUUCAGGAAAAAAUAACAUGGAUGUAGGUGAAAAGUUUCAGAACCAACAAAAGGAAAUCAAAUAUAAAAACAUAUUCAAAUCAAUGAUGCAAAGGCAACAAAGAGAAGCGGAAUGUGAUGCAAAAUAAAUCAAAAGAGGAGAUGAAGGUUUGGAUGCGAACCUUAAGAAAAGUUUGUGCCCAUGCCUACAAAACCUAGUCGUAAGUGAAGUUGAAAACUUAGGGUUGCAACAAAAGGUGGGGUUCGAGGCACAACGGUUGGGGUCGUGAUGAAAGGUGGUGUUUGGUGAAAAGUGGUUUUAGGGAGAAAGGAAGUUGGGGAUGGGUAGAGAGGUUGUGGCAGGGGGAGGGAUCAGGAUCGGGUUAGGGCGAUGACAAUUUCAAUUUGUUAAGGUGACGUGUUUAAGGGAGGAUGGUUCUUAUAAGGACAAUGGGGCCGAGAAAUCAUCGAAGUUUUGUAUUGGUCAGACCUACACUAACAUGCGGGGCCUAAGAGAUGAGUUAGACCCAGUUCAAAUUAACACCGGUCUUAAUGAUGCUAAGUGCUUGUGAAAUUAGCAUUGACUACCGUUAAUAGCAGGUAAGUUGUCAAACCGACGCUAACGUUAAUUGAAAUUUAUUUUGGUAUAUUCGUAGCGUGAGUUUAACUGCCACUAAAGUACGAAAAUUGGCCUUGGUGAAUUUUUUUUACUUUAGAACAAGUUUUCUUGAGGUAUGCUUACUUACAUACUAGUUAGUUGAGAAUGUAAAGAAAAAAAAAAUGUCUUACUCAUGUUUGGAUACACAUAAAAACAUAAAAAACAUGAUUAAUAAUCUCAAAAAAUAAGAAAAACUGUUAAUCUUUACAGUAGUUUGAUUUUGAUGGUUUUUGGCCGUGUAUCUAAGGCUUUGUUUGAAAGGAUAUAUUUUGCCAAGAAAGAAAGGGUGGCCAGAGAAAACACAAACCUCAAAAAGUUUUCACUGGUUUGGUUUGGAACAAUAGAAAACUAAGAGGGAAGAGAAUAAACGAGUCGUGGGUCCUAGUUUUUAUUUUCUUUGAUAAAGCGAGGAGAAAACAACAGCGAACUAUAGUUUUUUUUUUUAAUAGAUUUGCCAAAAGAACACGUAUUUUCAUAUUUUAUAUAAUUAAUAAUAAAAAAUACUAAUAAAUAUUAAUUAAAAAUAGAAAAUAAAAAAUAUUUUAAACCAUAUUUCAAAAUUAAUAUUUAAAAAAAUUAAUUAUUAUUUUUAAUUUUAAAUUUUUAACAUUUACGUCAUUUUACUAAUAUACUAUUAUCUUUUCUCUCACUUUUUUUUACUAUUCCUCUAACUUUAACCUAAAGAAUCAUCUCACUUUUUAUUUUGUAUUUUUUUUUUAAUUUCCUUUUCUCCUACUUUUCUUCAAUGUACCAAACACACCCUAAAGAUCACGUAGAAUAAGUGAAUAUGGGGUAGCACUAUAUUUUGUGUACCAGAAGAACUUGAUCUUGACUUCCCUAUUGUUUUUUCGAGGUAUGUAAAUCCAAACGAGUCUGAAACGUGCGAUAGAGGCCUUUGUCUCAUCGUCAACCCUGUCAUUCACGAGAAGCCAUUGUUGCUCACCCCUUUUUCUUAUCCUCAUGUAAUUCACACUUUUCUCCUUUCAAUUAUCCAUUAUCAUGUAGCAUGUUACUUAUUAAAAUGAGAGGUACUGUACAAAUUAUAGACCUCUAAUUUCAUCUAAUAUAUUUCAAUUUCAAGUCAAGAUUUAAUUAAAUACUACUUCUCGGGCUAAAACUAAACUCCUCAAGGUUCGAGGUGCCCAUCAGCCCAUGUUUUAGUUUAAUGGAAACUUUGUCUGAUGUAUUGUCCAAGCCAAAACACUCUGACUUCUGAGUUUCUGAUGGUCAAUUAGAGGGACCCUACAGAGGAACACAAAUUGACAAUAUAGACACGUGACACUGUUGCCGUACGAUUGAGGCAAAAACAUCUUCAUUGCAAUGAGGUGCGUGCAAUGAGUUGAUUUCCCAUGGUAAUCCUAGACAAUGUUAGGGGGUCCGAAGGUCAAAUCUUGACCUAAGCCUACAUUGUUUUUAGCUUCUUUGGAUUCCAUUUGCUGAUUUGCAACGUUGAAAAACCUCAUUACUUUAUGGUGGGUGAAAAAUUUCUACUUGUUCAUGAUGACUGAUGAGUGAUUUGAGUGGGAUGGUAAUUGUAUCAACCAUGCGACUUAUAGGUAGCGUUUGGUAGACACGUCUGAACGGGACGGAACAGGACAUAUUGGUUUUGUUCCGUGUUUGUCAUGUUUUUAAGAUGGAACAGAACGAGACAAAAAGCUUCUGGAACGGAACACUUUGGUUCCAUAGAAAAGGGUGAAACGGAAGAGAACGGAACGGAACACCUUAUUAAAAAUUUUAAAAAGACGAAAUAACCCCAACCUAUUCUCAUAUUUCCUGAUCUUUAUCCUUCCAUCUCCUCUGUUUCUCAUCAAGCCUCCAUCUGUUACGUCUGUCUUCUUUCUUUUUUUUCUUCUGCAUUCAUUCUGCUCAAUGUAUUAUUUCUUGGGACAAAAAACAAAUUGCAUUUUUGUACACCAGUGCUCUUAGAUCCCUCUAGCAAUUCAUCUUCCAUUUUUUUCCUAAAUACUCCAUUGUUUUGAUUUUGCUCAAUCAUGGUAGAAUCAAAAUUCAUGGAAACCCCAGUCUCAGGGCAUCGAAACAGACAAAAGAGGGAUGAGAGGGAAAGACGAAGGAAGAGAGAAGAGAGAGGGACGCGCGGUGGCCUGAGCAUCCACGACGGCAGAUCUGGCCACUGGGCGUGAUGGUCCCUGGUCGCGGCGUGGUGGAGGUCCGGUGGCGCCGUGGCGGACUGAUUGCAUGCGAUGGGGCUUGCCGGCGGCUGUAAGAGAAAAUAGCCAUGAAAAGGAUAGAAGCCAUAAAAGCUGUUGUUGCAGGCUUGCACGUUUUGUGUGGAAGAAGAAAAACCUAAUCAUCUUUUCCUUCUCAAAAUGUUAUAAUCAAUCUAAAUUUUGAAUAAAAAGUUCAUUUAAAAUAAUAUACAGUAUAUACGAAACAAUAUUCAAUGGAAAACAAGCUUGAUAAAACAAUAAAUAUAAUAGGGGUAUAUGUGUAAUUAUCUUUAUAGUUCUGAUCUGUUCGUUAUAUAUUUACCAAACACAGUGUACAGUACAUUAUCGUCCUGUUCCAUCCCGUACUGUUCCGUUCUGUUCUGUUAUGUCCUGUUCUGUUAUGUUUCCAAACGCUACCAUAGUAACAACUAUUGUUAGGAUUUUUUUUUAAUCGUUUUGUUUAUUAAAAUGCUGAGUUAGAAUCUCAUAUUAGUUAAAAUUGCGUGAAAUAAAGAAAAUAUAAUGUGUGAUUUAUAAAUCCAAUUACUAAAAGUUUUGAGUAAAAAAGCGGCAUGUAAAUCUUCUACUAAUCUUUGGCGUUGGCCUUUUAGUGCAAUUCUCUUGCUUUUGUCACCUCUGAUCUCCCCAACAAGAUGUAUCAAAGUUAAUGGUUGGUGUGACCAUGAAGGUAAUUCCUUGUAUUGAAAAUUUUCCUGGUAGAGUGAUUAUGCCACGUCUCUUGUUGAUGUAGUGAUGAAAGAACAACGAUGUAAGUGUUGAUAGUUUACGCCGAAAGAAAACAUAUGAAGUGUCUAAAUAUUUUGGUGAUUUUCAGUAUUAACUCAUUGUUGAAUUUCUCCCCCUUUUAGCACCCUCAGUCUCCCCAACAUAUCAUCUACUAAUCCUACUUGAACCAGGAUCAUUAUUAUUCCUAUGUACUAACUCUUUCAAUUAAUUUUGUUCUCACAAGUCUUGAAUCCAAAACCUUAGCUAACAGAAAUCAAGAUCAUUAAUUGGAUUUAGAGGGAUUUGCUAGGAGUAAUAAAUGAAUACAAUAAUUAGUGGAAACAGAGAAGACAAAAAGUUGAAUAGAAUAAGGUUCAGGGUAGAUUAGAAAGUUAAAAAAAUGAAAAUGAACACCAACCGAGGCUAGUGUCUCGUGAUAUCUUACAAAGGGUAAAAACUAAAAACACCACUCAAUGUGAUGCAUUAUGCAUAGGCUAUGAUAAAAAAACAGAUUUUUCAUUUCUGAUCUUUCAUCAACAACAACAACAUUCUCAAUGGCUAUGAUGAGUUCUUGCACGUAAAUGUAAGCCUUUUCUUCCUUUACAGCACAUAAAUUUCCAGUAAAAGGCAACACACUUAACACUCAUAUAUUCAAAGAGUUGUGCAAAGUAACACAGAGCAAGCUCUUUCCAUUCACACUAAUGGCUACAUUCUGUACAUACAUGUUUCUUCUCUCUGUGACCUUUCUUCCACUCUUCAACCUCACUUCAUCUUCAUCAGAGGGAGAUAUGAAUAUCCUUCUCUCCUUCAAGUCCUCCAUUGAAGACUCUAAGAAUGCAUUGUCAACCUGGUCCAACACUUCAUCAAACCACCACUGUAACUGGACUGGAAUAUCCUGUUCCACCACCACACCUUCACCACUCUCAGUAACUUCUAUCAAUCUUCAGGGGUUAAACCUUUCUGGGGAUAUCUCAUCUUCUAUAUGUGACCUUCCAAAUCUUUCUUAUCUCGACCUUGCUGAUAACAUCUUCAACCAGCCCAUCCCUCUUCACCUCUCUCAGUGCAGUUCUCUGGAAACUUUGAAUCUCAGCACCAAUCUCAUAUGGGGCACUAUCCCAUCUCAGAUUUCUCAGUUUGGUUCAUUGAAAGUGCUUGACUUGAGCAGAAACCAUAUAGAGGGAAACAUCCCUGAAAGCUUAGGCUCCUUGAAGAAUCUCCAAGUUCUUAACAUGGGUAGUAACUUGCUCUCAGGUAAUGUACCUGCUGUGUUUGGCAAUAUGUCUAAGCUAGAGGUACUUGAUUUGUCUCAAAAUCCUUACUUAGUGAGUGAGAUUCCAGAGGAUAUUGGUGAGCUUCAAAAUCUGAAGCAGCUUCUGUUGCAAAGCUCUUCUUUUCAAGGUGAAAUUCCAAAAUCUUUGGAGGGUUUGCUUAGUCUGACCCAUUUAGAUCUCUCUGAGAAUAAUCUAACAGGUGGGGUUCCUCUGGCUCUUGCAUCUUCUCUCAAGAACCUGGUUUCUUUUGAUAUUUCACAAAACAGGCUUUUGGGGUCAUUUCCAAAUGGUAUAUGUAAAGGACAAGGCCUUGUUUAUCUCAGCCUUCAUACAAAUAGCUUCACUGGCUCAAUACCAAACUCCAUUGGUGAGUGUAAGAGUCUUGAGAGAUUCCAAGUUCAGGACAAUGGUUUCUCUGGAGACUUCCCUAUUGUGUUAUGGUCAUUACCCAAAAUCAAGCUCAUUAGAGCUGAAAACAAUAGAUUCUCAGGACAAAUUCCUGAGUCAAUAUCAGGAGCUGUUCAGUUAGAGCAAGUUCAGCUUGACAAUAACAGUUUUUCUGGUAAAAUUCCUCAAGCUCUUGGCACUGUCAAGAGCUUGUACAGAUUCUCUGCUUCUCUCAACCGUUUCUAUGGUGAACUUCCUCCAAAUUUUUGUGACUCCCCUGUCAUGAGCAUAGUGAAUCUCUCUACAACUCUCUUUCUGGUAAAAUUCCAGAGCUGAAAAAAUGCAGGAAGCUAGUUUCAUUUUCUCUGGCUGACAACAGUUUCACAGGAGAAAUACCCUCUUCCCUGGCUGAGCUACCAGUGCUGACUUACCUUGACCUUUCAGACAACAAUCUAACUGGCUCAAUCCCACAAGAGCUUCAAAACCUGAAGCUUGCUCUUUUCAAUGUGUCCUUCAAUCAGCUAUCAGGUAAAGUACCAUCCUCCUUGAUUUCUGGUCUUCCUGCCUCAUUUUUGGAAGGAAACCCUGGUCUUUGUGGCCCUGGGUUGCCCAAAUCCUGUUUUGAAGACAUGCCAAGACACAAUAAUGGUGCUCUUACAACCUUAACAUGUGCUCUUAUCUCCUUGGCCUUUAUUGCUGCAACUGCAACUGUUGCUGGUGGAUUUUUCAUGUAUAGGAGAUCUUGCAAGGGGAAUCAAGUUGGGGCUUGGAGGUCAGUGUUCUUCUAUCCUCUUAGAAUUACUGAGCAUGAUCUCCUUAUAGGAAUGAAUGAGAAAAGCUCAAUGGGAAAUGGUGGAGUUUUUGGCAAGGUUUAUGCUGUGAAUUUACCUAGUGGUGAACUAGUAUCUGUGAAGAAGCUAGUUAACUUUGGAAACCAGUCCUCUAAAAGUUUGAAAGCUGAGGUGAAGACCUUGGCGAAAAUUAGGCAUAAGAAUGUAGUUAAGAUUCUUGGGUUCUGCCAUUCUGAUGAGUCAAUUUUGCUCAUUUAUGAGUACUUGCAUGGAGGAAGCUUAGGGGAUUUGAUUUCCCAUCAGAAUUUUCAGUUGCCUUGGGGAGUUCGAUUGAGGAUUGCCAUUGGUGUUGCUCAAGGACUGGCCUAUCUUCACGAGGAUUAUGUCCCUCACUUGCUUCACAGAAAUUUCAAGUCAAGGAACAUUUUGUUGGAUGCAAAUUUUGAGCCAAAAUUGACAGAUUUUGCUCUUGAUAGAAUCCUGGGAGAAGCUGCAUUUCAAUCAACUUUGGAUUAUGGAGCAGCAUCUUCUUGUUACAUUGCACCAGGUAUGACAAGUUCUGUGAAUUACAAAAAGCAUUAUUCAAGAGAAUAAAAUAACUAUUUAGUGCAUGUUUGGAAAUCAUUUUACACAAAAUCAAUUAUGAGGAGAAACUUUCAAGAGUAGCUUCUGGGUGCUAGAAUUUAUUCUAAGGAGAAAGAAUUUGAUCCAAAUAUGCUAUUAAUCGGUAAACGCCAACUGAAAAUGCAUGCUGAAUUAUAGAGCUCUUGUAAUUCAUAGAAUUUCCUUUUGAUACAAAUUAGACCUACAUGAUUACUAGGGAUGUUCAUUAAAAAUGGAAUUGUUUGAUUGUUCAGGUGAGCCGUAAAGAUAAAUUCAUUUUGGUACUUCUUAGCCUUCCAUGGCUUCUUAUUGGGUGGCUUCUUUAUAUCUCUCCACAGGGGUUUAAUUAGUGGAUUUCAGAUUAGAACUUCAUCACUUUUGCCAAACUAUGGUUGCUUAUUUCUAUAAGCUCACUGCAUAUAUAAUUAGUGUAGAUGGAUUUGAAAUUUCCACCCAAAGUUUUUAUAUCUCCAUUUUAUGAUAUAUUUUUGCUUUCCAAUUCUGGUGUAUGUCAAUGACAUACUCAUAGUGUGUGUUUGGAUACCAGUUGAGUGCAACAUGAACGGACUUUCAUCACAAUCUAUAAGAGUUAUGAUCACUUAUUGUCUUGAAGUGUGUGCUAACAUAACAUCUGUUUGCACUUUGCACUGAUACCACCAAAUAUCCAAACAUAGCUGUAUAUAUGAAUUGCAUAUGAACCUAUAAAUACUAACACACUAACUAAUUGCACUGUUGUAUUGCAGAAUAUAGUUACAGUAAGAAAGCAAGUGAACAAUUGGACGUGUACAGUUUUGGUGUUGUAUUGCUAGAGCUAGUGAGUGGGAGGCAAGCAGAAGAAACAGAGUCAAGUGACUCCCUUGACAUUGUGAAGUGGGUUAGAAGGAAAGUGAACAUCACCAAUGGAGUACACCAAGUUCUUGACCCAAGAAUAUCACAUGCUUGUCACCAAGAAAUGGUUGGAGCUUUAGAUAUUGCUCUUCGUUGCACUUCUGUGGUACCUGAGAAAAGACCAUCUAUGGUUGAAGUUGUUAGAGGUCUUCAGUCCCUUGAGUCCAGGACUUGCAUUGCAAAUUUGCAGGAUACAAAUGAGGAGUCCUCCCUUCCAGUCUGAACUUCUAAGGUCCAACUCAAAGACUGUUUUUUGUUGCUGUUGAGUCUUUAUAUGUAAAUAUUCUGGUUUAUAUUUCACAUCCUUUUUAUUUUCAUCUUAUGAUCUGAGUCAUGGAAAUGAUUUAUCUCAAUCUAUAAGAAAUAUUCAGUUCAUUUUUUUGUUUUAAAAUAAGUGCUAAUGUCAGUUUGUAUUGGUGUCUAUUUCGAAGUCGUUGGUAGAGAUGACUAUAAUCUCAUUGAGAGCAAAACAACAAAGACACUUAUAGCUUGAAAUAAUCCAUCAUAAAAGUGUUAACACUAGCUGUGACCAUAGAGAACAACAUAUUAGAUUUGAGAAAAUUUGUGCAAAAGGCUAAUGAUGUGUGAAAAUCAUCUUGAACUGCUAACCUAUCAAUUCCUUAGUUCUUGAUCAGAUAUUAUCUAUUUUUUGAUCGCUCUUUUGCAAUCUAACUUCAAUGGCUAAUUAGAUUGUUGUUCAAGUCAAUUUGCUGAUUGGAAUGAUCAGUCCAGCUUGAUUUUGAGAACUAUGAAAAAGAAGGGAUGGAUUGGCAUUGAGAUAGAUGGUGAUCUGGGAAUCGAAUUGCAUAUGAUAUGUCAAAUAGCUCUUAUAAUGUGUCACAUAUCAAUGUUGAGUGCAUGCAAGAUAUUUAUGUGGCCAAUGAAAAUGUUUUGAAAUAUUUUUAAUAAUUAUCUUUCUAUACUAUUCUAGUAAAAAACUCAACUUGAUAGCUAUUGCCUAUUCAGAAAAUCUCAAGUUGAUGCCACAGAUCACUAUAUUAAUAACUAGAGUUAGAACUUUAUCUAUGUAUUCUACUUAAUUAAUAUUGUAAAUAUAGUAAACUAUUUUCUAUCUACAUAUAUAUUUUAAUAAUGAUAUACUCGAAUAUUCACCAAUAAUUUGUCAUUUAUUACAAACUAUAUAUAUUUGGUCCUUGAAUGAUAGCUCAAGUGGUAAGAGUUAGGGGCCAUAUGGGUUGGGACUUGGGAGGGGAAGGUCUAGGGUUCAAUCCUUGAAGAGUGCAAUUUAUCUUUCCGACCAAAAAACUAUAUAUGUAUUUGCUAUUUUUAUUCCUUCAACAUCUUCAGUAUGAAGAUUGUAAAAGUGGAAAAUUUAAAAAUUUUAAGAUAUUCAAAAAACCCCCAAGAAUCCAUGCAAUAGAUGUUGUUGAUUAGAACAUCCAUUUUGGUUGAGAUAAGCAAUCGAACUCUCUUCUUAUUCUUUGCUCACGGACACCGCUCGCACCGUCGACCUUUUUAUGUCUGCACCGUCUUUACUAUUUCCAUCACCUCUUAGCUUUUGAUGCUGCUUCUUUUGAAUAUACAAAAGCCUACGUUUUUCUCUUUAUGCUCGGACCUACCAGAUUGUCCCUUGUUAGUGUCGCUGAAGUCACGAGUCAGACUGCCUUGAAAGUCACACAUUAGCAACUCCGACAGAACCAAAUGAGUUGUUAAGUUGGCAGCGCCAAAUAAAAUGAAGAUAAAAGUCUCUUCCCUCUGAAGGUGGGACUUAAGUAAUUUAGGGUUUUAAGGGAUUUUUGUACGAACCUUUGGGUUUUUACUUCAUGCUUUCAACUAGUUGCUUCAACUUAUUUGGUUGAAUGUGCAUGUUUCUUCUUAAAUUGCUUAUGUGCAUUACGAUAUCGCUCUUUAAGAUUUAUUCGCACAUGUUGUAAGACAGCGUUUGGUGACAGAAUAGAACAUGGCAUAACAAAACGGAACGAGACAGAACAUGAUAGAACAAGAUAAUAAUGUUAUGUGUAUUGUGUUUGGUAACUACUUAUCAUUAAAACAUAACCAUAAUUUUAAUUAUAUAUAUAACUUUGCAUGUUUGAUACCUGAUUGAGGAGAAAAAUUUGAAAUCAAAGGAAUAUUAUAGGUAUAGCUCGUUUGUUAUUUCUUAAAAUAAUCAUUUUUUAAAUAAUCACUUAUAUAUUAUUUAAGUUGUUUAAGUAUACUUUUGAAAAAAAAAAACAGACAUCUAAUUAUUUCUUUAAGCUAUUUACAAUGUUUUAGAUUGAAAAAAAAUGAUUUUAACUCUAUAAAAAUAUUAAUUUUCAGAGAUUUUGAGAAGCAUACGUUGAUUCGUGUUUGAUUACUCUAAUUAAAAUCAAUUUUUUUUAUCUCCUCUUAUCUAUCAUAAUAGAAUUUCAUGAUAAGCUAAAGUAGAGUUUUCAAAUAAUUUGUUUUCAGAACUAACAUAGAAAGGAUUUUCUAAUUUAAAAAGUGAUUUUUUACUAAAAUAAGUUAAACCAAACGCACUUUAAUUGAUUUGUCAUUGUUAAAAAAGUGAUUUUACUUUUGAAAAAAAUUAUUGAUUUUAUGCUUAAUACAUCAUAAGACCCCUGAAAUUGUAAAGAGAAUCAGUUCCAGGGUAUGUAUAAGUUUCGCAUUAAAUUGGGUCCCUAAAAAAACUUUUUUAAUUCAAUUAAGAACAAAUGUUGCCAGACUUCAAUUUUAUCCUAGUCAGCAAUUCCGCGUGGCAUUUUUUUUUAAAUAUAAAUAAUGCCACAUGUUAUAAUUAAUUGAAAAUCAAUAUUAAUCCUUAAUUAAAUCAAUCAAGCCCUAAUUAAAGUCCUAAUUAACUCGUCUAACCCCAAAAUUUAUUUUCCACCCACAUCUUCAUCUUCAUUCUGUUCAUCUUCCACUUCCUCUUCUUCCAUCAAACCCAACAAUCCAGAACCACCACCACCUCCUCUUCUCUCUUCCUCCUCCUCCUCUAACCCACCACCAUACCAGGAAGCGCAACCCAAACGCGACCUACACCCUGAUCCUCAGCCGCGCUGCUCACCUGUGCCCGCGUGUGACCAGCGAUCCGCGCCGCCCGAGUGCACCACCGGUCGCUCCAGCCUCCGUCUUGCUCGCACGCCCCCGCGCCACCCUCCUCUCCCUCUGGCGCAUUCAGAUCUGCGUGCUCCAGCCAGAUCCGGCGUCCAACCCGCGCGCCCAGAUGACCUAGGGCCCGACUCAAAAUCCUCUUUGCUCUUGUUGGACGGUGGUGGUUCACCCACCAGCUAGCCACCACCACAAAUCCUCAUGCUUCCUUGAUGCUUAGAAUGCAUAUUCGACCCAUGAAUGAGCCUUGAUUGUUCUCUGUUGUUGCAGCCAUUUUUUUGUUUGUGUGAUGAGAAAGAAAAAGAAAAUGGAAAACAAAGGGAAAGGAGAAGAGAAACCCAGAGAGAGAAAUGUUCAUGAGCCAUGAAUGAGCCUUGAUUGUUCUCUAUUUUUUGUUUAGGGGUUGUUGUUUUAUGCGACUAGAUGCUAGAUCUCUGGGGGUUGGAAGAAGAUGAAUGUUCAAUUUGGGGAUGAAAGGUUUUAAUUAGGGAUUGGUUAUAAUUAGAGUUGGUUAUAUUAUCAGAUUAGUUUAUUAGUCAGAUUAUUAGAUUGUUUAGUUAAGGAAUUAUUAGAUUAGGUUUUUAUUAAGUUUUUAAAAAAAAUAAUUGAGUUGGAAUUAAUUUUUCUUUUAAUUUUUUAAUUAAAAAUUAUAAAAAUCACGUGUAAUUGAUGACUAGGACAAAAUUAAGGUCUGACAGCAUUUGACCUUAAUUGAAUUAAUUUUUUUUUCUUAUGGACCCAAUUUGAUGCGAAAAUUUUACAAGGCCUGGAACUGAUUCCCUUUACAAUUUCAGGGGUGUGAGAUUUUAUUUUAAGUAAUUUUUUUGAAAAACAGAAAUUCAUUUAUUUUUGUCUACAAAUAUAAUAAGUUAUUUUUCACUCUAAGAAGUGAUUUUAAACUAUUUAGAUACAAAAUGUUUUAAAUAUAAAUUAUUGGUAGUUUUGACCAUGUAAAAGUUUUAAGAGUGUUAUGUUCCACCAUUUUUUAGUGUCCUAUUCAUGAAGUCUUUUGUCAUGUUUUGUUCCAUCUUAAAAACAUAACAAAUACAUAACAUAAUCCAAAUGUCUUGUUAUGUUUCGUUCCCACCUAUCUACCAAACGCUACCUAAUUGUCGCUAGGAAACUAUUUGGUAUUUAUUCAAAACAAUUUUGACAAAUACAAAAAGCAAUCAAACUCAACUCAUGUAAAACCUAAGAAAAUUCUCAAACCUGAGAAACUCAACUCAUGCAACCCACGAGCUCGAGCUUACAAGUGUAGUAAAGCCUUUUUUGGAUAUGAAAAGGAAAUUUCUUCUAUCGGGGUGCUAACAAGAGAAGCAUUACUAGGUGUAUGAAAGCUAAUCUUGCAAGAAACACAAGAAGGAUUUGUUUUUCCAAUUAAAAUUCAAGCUUAACGGAAAAAAUCGUAGUAUGGCUAUGAGCCUAUGAGAGAGGAUAAUGUUGACAGAAGACAUGUUGACCAUGACACCUUGCCUGUUCACGAGCAUGAGAGGAUAAAGUGUCGCAACACAUUGGUAGCUUUGACAUUGGUAUCUAUCACCGAAUCAAAAUCCUCCACCGGAACUUCCCAUAAAUUGUUGUUCUUGUUUAUUGUUCAUGCACCUUGAGAAUUCAUGUACCCACAGCUUGGUCAAUACGUACUCCGGUACGGGUACGUACCCACAGCUUGGUUCUGCUUCUAUCCAAGCCAUUCUCAGAUGGAUAGCUAAGCGUUGCUCACGAUUGACCCUAUGAGUACACACAAGUGUUUAAAUAGAAAAAGCAGCCUCACCGAGAUCAUACCCACCACUCAUCUCACCGGGUUAUUACAAAGCAAUAUUAAGAGGCCAUUUACAGAACCAACAAAAAUGAAUAAGACUGAAACAAAAACAUACUUCUAUGCUAUAUCUGCCAUAGCCAUCGUCCUCCAAGGUUCACGUCAGAUUCACUUCACAUUCUUGAAUCUUGAUGGAGCACUUUCAUAAGUAAGUACUGAUCAGGGACAACCUGAUGGCUGCUGCGUUCUAUGAUGCCUUGACAUUUCCACUAUCAACAUUCAACAUCUAACACCCCGAAUAUAAGUUAGAAAUUUUAAAAUAAGUAUUGACUAAUAGUUCGGAAACUAAAGUUUUAUAAAAAUAAAGUUAGAGAUAGACAAAAAAAUAAUUGCAAAUAUCAACGAGGAAAUAAACCUAAAAAUAGAUAGAAAGUAGUGUUAAAAGAACUAAAUUAAAGUUAGAUAAACACAUUUGACAAAUAUGUUAUAAAAAAAUAGUUAAAAUAGGUAUUAAAAAACAGGUUAGGAAAUAUAGGCUUUAAAAACUAACUUAAAGUUAGAUACUUAGAUAAAUGAUUAGACAUACAAAAGUCAGAAAGAAUAUAUGAAAUUACGUAUUGAAAAAUAGAUAGGAAAGUAGUUUUUAUAAGUUUGGUUUUUUUUUUGACGAAAGUUUUUAAAAGUUAAGUUAAUUUUUUUUUUGAACAUGAAGUUAAAGUUAUAUAAAAGCAUUUUACAAUUAUAUAAGUUGGAAAAUAAAUUUAAAAAUUAGUGUUGUAAAAUAGAUAGGAAAAUAAAGGUUUUAUAAGUAUUGAUACAUAGAUAGGAGAAUAUAAUUUCAAAAUCUAAGCUAAAUUUAAAUAAAAAUAUUGCUCAAAUCUUCAAGUGAGAAAAUAGAUUUAAAAUGAAGUUAACAAAGUUAAAGUUAAAUAAAAUAAUUUCAUAAAGUUAAUUUAUAUAUCAUCAUGAUUUAGGCAUGACUCAUCAUCACAACUAAAUUGCCAACCUAAGCUUUUAGUGGAAACCCCAUGGCUAUGGGGAGCUUGGAGGAGCUCAACCCAUACUUGGUCGUGCAUGCACGACAGGGCCUGAACAACACAAUCUACAACUCAAGAGGAUCAUCAACACAUGCAAGACAAAAAGAGGGGGUUUGAGAGCCAUUUAACCUGGACAGAAGAGUGGGAAGAAGGUGUAUGUUGUCAAUGACGGUCAAGCGAGGACUAUAUCGUGACCCACUUGGAUUUGCACAAGCCAACAUCGAAGUUAAGAGAAGCAAUAAUGUCUGCCUUUGCUAUUGAAACGGUUUGUUGUUGCAUAACCUGGAAUAAACAGAGGCAAGCCCAUUAGAUGUUCAAAAGUAUACAGUUCUUAUGUCACAGGCUUAUUAGUAUGGCAGGCCUUGUCAUAAUGUAUAUUUUAAACAUAGCAAGUUUUGGAGAAAGGACAGAUAUGACUGCAGAAAUACUUCAUUAGCAAAAAUGCAUAGACAAAAAAAUGUAAUCAACCUCUUGUAACAUGCUCCUGGCAUUGUCAGACAUUCUACCGAAUUCAUCUAUAUAGCAGAUACCACGAUCACUCAAAACUAGGGCACCACUCUCAAGAACCUGAAGAUUAAGCAGAAAUAAUUAGAGUCCACCAAAUUUCUUGUACAAAAGGCGAUUAAAAAAAUAAAUAAAUGUAUUUAGCCUGUUUCAGGAUAUUUGGUCACAUAAGCCGUUUGUCCAACAGCAGAACUCCUCCUUCCACUUGUGUGAAUGCAACGUGGAGAUAAUUUGUGUAUAUGUACUGUAGUGGUUGGGACUUGCUUGUCCCAGGAUCACCAACGAGAAGAAUAUUUAUAUCACCACCGAAGCUAGCACCGGAUGCCAACGUCAAAGCAUUGCCACUAAAAAGCUGCAACAAAAUAAAAAUUAGCAUCCUCAGAAAACCAGUCAAUCAAUGAAUGCAUAGCUAGAGAGAAAGAUGUGUAACCUGACAAAGAAGGUCUUUCUUCACAUCACCUAGCUCUUAGAUGUUUGGCACUAAUGACUUUGUUAGUCUUUCAUAUAUAUCGGAUCUUUUGACAUCUUCAGUUUAGCCACCUGCAACUCAGACAAACACACAAUAAGCAAGGGCAUAAAGCAAGAAGUGGAUUUCAUAGAAGAUAGAUACAAACUGUACCUUUUCUUCAUCAAAGGCAACUUCUGCAUUUUUUCCCUGGGGAUUGUCAACCUCCAUAGUAUCCCCUAUCAGCAUCCUGGACUCAACGGACUUCUUUAUGUGAAGACAAUCAAUAUAUAUCUACAACAUGAAGGGGACAAAACCGAAACAUUUAGCAAACAAGAUAGAAAUUGUCAGAAUGGAGCUCUAAAUGUUAAAUGAGUUAAGAGCAUAAUGCAUACCUUGAAUAAUGACUUGACAAUUCUGAGUUGGCCCCUGACACUCAUAGCCCUACAAAUACCAGUCACCUGAUGCACAAGAAAAGACAUGAUGGGAUAAUUAAGCAAAAGCAGAUGGAUAUUUAUCUGUCAGAAAGUAUGCCAUAGUAUAUUCUCUCACCUCAACUCCGUCACCUCGCUUUCCAGCAUCUACCAGCUUGUCCUGCAUCAGCAAGCUAACUGUGUGAACUGUGAAGUGUUCCUCCUUUAGGCAUCUCAUCAGGAGUCUCCUGGAUCCUCACAAUUUACUUAUCUGAAAACCUGAUUUUUUAUAACAAAUCAGUUAAUUGCAGUUUUGUAGCUAUCGAACCUGAAAGUCAAGCCCUUAAUUUCUACACGUAACAGAACAGUUACACUUUUUGAUAAGCAAGCUGAAUAGUUUCACAAUCAAGAUCAUUAUUUAAUACCAUCAUCAACCCAUGAAUUACGUAUCAUUUAAAUAUAUCCAUUGUUCUUCAAUUAUAUUAAUGUGUGAACCAAUAUAUCUUAACCACUUGACACAGGAAGCAUAGUUCUUAACCUUCUAGAUAUAACUAACCCUUUGUCACUUGUAUUUUAGGAUGAGCAUGCACUUUGAUCGAGUUGUCACACUGGACUCGAAAUGGACUCAAUAUAUUAAUUUUAAUCAUUAACACCAGGUUAAUUUUAUUUGUAAACAUAGAAAGAAUUCAAGCAUCUUUAAAAUAACAAUUUCAAAGGCAUUAUAGGAUUUCAGUUCUGCCAUCGAUUUCUCAGUCAAGAGCAAAAACCAAAAGAAACUGAAUAGCUUCCUUGCACACAUAGUAUAUCAACAAAAGAACAAAAGAAAUAGGAAAUUUGCUUCAAAAUCAGGCUCCCUCAUGGUCUUCCUUAAACAAAUAAACCAUAGUGUGCACUACCUGCAUUGGUUGUGAACCAGUGCAAUCUUCCCUCAAGCAUAUAGUAGGUACAGUAAUCCGCCCUAAAAGUCACAAUACUCAACAAGAAAUUAAAAAUACAAUAGGGCACUUAACUGAUAACACAGUAUGUAAAUGGGAAAAAACAUGUCAUGGGAUUACCUCUCUCUACAGCAACUGGUUCAGUGCAGAAUCCACACACAAGACACCUAAAUAUAGCUUCCCUUAUUUCCGCUAUGAUUGAGCUACAUUGUAUAAUCAUCCCCUUAAAUGACACCAUCCUCUCAAAAUCUGAAAAGAAGCCUACAAGUCGAUUUGCCUGCAAUAAAACACAAUCUAAAAUUACAAUGGGGGAAGACGUAAAAAUCCAAGUUUGAAUGUGCUUAUCGAACAUGGAAUUCAUUCAGAUGGUCAUGAAUAUCUGGUAAAACCGCCAUGUGGAUCUAGGGACUCGCAUUGAUGAUUUUCGUCAAUGAGUCAGUCCUCAAAUUAUCACUAUUCGAAAGGCAACAAGGGUCCAUAAUCAGAAUUAGCAUUCUCACGACUUCAGGGUCAUUGUUCACAUGAUUAACCAUCUCGUUUUAGGGACUUACAUUGAUGAUUUCCGUCAAAAGGGAGAACCCUCAAAUUAUCAUUAUUCGAAGGCCAACAAGGGUUCGUAAUCAGAAUUAGCAUUCUCACGACUUUAGGGUCAUUAUUCACUUGAUUAACCAUCUCGUUUUAGGGACUCGCAUUGAUGAUUUCAAUCAAAAGUUCCAGCUCUCAAAUUAUCAGUAUCUGAAAGGCAACAAGGGUCCAUACUCAGAAUUAACAUACUUGCGACUUCAAGGUAAUCACAUGAUUAACCAUCUCAUUUUAGGGGCUCGCAUUAAAAGACUCCAUAAUCAUAAUUAGCAUUCUCAUGACUUUACAGUCAUUGUUUACAUGAUCAAAAGGGUCAGCCCUCAAAUUAUCACUAUCCGAAAGGCAACAAGGCUCAUAAUCAAAAUUAGCAUUUUCGCGACUUUAGGGUCAUUGUUCAUUUGAUUAACCACCUCGUUUUAGGGACUCACAUUGAUGAUUUCCAUCAAAAGGGCCAGCCCUCACAUUAUCUUUAUCCGAAAGGCAACAAAGUUCCAUAAUCAAAAUUAGCAUUUUCGCGACUUUAGGGUCAUUGUUCACAUGAUUAACCAUCUCAUUUUAGGAACUCGCAUUGAUGAUUUCCAUCAAUAGUAUCAACCCACAAACUAUCAUUAUCCGAAAGGCAACAAGGGUCCAUAAUCAGAAUUAGCAUUCUUGCGACUUCAGGGUCAUUGUUCACAUGAUUAACCAUAUCGUUUUAGGGACUUGUUUUAGGAACUCACAUUGAUGAUUUCCAUCCAAAGGAUUAGCCCUCAAAUUAUCAUUAUCCGUAAGGCAGAAUUAGCAUUCUCGCGACUUCAAGGUCAUUGUUCACUUGAUUAACCAUCUCGUUUUAGGGACUCACAUUGAUGAUUUCCGUCAAAAGGGAGAACCCUCAAAUUAUCAUUAUUCGAAGGCCAACAAGGGUCUGUAAUCAGAAUUAGCAUUCUCGCGACUUUAGGGUCAUUGCUCACAUGAUUAACCAUCUCGUUUUAGGGACUUGUUUUAGGGACUCACAUUGAUGAUUUCCGUCAAAAGGGUCAACCCUCAAAUUAUCAUUAUCCGAAAGGCAACAAGGGUCCAUAAUCAGAAUUAAUAUUCUUGUUCACAUGAUUAAUCUUCUCAUUUUUGGGACUCGCACAAAAAAUACACAACUAAGACUAGGCAAAUGAACACAGAAAAAACACACAAAAAAACCCAGAAGUGAACCAUAUUAGCCAACCCAGAAUUGUACACACAUUCCAAUAUACCUUGUUGUAAAGCUCCUCAACUCGUCGGGACAUGUGCAGUUUCCAUGGACAUUCCAGAACAAAGCUAUGCAUCCAACAAGCUGUUAAAUCUAAAGAGUGUUAGCAUGUUUACUCAUUGAUAAUAGAGAUAUAUGCAUUAGAGUCUGCCUUAGAGAAAGGGAUACCAUGGGUAAAAUAACUAGAAUGUGCUGUGAGAUCCAUUGACGAAAAAGGCAAGCAUAUGACUUGUAAUGCUCUGCCAGCAAAUUGGGAUACUUGAACUCCUUCACCCUACAAGAGACACAAGUAAACAUCCUGAGCAGAAGUUUAGCCUCUUAAGAAACACAUGCUUAAAAGUCGAGAAGAUCAUAUACCAUUGAGAGUUUAACCUCAUUUCCAAUACGUAAACCAUUGUAUCAACUGCUCUUUGUUUUGAAUAAUUAUAAACUGCAUUGUCCACUUCCACAUUUACCAUGUGCUCAAAAUGAUUCCACAAAUCAUCCUCAUGAACCUGAGAUGGAAAUACAGAUGGGAAUUUGAAAUCAGCAACAAUAAAAUAAGUAAAGAACAAUUAAAAGUAAUUAAUACAACCAAACAUACAAUAAGUACAAGUAAACUCUGAGGGUUAAAUGUAAAAAAACUAACCAAAAUUGAUCCAGUUCCAUAGCACAAAUGUUGAGCAUAUUCUGCACAGAGGUGAUGUUCCACUCUCUCAAACUGUGGUAAAAAAACACACAAACAACUUGCCUAUCAGAAUGACAUAAACAAAAUGCAAAUAAGGACAACGAAACGAAUAAAGACAGCAUUUAUUUCUCAGAACAAGUAAACGACAACAAAUUAAGUUAUAGGGACACACAAUUUUACGAGCUGAUUCAUUAAUAUCUCCUUGUACACAAUUUACUUGCCAUCACUGCAUUCUCCAUUGAUUGGACAAGGUUCACAAGUAUCUACAACAAUAACCAGUCAACACAAACUAGAAAAGAAACACACAAUUUGAAGGAACCUACAUAUUGAGACUACAAUAUUUAAAUGCAUUAUACAAGGCAGAGAAUGAACUCACAAGAAAAUUAUUAGAGGUAAUACGAUAUGAAGCUGAAAACAUCACGUGGAGCUUGCAUUAAAAAGGCAUCUGUAUCCUACCAAAUUAAAUAAACAGCAAGAAUCAUGUAUAGCAUUUCAAAAUAAAACACAGAAUAUCAACUAACUAUCAACUGAUUUUUCUUAGAAACUUUCAGGCGAUUACCUUUUCAUUUUCAGUGUAUUCAUUCAUGCUUUCUUGUUUCUUCUUUAAUAGAAAAGGGGAAACAAAGUAAUAUUUCAUUUUUUAUCAAUACUACUGAAAUGGACUUUAUUAAAAAAAAUCAACCUCAUGAAAACCAAAUAGAUAAAUUUAUCGGAAAUUCAAAUACAUGUGAGUUUGAAAGAGUCUAACCAGGAAAGUAAUCAGAGGGAUGGAGGUUGGUGCCGCAAAAGGGUUUCACAGGUGGAUUUUGGAGAGAGGUAAAGAGGAGGUUGCAGGUCCAAGCAAUUGCUAAUAUUUAUUGAAUAUAGGGAUCUGCUAUAAACUUCGCUAGUGAAAAUCUUGAAAGCAUUAUGAAUAAAUACACCACUUUUUAUAACCUCAGCACAGUGUUUGCAAUGAAAUUGAGGUGUGUGACUUGAAUCCUUGAUCUUCUUCAUGGUUUUGCAUGGCAACGACAAACCGCAGCCACCACAAUAUCUUGCAUCCUGCACAGUAUAUUCACCGGAUAAAAAAUAAAACAAUAACCAGAGUCCAAUACAUUUUGACACAGUUAACUCUUUAACCAAAUCUGCUUUUCAGAGUAGCUACUAGACAUAGCAACUGAUCAUAUGAAAGAAUCAGGCUAAUGGUCAGAAAUUCACUACAGAUUAUCCCAUCUCUCAUAACAUUCUAAAAAAAAAUGGAAAAACUUUAUUCAAUUGAAGAAUUAAGAACACAUGGAAAACCAAACAAAAACCAUAGAUGACAAUUUAACAAAGUUGAUGAUAAAAAACUGUAAUUCUCUAACAGGAACAGUAGAAAUUUCGCAACCCCAUUUCAACUCAUUUUUAUCAAUAUAUUCAUAUCCUUAACUUAUCAGAAUGAAAAAGCAUAUUUGUUGCUCAGACAUAUAGGCAUGUCUGACGUAAUACAUAUGUCACUAUAUGAUACCACUCACAUAGCUGAGCUAUCAGCAUGAGAAAUUUCCUCUUCCCAACAUUCCCAUCAGGCUUUUGGUCUUCACCAUCAAAACUGAGACCAGACGUGUUACUCUCAGUAUUCACAGUCCUUCCUCCGUCCUCCGCCGCUUUGAUUCCUCCAUUCUUCCACGGAACCUGGACGGUAGCAUCAAGUGCAUGUUUGAAUGAUUCAUCACAUUGAAACCCUAAAACCCUAAGCCAACAGAAAGUUCAACUUUAAAGUUCAUGUUGCAGGAAGUUCAAUCCAAGCCAAGGUUAGUUAGAUGGAUGUUUUUCCUCCAAGAGUUUGAUUCGGAGAUUCGAGAUAGAAGUGAAGCACAAAAUUUGGUGGCUAAUCACUUGAGCAGAAUUGAGAGAGAUGUUGAUACUUUACCUAUUAGAGAUUAUUUUCCUGAUGAGCGACUUUUUAGUAUUUUUGUUUCUCUUCCUAUCCCUUGGUUUGCUAACAUUACUUAGUAUUUUUGUCAAUUACUUGGUUGCGUCUUUUGUUCCUCCAUUUGCAUCUAGAGCUCAAAUUGAUAAACUUAAGAGUGAUGCUAAGUAUUAUUUUUUGAAUGACCCCUAUUUGUGGAAAUUUUGUACUGACCAUGUGAUUAGAAGAUGCAUUCCAAAUCAUGAGAUCGAGUCAGUCCUUCAGUUUUUUCACGCCUCUUCAGUGGGUGGCCAUUUUGGUCCCCAAAAGACAGCACCGUAUCACCCCCAAACAAAUGGGCAAGCUGAGAAUUCCAACAAAGAGAUAAAGAGCAUUUUGGAGAAGAUGGUGCAGUCUAACAAAAAGGAUUGGAGCAACAGACUUGAGGAUGCUCUUUGGGCACAUCUUGAUUGCGCCCGCCCUCCUCCAACCAUAACUCAGAGAGUUUUCUUUUUCAUCUUCUCUUCUUUUAUUGCACUUGUUCAUUUCCAUAUCUGCUUAUGCUACAUUGGGAAAAUGUGUCGUUAGAGUGUGGGGGGAGACUAGCGCAUGUAGACUAGAUUAGAGUAGGAUUGAUGCAUGCUUUUCUUUAAUUUCUUAGGUCUUGCUUGGAUUUUGGGCAUUUUCUUUCUUUUAAUUGAGUCAUGAUAUUUUGUGAUGUGAAUCCUUGCAUUCCCGUGUGUCAAGUUACUUUUGAUAAUUUAGAGGUUGAAACAAUUAUGAUAUACUUAUCCCCUGCGAGAGAUUUUGAGCCUUAAUUCUUUUUCUUGUGUGAUUGCACUCUUGAUUACUUGCACUCUAGAACUGGACUUGACACUUGUUGAUACCUGAUAUUCGCAUGCACAUAUUGAAGUGAUUUUAGACAUUUUCUUUGAAUAAGCCACUAGCCAUAUAAGCAUACCUUGAAUGAAUUAAUCCUUUGAUAGCUUCUUUAAGCCUUUUUACUCCAUUUUCUUUAGCUCAUUAAAAGCUUAUAAGUGAAAAACAUGUUAGACCUAACCUUAGGGAAUUUUGGAGCUUUGGAAUUGUUUUGGGAGUAAGUACUCAGUGGAUAAGCGUGCAUUGUUCUUUAUUCCUUGUAAUUAUCGGUUAUGCUUUGUUGGAAGUACAUAAGUGUGGUAUUUCUUUCAUUUCAAUUUGAUUUCUUUCUUUCAGUUUAAAAAAAUAGAAAUUGAAAAAAAAAGCAAAAAAACAGAAAAAAAAAAAAAAAAAAGAAGAAGGGCAAGAGGAAAAAAAAUGAAUGAAAGGAUGAAGUGUGGAAUUGGAGGAAGAAUUGCAGGUUUUAUGCUGCUAUAUUGACUUACUUUUUACUCAUUUCUCAUUGCUCCUCUAUUUGCUUUGAUUUUAGCUACUUAUCUCAUAUUUUAUCCUACCUUGUCAUUGGCCUCAUACAACCUUUAAAAGUCUUUUUUGAUCUUUAUGUGCAUAUGUUUUGAUUGUUGAUGUUAGAGGCUUGUCAAGUCUAUGGUUGUAUUUGUUUUUCAUUAAGUGUCUUGUGUGAAAACACAAACCUUAAACACUUGAGUGUAAACACUUAGACAACAUAUCUUGUGAGAUUAAGUCAUCUUUGUUCUCACCCCUUGGUUUGAUUGGUUACUUUGCAUGUUUGGAUGUUUGGAUGAUGUUCAUGGAUUCCUUACCCUGUGUUUUUUUAUUUUGCCCACUUCACUGCUUUUCCUAAGAUUCAUUGUGAAGUAUGUGAUCUUUUAGGUUAUUGCAUAUCUUACAUGAUUCACUUCUUUGUUACAAGUUAAUUUUCAUGGUCUAUUUCUUUAUUUUGCCCAGGAGUACCCAAGGUUAAGUGUGGGGGUGUUUGAUGAGCAAUACUUUACCCACUUUUCAUAAUUUUAAUUUAUCAUUAUUGAUGGUUAUUUAUGCUUAAUUAACUUUUGUUGUCAUGAAUUUUUAUUAUGUGUUAUAAUUAAGUUUACUAUUAAUUUCAGAUCAUAUUUGGCAUUAAGGGCAUUUUGGAAAUUGCAGAAUGAAGAUUGUAUUUGUGCUGAAGUGAAGAUUGUAUUUUAAAUUUAAUUUCGAGAUAUUAUAUCUCAUUUAGGAUUUUAUCGUAUUUUGAUUUGUUAUUUUAGGAUCUUAUCUUUAGGUUCUAUCUUUAGGAUUUAAUUUGAUUUUUAUUAGGAUUAGAUUUCAGCUCUAUUUAAGGAUUUGUGCUGAAACAACUUGAGACACCUUCUACCUUCUACAUUUUGCUUAAUAAUAUAAUUUCGUUUUUCAGUUCAUUAUCAGGGUUCUGCUAGGGUUUAUUCUUCUACUCCCUAUCUUCUCUAAUAUUUUCGUUGUUUUCGUUCAUCCGUCCAUGUAAGGCUAACUUCAUGGAUUGAAUCCCUUUCCAAGUAUGUAUAUCGCACUCUUGAGGUAUUGUUAUUAAUGCAAAAUUUGUUCUUUAUUAAUCAUCUUCAUCUUUUUUUUUUUUGAAUCUAUGGUUUGCUUAAUCUCGCCGUUUUAGAAAUAAGGGUUGAUGCAUGAUCGCUUAGCUGGUGUUAAUUCGUAACUGCAUAGUUUUUGGAAGUGUAAAUUGAUUUUCGCUCAGUUAAUUAAUUCUCACAAAUUAGGGAAUCAAUAAGAAUGAAUUAAUCUAUUGAACCAAUGAUUGAGUUGCGAUAUAUUGAACUAAAGAGAUUUGUCCGUUUAAAUCUAUUAUGCUAAUCUGCUUAUUAUUUUAUGCUUGCGUACUGCAACCAAAUCAAAAACCCCCUUUGUGUGUGUUUUGAGUGUUGAACCUUUGCUCGAUUGGUAAUUCUUAUGAAACGACUUAAGAGUCACUUCCUAGUACUAUAGUUUUAUUAAUUAAUUAUUUACAUCAAGUACGACCUCGACCAAUCAGGUUAUCUAUUUUUUUAUCACUUUUUUGCAAUCUAAUUUUAAUGGCUAAUUAGAUUGUUGUUCAAGUCAAUUUUCUGAUUGGAAUGAUAAGUCCAGCUUGGUUUUGAGAAGUAUGAAAAAGAGUAUAAAAAGAAGUGGUGGAUUUGCACUGAGAUAUAUAGAUUCUGGGAAUCGAAUUUCAUAUGAUGUCAAAUAGCUCUUACAAUGUGUCAUAUAUCAAUGUUGAGUGCAUGCAAGAUAUUUAUGUGGCUAAUGAAAAUGUUUUGAAAUACUUUUAAUAAUUAUCUUUCCAUAACUUGAUGCCAUAGAUCACUAUAUUAAUAAUUGAAUUUUGACUCUCUCAUGUUUUAAUCUUCAUAUGACCAUCUCAUGUGAAGAUCUGAGCCUAAGUUUAGGUGUUAUACGGAUUCACAAGCGUAUUUGAACUUUAUUUGUAAAAACAGCUUAGACAGGGUGGCAGAACACCCCUUUAAUGUCUGUUGUAUUGGUCUCACUGUGUAUUGUUCUCACUAUUUGCUUGUCUUUCGUGACAUCUCCUUCAGCUAGCAGGCCCAUAAUUUGUAUUGUCUAUUUGUUUGGGCUCUGUAGAAAAGACUGAUUGUAUUGUGGCUUUGUCUACUCCUUUUGGGCUUUGGCUCACUAUCAAUGAACCUUGUUUGUUUGACCAAAAAAAAAACAAGGGUGCUUUCAAACUUUAUGCUCCAUCUCUCUCUAUGCUGAAUCUCUCUCUUCAAAGUCUAGGCUAACAAAGCGUUAAUGAAUGUAUGGAGAGAAAAAAUUAUAAUUGUGCGAAAAAUAAUAAAUAAUACUGACCAUAACCAUCAUUAUUCAUUAAAAAAAUAAUUAAAGAUAUCUUUCACAUGAUAUGGUCAUGUGAGAUUAACACACAAAGAUCCAAAUCUGAUCCGAAUCCAUUAAGGAUUACCUGCAUGUUACUUAAUUAAUAUUGUUUUUUGUCUACAUAAUAUAUUUUAUUAAUGAUAUACUCGAAUAUUCACUAAUAAUUUGUCAUUUAUUACAAACUAUAUAUACUUGCUAUUUUUAUUCCUUCAGCAUCUCUACUAUGAAGAUGGUAAAAGUGAAAUUUAAAGAUUUUAAGGCAUUCAAUAAACCUCCAAGGGUCCAUGCAAUAGAUGUCGUUGAUUAGAACACUUGUUUGGGUUGAGAUAAACAAUCAAACUCUCUUCUUCACCUUUGUUCACGAACACCGCUCGCACCACCGGCCUUGCUAAUCCACACCGUCUUUGCUAUUUCCAUUACUUCUUAGCAUCUAAUGUUGCUUAUUUUGAAUCUUCAUAUGCCUUCCUUAAUUUUCUCUCCUUAUGCUAAGAGCUUCCCAUGUUAGUGUUUGAAAGUCGCACAUUAACAACUCCGACAGAGCUGGAUGAGUUGUUAAAUUGGGAGACUUGAUUAAAAUUGAAGAUAAAAGUUUCUCCACUCUAAAGACAAUUGGUCUCUGAUAAUUUGGGGUUUUAAUGAAUUUUUGUACGGCACUUAGGGUUUUACUUCAUGGUUUCAGGUUGUUUCAACUUAUUCAGUGUGCAUGUUUUUCUUAAAAUGCUUAUGUAUGUGCAUUACAAUAUCGUUCUUUAAGAUUUAUUCUGCGGUUAAAUGUUAUAAUUGUCGUUAAGCAACUCUUUCGUAUUUAUUCAGGACAAAUUUUAAAAAAAAAGAAAUAGCAAUCGAACUCAACUUAUUCAAUCCACGAGCUCGAGCUAACAAGUGUAGUUAAAGCCUUUAUUUUUUCUUGUGUCCGAGUGCUAAAUGAUCAGUUGUUCCAAUUAAAAUUCAAGUUUAACGAAAAAAUCGAAGUAUGGCUAUGAGCCCAUGAGAGAAGGAAUUUCAACCAAUCACACCUAUUCUUGCAUGUUCGUGAAGGUUAACUUCGUAAUGAGAGCAUUUACCAUGGAAAUUAAGAUAGACACAAGCUUCUCCUGAAGAUCGUUUCUAUCUAUUUUUCUUCUUCUACCUGUUACUGUAAUUUUAAGUUAAUUUGCACCUUUUGAACCUUGUCGUAAUGGGUUGGGGUAUCCCUUAGACCCCUCAUUAAUGCAUUUUUGCUUAUAAAAAAACUAUGGAAAGAUAGAUUGCAAUGGAAUCAAUUAACGACUGAGAUUAAAUUUGGCUGAAAUGAAUUACAAUUUUACCAACAUAACCAUUGUUCAAGCUACGAGAUAUUCAUAGAAGAAAUGGUAAACAAAGUCUCAAUAGAAGAGAUUUGAAACCUACCAGAGGUGAUGGGAGACAGAGAGUGGUGAUCCUUCAUCGAAACCUAACGUCGAUGGUGAUGGAGAGGACAAAGAUGACGUGGUGGAGAUGACGACGUGGAACACAGGCCGACGGUGGAGAAGCACCGUGGUAGAGGCGACAUUGAGGUUUUGUGAGCGUCAUCGAGCGUGAAGGGUUUUGAUGAAGGAUAUAAAGAACAAAGUAGAGGGAUCUGAAAUUUUAUUUGUAUGUUGAUGGUUUUCGCUAAAAUCAAAAUCCCGACCGCCGCAAAGCUAAGAAAACACAUAUCAGCGAUUGGAACCGCCGUAGAACAAAAACAUUUACAGUGGUCGAGACCAGCUGUCGCGAACCUAUUAUGUUUUAAAUAGAAGUGAUGUCGGCUAAACCACCGCAAAAGAACCGCUGCAAAAUUAAUUAUUUGGCAUAGUGAAUUACUGAAUAUUAUCCUCAAAACGGUAAAAACUUCUUCUUUAUUAUAUAUUAAGAUUAAGAUAAGAUAGCCGAGUCUUGGCCAGCUUGGAUAUUAUCAUUUUUCAGUUUUGGUUAAAAAUAAGGAUGUUAAAAUUUCAGUUGUUAUUAACAAAGACUGUUUGGGAGAUGAUUUUUAGUGAAAAUUUUUGUUUUUUAGAGGAAAAGAUAGGGGAGAAUAUGUUUUUAACAAUUAAAUAAAUGAUUUAUAAUUAAAAAAAUGUGAAAAUAAUAAAUCAUCUUGAAUAUAAUAUGCUAAUUACUAUGAUUUAUUAUCAUAAAUAUUAUAUAAUUUUAUUAAUUAAAAAAAUUUAAAGUUAAGGACUUUCUUUUUUUCUCUCUAAAAUUCUCCAAACAAUUAGAGGUUGUUUGGGAAGGGAGGAUUUGAAGGAAAAUGAAGGUUGAUACAAAGAUAAAAGUUACCCAAACAAGACAAUUGUGUUAUUUGGGUAACUUUCAUGUAAAAAAAUCAAUAUAAAUAAAAGUUAAAUUCAGUACACAUUGAUGUAGUGUAGAGUGUGUGUUUGCUUUUGUGUUAAGUUUCCUUCCUAUACUAAUCCACGUAGGAUUCUCAUUUCAAUGCAUAAGGCGCGUAAUUAGUGAAUUGAAUUAAAAGCAAAUUCACAUUGAGUUGAAUUAAUUAAUGACCAUUCAAACACUACUUUUUAGUUUAGAAAUUUCAUUGAUGAACAUGUGAUAAGUUUUAAUAAUAUAAUAUAAUUUAAUAUACUAUAAAAUUUAAAUUUAUUAUUGAAUUAUUCAAAAUAUAAAUAUAUAGUAUUAAAUUAUUUUUAUCAUUAAAUUAUUGUUUUACUAACUUUAUUAUUCUAAAAAUAUUAUUAUUAAAUUAUAUAAAUAUAUAUAAUAGUAAUUUUAAAUUAUUUAAAAUAAUAAAUAAAUUAAAUAUUAAAUAUUAAAUAUCAUUAAAUACAUACAAUAUUAAAUAUCAUUAAAUACAUACAAUAUUAAAUAUAUAUUAUUGUAUUAAACUUUGACUACAAUUUCAAAAAAAAA
rnacentral:lncRNA from 1 species